UCCCGCAGGUACAACCUCGGAGUAGACACCGACAGGCCGGACUUCCUCCGAUCUACACCUCCACUCUAUCUCUCUCAAUCUAGUAGAACUAAGUCUACUCUCACAAUGGAUGCUACACCCUAUAAGGUGGGAACCCUAAGGAACCUCUCUCUCUGAAUCCUCUCUGGAAAAUAUGCUAAUGAAUAAUUGGAUUGCCCUCCUCCAAGGGCCAGGGGCCUGCUUAUAUAGUCCCCUCAAGUGAACGUGGGCCGUCGGAUCAAACCGACAUUGAUUGAACGUUUCUCCUUGAUCCUUUAGGUAGGUGGAGCAUAAUCCGCGAGAUUAAACGUGAUUGGCCACAACACCUAGGCAGGCGCCCAAGGGGGGAGGGCGGGCGCCCUGCCCCCGGGCCCGCUCGGCCUCCCAUUCGUUCCCGUGGCUUCUGGACUCUUCUAGAUGAUAGAAAAUUGCACGGCGCGUUAAUAUCUCUAUGUAAACCCGUCAUGUGGGCCUUUCCUCCGUAUUUCCUGAUAACCCCCUGUAGAAAUAGACAAACACCAAAACUCGUGGAAUUCUGUCAGAUAAAACCCUAAGUCUGGGUGUUGGUUGCAUUUGGAUCCUUUUCUUUAUUUAUUUGAUGAUUAAAUUUGAUACUCAAGGACCGUCCACAAACUCCCCAAGCUUACCUCUUGCAAGGAUGGACUCAAGAGUUUCUGCAGUGGUUUCAUGCCUUAAAGGUACACAUGCGUUCAAACAAGAUCUCAUCUCUACGUUAGGGUAAACUGUUAAGACUUAAAACUUACUCAUUUUACCUUUCACCUUGGGGCUUGCAACCAUCACUUAUGUCUUGAGCAAUUAAAAGAUAGAGUAGUCAAGUCAAGCGCCAUGUCUCUUGUUCUUUGAUCAAGUAUAGCUCUGGAGUUUUUAUAGAUUUUCAAAAUAAAACUCAGAGAUUCCUUGUAUGACUCUCUCAAUUCUCUCUUUUGUGGUAUUUCUGGAUCCUUACUAAGGCAGUGAUGGUAUAUGCCUUCUCUUAAAGUAUGUAGUAUUUGUGGUAUGAGGCAUAGUGACAUUGCCUUCUCUCUCAUCCUACUCCAAUGAGGCUUUGAUAUCUGGAGCUCAUAGGUGGGAGAUAAAGUAUACAUACUUAUAAGAUAUUUAUUGCAUAGUCAAACCAUGGAUCCAGAGAAACAAGUCAAUAAGUCAAAUCAAGAUGUGCAUGUGUGGUGAAUGAAUGGUGUAUGGUGAUGAUGGUGAAAACAAUGGUGAAAGUCUAAUUCUACUUUUGCUCUUUUGAGGGGAUACACACCUUUCUUGCACUUUUGAAACUUUUUGAGGAGAAUGAGAUGCUCUCUAUAUAUAUUUUUUUCUUUUCUCUCAGGUGGGUAUCUUGUACCCCUAAUUCUACUGUCGGACAAUUGUCCAUUUUUACCUCUCAUCUCACUUUUUCUUUUCUUCGAGGUUCCGGGCACUUGACCCUUUUUAUUUCCUCGUAUUAUUUCUCUCUCUCUUUUUUCUUUUCUUUUUUUACUAGAGCACUCAUCUCCUGAAAUAAUAUAGCAAGUGGUAGUAACCAAGAUAACUCGAGCAUUUAUUUUAUAGGGAAAAACAGAAAUAGGAGAAUGUUUUUGGCUAUUCUCUCUCGGAUUAGGAGUAGAAUACUUUUGGGUGGCUCUGGAGAUGGAACUGACUGGAUAUAUGUGGAUGCGUACAACCGGAGUAGAAGUAGCAUGUAUGAGUGAACGUGCAAGUGAAUCUUGAUUUUAACCGCAUGACAAGCUCCUAAGGGUCUACACAGCUUGACCACACUCAAUGCUCAUAAGCAGUAAAAAAGUAAAUGUGUGGCUCAAAGUCUAGCAAGCAUGUAUAUAUGGCUGUGGUAGGAAUUUAAACUCUCAUCAUACAGGAACUCAUCAUGCAAUAUUUUAAAGAUUUUCAAAGAUAAAAUUCUCCAGAAUUCUAGCAUCUCUAGGAACAGAUAAAUAGCAGCUGAACCUUCCCAUAUCAUAUCCGUUAACGACUUAGACUUUAGAUCAAGUACUCUUCUCACAAGUUUAGGUUUAGAGCAAGCUUUAAAUUAUAACAGUUAUGCCUAAACUUGAGAGAGAGCUCAAAUUUGAAAACUAGAUACUUGGCAGAGCAACUAUUCAUCAUAUCCAUGUAAGAGUUUAUCAUUGGAGUUCAAUUUGGCAUAGACACUUUAUUUAUUUAUUUAUUUAGCAAACUAAGAAAAAAUUUAUAUAUAAGCAUAAAAUCUUUAUUUGGGUUUUUAUGAUUAUGCAUCUUUUUAUUAUUUGAGUAAAGUAUAAACGCGAGUAGAAACACUUAGGUGGAUAAAUGGGGGUGCUCUCCCCCAAGCUGGAUUUUGACGUAAUUUCUUCUGAUGUAGCUAGCAGGUGGCGGAGGUGUAUUUGAAUGUCGGCAGCACCCUAACAGCGAUUAGGAUAUCCUCCAUCUGCUAGUCUUCUUUGAUCCUUGAAUUCUGUGGAGCUCAAAUAGACAACAAAGCUUUGUGGAACUGGUUAAGUGUUAGCAUAAAAUCUCUUAGCCUUUAUCAUAUUGAGAUUCCACCUAAUAAAUGUUACUCUCUUUAGUAGGAUCAUAAAUUUAUUUUUAUAUUUUUAUUUUUAUAGGACAGGAAUAUAUUUAUUUUAUUUUUACGCCACCACAGUGAAUGUACUUAUGGUUUUAUGCCAUGAGCAUACUCACAUGGGGCUUACUAUUUUUAACAUUUUUGUUUUCUUUUCGAGAUGAUAUGAACCUGAUUAACUAAGCAAACUAUUUUAAAUAAUUGAAGGGAAAAGGAUAACUACCAAGUUUACCCCUUGGCAAGGCGUUCGGUGUUUUUAAGUCCUCCGAACGGGACUCUCCGUUUUCUCAGUUGUCCUGGGAUUCGCUGGAUGGCGUAGUCGGUGGUUCCGGCGGUGCCUCCUCUUCGUGUAUAACUAUCUUCUCUCUCCACACCUGACUCGGUGCUACGGUCUCCUCAGAACAGUUCUGUUCAAGCUGUAUGUCUUCAGACCUUACCACUUCUCCUUCGUACUCUGCCCAUCCGUCCUUGAUGACUUGCCUCCUCUGGUUGCGGUUGUGUCGUCUUAUUCUUGUCCUGACUUACUUAGUGUCUUCAACUAUAUAGUUAAGGUUAGUAAAAUAGCGGUGUACCUUCUCAGAGGGGAAGUGCAUGUGGACUUCUCCGGUUCCACUAUAGAUGAUUGCUUUAACGAUGCCGAGGAACGGUCUCCCAAGGAUGAUGGGUGGAUCGUACUCGUCUUCUCCCAUAUCAAUAACCUGGGUCGUCCUUUUUUUGUCAGGAACGGUGACUUAAGUCGACGAUCUUGACCUCCUUGAGCUGCAGUGACCAUCUUAGCUGACUCGGUCCACAUUUGCUUGUUCUUGUUCCUCCUGUUGGUCCUCUUCCUUGGUUCAUGUCGGGAUUGCUCUGAAAUUUGUGUAGUCUUGUUCUUGAAGGAAACUCUCCUUCUUCCCCUUGAUGUAGAAACUGAUCUUGGCAGCACUAGCGUAGAUGACAGCUCUCGAGGUGUUCACGAAUGGCCUCCCUAGGAUGAUGGGUGCCCUCUCAUCAGUACCAGUCUUACUAUCACCAUGAAGUCUGCUGGAGCGUACAAGGUACCAACUCGGACGCAGAGGUUCUUCAAUAUUUCCUUUGGGAAACUUAGUGUCCGAUCUGCAAGCUGAGUAGUUAGGCCUCUGUUGAUUCCAACCUUGAUUUUGUUGAGGACGGUUGUAGUAGUAGUAGUAGUUGUUGAUGUAAUUUAUGUCCUCAAGCAUCGCAGGGCAGUGGUUGUCUGAGUGUCCACUAUCUCUAGUGUGUUUGUGCUCGUAGAUCCACGUUCUUCACUUGGUGGAGUCUGGGAGUUGUAAAACUCCUUCGUAUUUUGCUCGAAGUGUACCUGCUCAUAAAGACAAGGCAGAGAUCAAGUGCAUGGGCCCUGUUGGUGAAAAACACUAACAGAACCAAAAGUGUAUUUGUUCUUCUCUAACCUUAAGCACAGAGAGCAAGACAAAGUUGAUGAAUAAUAAGAUCAUGAGUGUAGCAUUUAAAACAUUUGUCAGAUCAGAUCGCUCGACCUAAUGGAAAGAUAAUCUAUCUAUAUUUAUGUUUUGUUUAUAUCUUCCAAAGAUUGAAUGUGCAACAUUUUAGCUUAUAUGAUUAGGAGUGUGGGAUUACGAAGGUAGUACUAAGAACAAAGAUUAAAGGACUAAACAUGUUGAAUUAAUUGUGUUGGUUAAUUUGGAGUUACAAUUCAUACAUGUUUGUCUCUUUUAUUCAUGUGAACGCCAGAACUAAGGAGAAGCUUAUAAAACCGAUAGUCAAGUACCUUAAGAUGUUACCUUACUUGAAGAGUGAUGGUACAGUAUCACCUUGUGGAAGCUUUCCUUUCUUAGCGGUUGUGCAUCAUGUUUGUGGCACCCUCCAUGCAUCAUCUCUUAUGAGCUAUGUCUUUCUUGUGUAAAUUGUUAAACUUCAUGUAUCUCUCUCUUUGUCUCCAAUGUGAGUUUAUCUUAGGACUUCCCAGGUCGAUAUUGAAAGUCUUCCUGCAGGGGUUAGUCCAACAAAAUAUCCCAUAUCUACUAUAGCAUACUAUCGGCUCAAAAAUCAACCUAGACACCAUGUCUAAUUUGAUUUAGGAGGGCAUUUUAGCCUAAGCACCAUGCUUAAUUUAAAAACCCUUGGAAGUAAGAUCAUCAUUCCUAAACUAAGCACUAUGCUUAAUUAAGAGAUAAAUGAAACUACUCCAAACCUAGAUAUAUACUAAAGCAAAUAAAGGUAGCAUGAGAGCAUUUAUAGAGAUCUACUCAAGUGGAGAUGAAGUAGUGUGAUUAGUAUUUAACAAAUUGAGUAUGUCUCAAAGAUAGGGACAACCAACAUAGCAACAUGGCAAAGGAUGUUUUUAUGUAAAGUACUCCCCCAAGCUUGAAUUUUGCAAAAUUCAAGUUUGGAUGAAUUUAAUUUAAUGUUGUAUGAUGAUUGGUUGGACAUACCUUGUGCUUGUCAUUCAUCCGAUCUUCUUGCUUCAAUCCUGGAAAGGUUAGUGACAAGAAUACCCGAAGGAAUAUUUUUACAAUUAUCCUUAUAUGCUCAAUACACAAGGUAAUGUUGCAAAUGAUUAAAAGCUCAUGUUACGAUCUGAUCAGUGCUUAUUUUAGGAUACUAAGCUUGUCCUUAAGAAACUAUCAAUUUAUGUCGGCGAAGUGGUUUCCCCUCCAACGCUGACCUAUAUCAAGAUCAACUCAACGAGAUCUGCAAUAUUUAUUAUAGAUAUAUGCAUCGACAACCGCCCUUUUAAAGUUUUUAUAAAUAGAAAGGAAGAGGGGGUUGGAGAUCUCAAAUGUGGUGAUGUUGGAGAGACCAAUAGAUUGGGAAGAUGUUGCAUAUGAGCAUGGAGUAAACGAAGUGGCUAUGAAAUAAAUUCCAUGCUCAUUAAUGUUAUUUUCGUCUCCAAUCUGAUUGUUUGGAGUUUUUCCUAGAUUGGUCUCGCCUAUGUCCUCUUCUGUAGUUGGAUGAAUCUCAUCUUCAAAGGGAGUCAAGAACUCACCAUUUGAAAUUGAGCCAAAGUCAGAAUCCAUUAAGGCUUCUUCCUUGUCCAUCCACUCAAUGGUGUUAGCACAUGGAUUCUGCACUUCUCGAUCCUCCUUAUGGUCUUGGUGAAUCUAAUGCAUGGGAUGUCUAGAGAGAUUCAUAGGGUCAUCGGGAGGUUCAAGAGAAAGAGCAUAGUAGAAAUUAUUAGGCUCAAGGAUGGGUUUAAAGAUAGGUUCGAAUGAGUCAUCAAAAGUGGGCGUAGAAGGGGAGAAGAUGAGAUUGUCUUCUAAAUGGCUUCGCUCUCCUUCUAUUGCAUCACUUAAGAUGCCAUCCUUGAGUCUUUCUAGAUGUCCAUCAAAGGGAUUGGAUUUGAGAUGCUUUCUAAGAGAUCCCUUCUUAGGAAGGUUCAGACUGUAUGCACUCAAAGGUCUCUUAUGAAGCAGGAAGUUUAAGCUCGUCCCAAAAUGAAUUUCCAAAGGUAGAAUUUCUUCUUCUCUUAGAUUAUUUUGGAGCACUACAAGUUUGGGUUGGAUAGCCGAAUCAUGGGAUUGAAAUGUUUGGAAAUCGGCUAUUGAAACUUCCUUUCCUCGUCUGGGAGAUAAUUCCUUCUCUAUCUCUAGGAUUUUUUUAUGAAGACUAGUGCAAGAAGGAUGUCCACGAAUGAAGACAUACCUUGCUUUACUAACAGAUAAAGAAAGAAAAACUCUACCAACGGUUAUAUGAUUAAGACCAAUGUGAAAAUAUUGAGGAAAAACAUGGUCUUGUAGGGCUAGGUUUAAACCAGAAUUUAUAGAAAGAUUAAUAGAUUCCCUAGGUGUAGCUAAAAGUUCAUUAUCUUCUUGAUUAAAAGAUAGGACCUCACCUAUAGAAAAGGGUUGGUUUUGACCUAUUGCAAUCAACUCCGGACACAGAUCAUAAUUAGGGGCAAAGAAAGGACUUGUUGACUCCCAUGGUCUAUGGCUGGUCUCCGAAGGUGCAAAAAAUUCAAUAAUAGGUGUGGAAUUUGAGUUAUCCAUAAAGAUGGAAAAAAUAAAAAGAUAAAAGAAUAAAAGUAUAAAAGUAUAAUACAAGAUAAUAGCAAGACUUAAAGUUAUCUCAACAAACCGUCUUUCUCCGCAGCAACGGCGCUAGAAAUGCUUGUUGAUAUUUGGUAACGCCAUCAGGAAAUGAUCCGCAAGCGCACGGAUAUCGGUGAUCACUUCACCCAGGAGGUUAUCCAGAGUAUCGUAUUUAAAUUUUUACCACUGGGAGAAAGCGUGCAUCUGACUAACCAAAUCUAUUGCUACUACCCUUUAGGCUACAAACAAUGUGACUCGAUGUGAGUGAUGUAUAGAGAAGACUACAACCGCACUCUCGUUCUAACCUUGGUAAGGAUGAUCUACUGUUCUAUUGGGGAGGCUCACGGAAUCUAGACACCACAAAGGAUGUUCGACCCGCACCUAUAAACCCUAUCAAUCCUGCUAAUGGGAUAUGGGCUACAAAGGUAACUCAGAAAUGUCAUGUUCCUCGCUACUACCACGGUCCAGCUAGUCAGGGGAUAUCUAUGAGUAUCCUAGCCCAAACACCACGUUUACGCUAGAGAUGAUUACUCUAAACUCUAUGCGAAGAGAUCAAAGUAAACUCAUAAGCCAAAGAACAAUAAAACAAAGAACUUACUAGAGUUUAGAAGUCGAAAUACUAAAGAAUCCUAGGAGCAAGCCUUGGGUUAGGAGACUUGACCCCGCACGUACAACCUCGGAGUAGACACCGACAGGCCGAGCUUCCUCCGAUCUACACCUCCACUCCAUCUCUCUCAAUCUAGUAGAAGUAAGUCUACUCUCACAUUGGAUGCUACGCCCUAUGAGGUGGGAACCCUAAGGAACCUCUCUCUGAAUCCUCUCUGGAAAAUAUGCUAAUGAAUAAUUGGAUUGCCCUCCUCCAGGGGCCAGGGGGCCUGCUUAUAUAGUCCCCUCAAGUGAACGUGGGCCGUCGGAUCAAACCGACAUUGAUUAAACGGUUCUCCUUGAUCUUUUAGGUCGGUGGAGCAUAAUCCGCGAGAUUGAACGUGAUUGGCCACAACACCUAGGCGGGCGCCCAAGGGGGGAGGGCAGGCACCCUGCCCCCAGGCCCGCUCGGCCUCCCGUUCAUUCCCGUGGCUUCAGGACUCUUCUAGAUGAUAGAAAAUUGCACAGCAAGUUAAUAUCUCUAUGUAAACCUGACAUGUGGGCCUUUCCUCCAUAUUUCCUGAUAACCCCCUGCAGAAAUAGACAAACACCAAAACUCAUGGAAUUCUGUCAGAUAAAACCCUAAGUCUGGGUGUUGGUUGCAUUUGGAUCCUUUUCUUUAUUUAUUUGAUGAUUAUAUUUGAUACUUUAGGACCAUCAACGCCCUACUCCUCCGCGGAUUCUUCUACUUUAGACCUUGAAUAUCUAAAAUUACACCAGAGCUAUGGAAUUUAUUAGGUUGGUCCCUAUAGCUCUCUUGUGGUGAUGGUUCCGAAGUAUUUCAGAGGAUUCCAAUCGUGUCGAAUGGGGACUCCAUCGUCGAAACUCCAAUUAGGGCAAAUAAUAUAUCUGUUUCGAUCAUCUCGACGAGCUCUUCACAAUGGUGUGCUCUGUUUCAUCAUUUGAGGUACUUUUAUGUGGAAAGAUAUGCAUAACCUACAAAACAAGUAGGAGCAACACAACUUGUGAAACUUGCUAGGAUAAAACCCUACAACUAUGCAAUAACAACUCUUUUCUUGUUGUAUGGUGCAUGAACUGAUGGUAUAAUGUUGACGUUGAAAGAGAAUCUAGGCCCCUAAUGAUUUCAGUGAUUAAUGACAAUGUUGAUUACUGUGACUAACAUGUGUUUUGUAGAGGCAAAGUCAUUAGUGAGGUCAUGGUAAUAGGUACUCGAUGAACAGGGACGUACAUGCCUACUUAAUAGUGGAAAUCGUUUCGGUUUUCAAAGGAUGGAUGGACAUUGUCAAGGCUAGACUAGGUCUAAGUGCCAUAUGGUGAAGAAGGGCACUUAGAGUAGUUUAGGACUUUGUUUUCCUUUAACCGUACUAUUAAGAGGGGCUUUGAUCUAGUACCUUGACUUAGGCAAGGCUUUAGGUUUAGGUGUGGUGCACACUUGGUAAACCUAGCAGUAGGCAACUCAGAGAUAGUCCUUAGAUCGAGAGGAACAAACUUUGUUUUGGAACGGUCACGUUUUGACGAAGUUUGGGUGCCUAAGUAGGCACCAGACGCUCUAUGAGUGUGUCCGAUGAGGUCGUUUAGCUGCUAGAGUGCUCGGUGCCUAGGGUUAAGCACCGGACGCUAGCACCGGACUCGUCGGGUAGCGUCCAGUCCUAAACUCAGGGAGGUUGUAAACUUCCCCCAAGCACCGGACGCUAGCACCAGACUCGCCGAGUAGCGUCCGGUCCUAAACUCAGGGAGGUUGUAAACUUCCACCGAGCACCGGACGGUGGCACCGAAUGCUGGGUAGUAGCGUCCGGUGACCUGUCAGAGAUAGUACAGUUAGCCAUUGAAGUGUCACCGGACGCUCAGUGCAGAGCGUCCGGUGCAACAUCAACAGCGUCCGGUGACCCCGUUUUUAGUGUAAAACGGUUGGCCAACCCUUGGACUUCGUGGGGUGUAUUUGUACUCCUCCACCUCGUCCAUGGGAGGUCUCUUGCCCAUUUGAAUAGCUGAGAAACUCUUUGUGAAGCAAUAGAGAAGCAAGAGCCUAGAGAGGAUUGAGAUUUGAGAGAUUUCUUGUGAAUCCUUCUCUAGUUGAAUUCCAAGAGUCAAGUGUGCAUCCACCACUCUCUAGUGCCUUGUUUGGGUCAAGUGAGAGUUCUUUGCUUGUUACUCUUGGUGAUCGCCAUCACCUAGACGAUUCGGUGGUGAUUGGAGGCACGAAGACCGCUCAGAGUUCUUGUGGGUGGCUUGUGUCAAGCUUGUGAGCGGUUUUGGGCGAUUCACCGCGAUGGAGUGUCGAAGAAUCAGCCCGUAGAGAGCACUUGGUCCUUGCGCGGACCAAGGGGAGCAAGACCCUUGCGCGGGUGCUCCAACGAGGACUAGUGGAGAGUGGUGACUCUCUGAUACCUCGGCAAAACAUCGCUGAGCAUUUUGUUCCACUACUCCUUUACUUUCUAGCAUUUACUUCAUGUUUUUACAUUCCUAGAAUUGCCAUGCUAGAAUAGGAUUGGAACUAGGUUGCAAAACUUUUGAUCCGGUAGCUCUCUAGUCACACUAGGCACAAGGGGUUGAAUUAGAGAUUAUAGGUUGCUUAAAUUUUUAGAGAAGCCCAAUUCACCUCCCUUCUUGGGCAUCUUGAUCCUUUCAAUUGGUAUUGGAGCCUAGUGCUCAUUAUUUAGGCUUCACUGCCUAGAGAAAGAUGUCUAACGGGGAUGGACCGCCACCCAUGUUCGAUGGGGAUGACUUUCCGUAUUAGAAAAUACGGAUGGAGUCAUACCUUGAGGCAUGUGACUCAAAGUGCCUAAAAGCCACGACCAAAGGGUUUACCCCUCUAGCAAAAGACGUUGUUCUUACUCCACAAGAACAAGAAAAUGAAAAGUGGAAUGCAAAUGCCAAAAACCACAUCUUUAGAGGUCUUUGCAAAGAGGUGUUCAACCGCGUUCGGAACCACAAAACCGCCCAUGCUCUAUGGAAGGAACUUUGUGUGCUCCAUGAGGGAUCAAAGAGUGAACGUGAGGAACGCUAUCAUCUUGUGAUGAACAAGCUUAACACAUUUGAGAUGCUUCCUAAAGAAAAUGCUAAUGAAAUGUAUUCUCGCUUGAAUGUCAUUGUAGAGGAGCUAAAUGGACUUGGGCUCACUCAAAUGAGUGCGGCGGAUGUUGCAAGAAAGAUAUUAUGUGUUCUCCCCAUUGAGAAAUAUGGGCACAUAGUAACCGUGCUUCAUCAAGGCGAUCUCUCCACCGCUACACCAACGUCCAUAUUGGGGAAGAUCAAUUCUCAUGAGAUGUAUAUGCACAUGAACCCCCAAGAUGGCUCCUCAUUAGCCAAGAAGGGAAAGAAGGACUUGGCCCUCAAAGCUUCUCACAUGGGCAAAGCCAAGAAGAUUGAAGUUGAGUCAUCAACUUCAAGUGAUCAUGAUACAUCCAUUGCCCUCUUGGUGAGAAGAACCACCAAGAUGUUGAAGAAGCUCAACAAGAAUGGAGUCAACUUUGACUCCAAGAAGAAGAAGUUCUUCACAAGUAGCAAGAGAAAGCCCAUCUCCGAGAUGGAUUGCUACAAUUGUGGUUAUCUUAGUCAUCUUGCUCACCAAUGUCCAAAGCCCAAGAAGGACAAGUACAAGAAGAAGAACAAAGAGCAUGAUGACUCAAGUGAUGAAGAGAAGAAUGACAAGAAGCAACACAAGAAGAAAGGUGGCAAGAAGGAGGAGUACCACAAGAAGAAGAAUGACAAGGCUUACAUUGUUGGUGAUUGGCUUACCGACAUUGAAAGCUCAAGUGGUGACUCCUCCGGCAAUGAAAGUGAUGAUGAGAAGGUUACCGCCAUUGCUAUUGAUGCUUCAUCACCAUCAUCUUCACCACCAUCUACAUCCUCUACACACCUAUGCCUCAUGGCUAAGGGUGACCGGAAGGUACAAAGUGAGGAUGAGAGUAGUGAGAGUGAUAGUGAAUAUGAAUCACCAUCUUAUGACGAACUUGUAAAAUUGCUAAACAAAUAGACUAAGGUAAUAAGAAAACUAGAAGUGAAAAUGAGAAACUUGAACUUGAAAAUGAAUCACUUCUAGCAAAGCUUAAAUUUAGUGAUGAGCUUAGAGAUCAAAAUGAGAUCAUGACCUCUAAGCUCAAGGAACUCAAACUCUCAUUAAAAGAGCUCAAAGAAAAACAUGAUAAACUUGAAAGUGUUCAUGAUGAGCUUAUCACUAGAUAUAGAGCAAUGAAGGAAGAGCUAACAACUCUAAAAGCAAACUAUGACAACUUUGAGAUAGCUUAUGAACUUGCAAUUGAAACACAUGCUGCUACUAACCAUGUUGCUAAGCUUGAUGUAGCCACAUCUUGUGAUGACUUACUUGUGGAGAGCACAAGCAAAUGUGUUUAUUGCAAGGGCAAGAAAGUGGUAGUGGCCGAGAGCUAUGAGGACACUAUCCAGCUCAAAGAAGAAAUUGUCAUGCUCAAGAAAGAGUUGCAAGAGCAAGCCAAGCACAAUACAAUUGUGAUUGAGUCACUUGAUCAAGACAAGAAGCUUGCAUAUGAGAACAAGUUACUCAAAGAGGAAAAUCAAUAUCUCAAGCUUGGUUUAAUGUAUGACAAGCAAGAAGAAGAUGAGUCAUUCAUCUUAGAGGAGUUAGCAAGCAACAAUGACCUAAUCAUCAAGAAGCUAACUCAAGAGAAUAGCAAGCUCAAGAAAGAGAAGGAACAUCUAACCAAGGGGUUAGCAAAGUUCACAAAAGGAAAGGACCGUCAAAGUGAGCUAUUCAUGAACACCGUCAUGAAGAUGGACAAGAGUGGGAUUGGCUACAAGGCUCAUCGAACAAAGCUCAUCAAGUCACUAGCCACUCAUGAUCAACCAAGCAAGCCAAAGCUAAAGAGAUGCUUUGAGUGUGGAAAAGAAGGACACUUUGCUCAUGAGUGUGAGGCACCACUACCACCACCCUUGCCCAAACAUGCUAGACCAUUUGUGAGGCAAGGUCAAGGUUAGCUUCAUGGGGCCGCCCAACAAGCAAAGGCCAAAGAAAAUUUGGAUGCCAAAGCAAUUAGUAGAGAAGGUCAAGGGCCCUAAGCAAAUGUGGGUCCCUAAAUCUCAAGCUUGAUCUCUUGUGUGUAGGUGAACUACAAGACCGGUGGAUCACAUUGGGUAAUUGAUAGUGGUUGCACUCAACACAUGACCGGAGAUCCCCGGAUGUUCACCUCACUUGAUGAAGAUGUUGACAACCAAGAGAAGAUCACAUUUGGUGACAAUUCAAAAGGCAAGGUCAAGGGUCUAGGAAAGGUUGCUAUAUCAAAUGACAACUCCAUCACCAAUGUGCUCUAUGUGCAAUCAUUGAGUUUCAAUUUGCUCUCGAUUGGAUAACUUUUUGAUCUUGGUUUUGAAUGCUUAUUCAAGAAGAAGGAAGUAAUUGUGACCAAGGAGGAUGACAAUGAAAUAGUAUUCAUAGGCUUUCGACAUAACAACUUAUAUGUAGUUGAUUUCUCAUCCGAUGAAGUUGAUGUCAAGACUUGCUUAUUCACCAAGACUUCACUUGGGUGGUUAUGGCAUAGAAGGUUAGCACAUGUUGGAAUGGGCACACUCAAGAAGUUGAUGAAGAAAGAAUUGAUUAGAGGCUUGAAGUAUGUGACCUUUGAAAAGGACAAGCUUUGUAGUGCAUGUCAAGCCGGCAAGCAAGUUGCAAACACUCAUCUAACCAAGGCCUAUCUCUCUACUUCAAGAGUGCUUGAGCUACUUCCCAUGGAAUUAUUUGGACCAACCACAUAUGCUAGUCUUGGAGGCAACAAAUAUUGCUUGGUCAUAGUUGAUGAUUACUCCCAGUACACUUUGACAUUCUUCUUGCAAGACAAGGCCGAAGUUGCAUCAAUAUUCAAGAAGUUUGCAAAGAAUGCCCAAAAUCAAUUUUAUGUCAAGAUCAAGAAGAUUAGAAGUGAUAAUGGCAAAGAGUUUAACAACACCAACAUUGAAGAGUAUUGUGAUGAAGUUGGAAUCAAACAUGAGUUCUCCUCAACAUACACACCAUAAUAAAAUGGGGUUGUAGAAAGAAAGAACUGGACAUUGAUCACCUUGGCAAGAACAAUAUUAGAUGAGUACAACACUUCGGAGAAGAUGUGGGCCGAGGCAAUCAACACCGCAUGCUAUGCAUCAAACCGGCUCUUUCCUCACAAGUUCCUAGAGAAGACACCAUAUGAGUUGCUCAAUGGGAAGAAGCUCGAUGUCUCAUUCUUUAGAGUGUUUGGUUGCAAAUGUUGCAUCUACAAGAAGCGCCAACACUUGGGCAAGUUCCAAAGAAGAUGUGACAUUGGCUACUUGGUUGGCUAUUCAUCAAAGUCCAAGGCAUAUAGGGUCUUUAACCAUGCCACAAACAUGGUUGAAGAAACAUUGGAUGUUAAAUUUGAUGAAACUAAUGGCUCCCAAGGAGCAAGUGACAAUCUUGAUGAAGUAGGUGGUGAACCAUUGAGGGAUGAUGUUGGGCAUUCUUAACGUCACUACCAAAAGUAGACAUAGUUUUCUAAUUCUGAUAACGGCGCCAAAAAUGCCAAACCUAUCCCUCAUGCCACUUAAGCCAAGUUGUCAUCCGCAGCAUGACAUGAGAGACGCGGUAUUGAAAUAUGCAAUUGCUCUUCUAAAUAAAUAAUAAAUGAGAUCUGCAAGCACACAGAUUAAUACCGAUGUAGCAUUUUAACCAGGAAGUAUUCCAUGUAUCGUUAUUUAUAUUUUUACCACUGGGAAGGGAUUGCUCAACAUCAAUGUUGAUUAUGGAAUGGAAUAUAAGAUUGAGUAUCUAUCAUUGCAUGUAUAAUUGAGAGCAUUUAUCUAUCUCUUUCAUACAGGGAUAAGUGUCACAUAAAAGAUAGAUAAAGUAUGAAUGGUGACAAAGAUAAUUAAUCUGAUCAGCAUAACUAGCCACAUAUAAAUAUGAUAAGCACCUCAACAGAUAUUCUAGCAAGUCAUUAGCAUGGAAUUAGGACAAACUACAAGAAUACUCCCUAAUUUAUUCUUAACUAUACAGUCUAGCAUAUCAUAGUUAGUGCAAUUAUACUUGGCAAUCGUUGCGAGACAGGACUAUGCCCAUGCAUAGUGAUAUUUUUUUUUGACGCAAUCGGCAGGGAAGUCCCCUACCUAUUUUUUUCAUUUUAUUGAUAUAUGUACAAAGAAUAAAGAAUACAAAGGCCUUCAAGGCUCGAAACAAAAAAUACAGAGGAAGCUAGAGCCUAUUCUCACACCAACGUUUUAAGGGGUCAGCAGUCCUCUGUUUGGCUUUGAUGCACACCAGGCUUAACUCUUCUUUUAGCAUGAUCUUCCAUUCAGUAAGAGAGACUGCCUUAUUGUCAAAAAUGACACCAUUUCUGACUUUCCAAAUCGACCACGCUGCUGUGAUGAAGAUUUCUCUGAAGAUGUGACUUCCAAAAUUUGCUCUGGCCUUUGCCAGCAUCUCGUGAGGAGGUAUGUCGAGAUCCCAGUCAAUAUGUAUCCAGUUCCAGCAGGCUUGGCUGAAGGCACAGGAGAAGAACAGGUGUAAACAAGUCUCCUCCGGAUUAAGAGUACAGAGAGCACAAGCAUAGCUGUCCAGGUGCAUUUUUUUCCUCUUGAGGAGGUUCCUUGUACUCAAACGGUCCCUAACCAGUAACCAAGCAAAGAAUUUAUGUUUGCCAAGGUUACCCCCGUUCCAAAUCCAUUUGAAGAUCGGAGAGGCAUCAAUUUGGCCUUGGAGCUGGUUGUAUGCUUUUUUGGGAGAGAAGGUGUUUCCCCAGUUAUAUUCCCAAGAAUCAGCACUUUCUGAGCUUACAAGGUUUAGAGUUAGGAUUGCAUCUAGAUCAUACAGUUGAUCAGCCGCUUGCUCUGACAGGGGCAGAAAGAGGGUGACUUCUGGGUCCUUUUCUACAAAAAACUUCAGUGACCAAUGUUUCUUUCUGCAGAACGAGUAUAAGUGAGGAAAAAUCCCUUCCAACGGUUGUCCUGACCAAUUGUCAAACCAGAGAGUGGUGGUGUUACCCCUACCAGGCCUACACCUGGCAAAACUUCUAAAUUUUGGGAAGAGUUUUAAAAUAUCUUUCCACUAGAAGGAGCCACAGGGGUUUUUUUCAUGUGGUGGUAUGUUCUCAUUGCGAUAAAGCUUGGACCAUGUCAACUGGACCCAUGGGACUGGGGCAUGGUUAUAGAAUUUAUCGAGGAACUUCAUAAGGAGGGCAAUGUUUUGAUUUUCUAAGUUGAUGAUGUUUAGGCCUCCUUCAGCUUUGGUUCUGCACAGUUCUUUCCAGGCUACCAGACAUGUGCCCUUUCUAUUGAUAUCACCUUUGCUCCAGAUGCAAUGUUUUCUAAAUCUGUCAAUCUGCUCAAGAACCUGAAUUGGGAUGGACAGCGUGCACAUGUAGUAGGUAGGGAGAGCAGAAAGGACCGAGUUGACUAGUAUCAAUCUUCCCUGAUAGGAGAGAAAUCUGUUAAAACCCGAGAGUCUUCUUUCCAUUCUGGUGAGUAAAGGAGUGAAGUCGUGAACUGAGGGUCUUGUGCUUCCAAGUGGAAGACCAAGAUAUGUGAAGGGCAUGCUUCCAACCCUGCAGCCAAAGGUGGAUGCUAGAUGAGACAGCCGAGCUUCAGAGACAUUAAUGGGAAGAAGACAACUUUUGCUGAAGUUCACAUUAAGUCCUGUUGAAUCAGAGAAACCUCUGAGUAGUCCUUUUAGAGUGAAAAGUUGUCUAGCUUCAGCUGGCAUGAUGAGUAGUGUGUCGUCGGCAUACUGUACAAUGGGGAAGAAGUCCUCAAAGUUGUUUAAGAGAGGGUGGUUUAGAAUGCCAGCAUGCCAAGCUUUGUUGAUAAUACUUUGGAGCAAAUCGGCUGCAAGCACAAAGAGGAGUGGGGAGAGAGGGUCACCUUGUCUAACACCUCUCUUGCAGUGAAAAGGUUUACCUGGGAUCCCAUUCAGGAGAACUGAGGAAUUACCAGAGUCCAGAAUUGCUUUGAUCCAGUUUAGCCAGUGGUUGUUGAAACCUUUGUAUUUUAGCAAUUCUAGGAUGGUUUGGUGUUCAAUUUUGUCAAAAGCUUUCUCAAAAUCUUGCUUUAAGAUUACCACCUCUUUCUUAGAAUGAUGACAAAGGUGUAGGAAUUGAAAGGCCCAGGCAAGACAGUCCUGAAUGCUUCUGCCUUUGAUGAAACCAUAUUGGUUAGGAUGGAUGAGUUUGGUGAUUACUGACUGUAACCUGAUAGACAGGAGUUUUGUAAUGCACUUAACUGAGCAGUUGAGCAACGAAAUAGGCCUGUAAUCAUCUACUAUCUCUGGAUGGUCUUUUUUAGGAAUAAGGGCAAUGUAGGAGCUAUUAAUACUUGUGAGAUCAAUGUUGUUGUUGAAGAAAUCUCUGAAUAAUCUGUGAAAAUCGUUUUUGAUAAUGGGCCAGCAGUGUCUUAUGAACUUCCCAUUGAAACCAUCAGGACCCGGAGCAUGAUCAGGUGGGAUGCUUUUAACGACAGCCUCAAAAUCCGUAUCCUCAAAGGUUCCUUCAAUUUGACUGAGGUCUUGUCUGUCUAGCAAGCUAUUUAAAUCAUAAGUGAUGGUCGAAAACUCAGAGACGCCCAUUCUGUUUUUGAAAUUGGCCCAGAGCAGUCCUGCUUUUUGUUCAUGAUUUGUCACUUGGGUGUCUCCCCCAGGUAAAGUCAGACUGGCAAUGCUGUUCUUUCUAUGUGAGAUGGAUGCCAUGGCUUGAAAAACUUUGCUAUUUUCAUCUCCAAGUUUAACCCAUCUGAUGGUAUUUCUUUGUUUCCAGUAUAUUCGUCUAGAUUCCAACAGACUGGCUAUGUGCCUUUUGACAAGGUCUCCUAGGGAUUGUUCUACCUCAUAGAGUGGUCUUUGUUCCUCAAGGCCAUCAAGUAGUAGAAGGACCCAUUCACUGUUAUGAAGUAGUCGGUUGAAAUUUUGUAAGGUUUUCCUCCAUUUCUUGAGUCCAGUCCUGACUUGUUUAAAUUUUGCAUUGAGAGUUUUGGCAGCAUUGGCAAAGUAUGGGGAUGUAUUCCAGUGUAGAUCGACUGUUUUUAAGAAAUCUGCAUGCUCAAUCCAAAAGUUUUCAAAUCUAAAGAUAUUGGACCUGGGAAUGGAGCUGCCAAAAGAAAUGAUAAAGGGGGUGUGAUCAGAGAUGGGUCUAUCCAGGGUUUGGACCUUGGUCGUAGGGUGUGCCCAGCUCCAGCUCUGAGAACAGAAGACCCAGUCUAGUUUGAUCAGUAGAGGGUCAGACUGCAUAUUACUCCAGGUGAAGGAUCUGCCGUUAAAGGGGAGUUCAACCAGGUCAAGAGCAGAGAUGAGAUCAUUAAAUAGCUGCAUUUCGUUGACAUCUCCACCUGGUUUGUUUCUAUCAUCUGUUGACCUAUAGAGAUUGAAAUCACCUGCUAGUAUCCAGUCGUCUAGAUCAUCUGAGUCUGUAUUUAGUAACCAUGUUAUAAAACCCAUUUUUGCUUCAGCUUGAGAGGGGCCAUAGACAUUGGAGAGAUGAAAUGCAGUCCUAUCCAGUUUAUUCACGAAUCUCAUUGUCACACAGUAGCCAUUCGAGUGUACUACUGUUCCAUCAAAGAUCUUACCAUUCCAGAUGGUGAUGAUACCUCCUGAGGCACCGACUGAUGGUGAGAAGGCGAAGCAGUUUAGAUGUUUUUGGGCAAAAUUUCUUAAGGUAAAGGCUGUCAAAUAGCUCUCUUUUGGUUUCUUGCAGGCAAAGAACUUGGCAAGAGCUUUCUGCUAUUUUGGCUCUAAUUGCGUCCCAUUUGGCCUGGGAGUUUAUUCCUCUUAUGUUCCAAACUAGGAUGUUAAACUGUCUGGUGUUAUUCAUCGUUAAAACAUGAAAAGGAUAGAGAGAGGAUUAACCCCCCAGGGGGGUUAGCAACAUCAGACUCAGCGAGAUACCAAAAGAUAAACUUCUCAUAACCAUUCCACGUCGAACCACAAUGAUAGUGUUCAAAAGCAAACUGCUGAAUAGAAACAACCACAGGAAUAAAAGAUAGCCAACAUGCAAGCUGGUAGGGACAGGAGUGUUUAUUGUUAGGGAAACGAUAGCUAGGCUUGAACAAAAGGUGCACUCUUCUUCUAGAGUGCAGAGACCAAGAGCUAAGUUCUUCAGAUUCCAUCAACAUCCUUCUUGAAAAUGGCGGCAGACACAUCGCUAGGAUGGAUCUGUAGGAAGCCAGUGGCAAUUCCUUGGGCAACUUCUGAUGGCAGAUAUGGAGCUGGUUCUGGAGCUGACGUCUUUGGGGAUGCAGGGACCAUGGUCAGGGGAACUGGAUGGAGUACAUCUUUCUUGAAACCACCUUGCUUGAUGGCGCUCCUUUUGCUGCGCUUGAGGUGACGAUCGUGCAUUUGCUGUUUAGUCUUGGAGAUCUUUCUCUUUUUCUGAGUGAACUGGUUGCCUGAGAUCUCCAACACCUCCUCUUCAGUGAUCUCCAGCAGUUCAGCUCUGGUGGGUGUCACGUCCAUGUCCUGGUCAGGGAUGAGGAAGGCCAACCAGGCCAUGGUUAGGAAGUCACAAAAGUAUGGGGGGAUGGGAAGAUCAGGGUUAAUAUCCAAAAGGUUUAAGAAUAUAAAAAUGCUAGAAGCAGGAGAUUUUGAGAUGUAAUUGAAUACGUUGCUUAUGUCCAAAUUCAGAUUCAACUUUACCGGUGAAGCAUUGGAGAGCUCCUUCCAGGUUGUACCAACUACCACUAACUUGAUCCUGGGGCUGUCUCUGUUGACCCCUGGAGGGAUUGGUUGGUACCUAUCUGCAAAAAUAGAUGCAACUGCCACGGGUCCAGGCUCUCCAACCUCUGCUUCUAGACCCUGCUUCAUUCCCUGACCUUCUUCCUUACCCUUUGGGGAGUUGGAGCCACCAGUAGCAGAGAGAAUAGGACUGGCGCUCGGAUUGGCCGGCGGCACUGGUCCUUCCCAGCGUGGAGCAGGCGUUGGGAAGGGGUGCAGUGGACCGAUGGUGACAAAGCCUUCCUCAUCUGGCAAUAAAGUGACAUUGCUUCUCUUCAGGAUGUAGCAGGGCGAAGUCCAGGAUUUCCCAUUGGGGGGGAGACCACUGAUCAGCUUGAUGGAAGAAGGGAUCUUGACGUCAUCAUUGAGGUAGACUUUGGCUGUGACACAUCCCGGCUGAGUGUCAUCCCAGCCAAUCAGAAUGCCAAACUGUGAAACUGCCCUUACAACAUGUUGCGUGUAUCUCAGAUCUUCAGGAUAGGCCAGUAUCAGAAUCAUGGCUUCUCGAUCGAUUGGGAAGGCUCUGGCAUUCUCCGCCUCAUCAUGUCGAACGAAGUGCAAGGAGUAAUUUCCAAACAUAAAAUUUGGCCCCAAGAAUCUAUCACGCUCAAAAGGAUUGUUGAAUUUGAUAAAAGCAUCACCAAUAGGGCAGGGAGAGAUCUCAGUACCGUAGACCUGGUGCACGUCACGGAAGAAGGCCUUGAGUUCCCUGGCUAGCAGAUGGAAGUCCUCUUUGUGCACUGGUGGGGAGAGCUUUGCGAUAGCCAGGUCCUCAUUGGUCUUGUUGUAGCACCCAGUGACGUAGACUUCGUGACGCAGCAGCGGGGAGGGUUGGACGUCAUCCAGCACGAAGCCCUUGGGGACGAAGGGCCUGGGGUCCGCGACAAAGUUCGCCAUCAGAGAGCUCGAGGGAGGUUCUAGGACUGUAGAUUGGGGGGACACUGAGGCGGAGUCCGAGGGAUAUGUAACCGUGAGACUCGAGGAAGGGAAAUAUAUAUCCCUCGGUCGAGACCCUUCGGCUUCCGUAAUAGAAACGGGCCGAAAAAUCUGGGACUUGGAUUUGGAAAGGCAGGAUUUUCGAGAGUGCCCAUACCGGAAGCAAAUCUCGCAACGGAGCGUGCCAUUGCAGGAAAUACGAUCAUGACCCAGGCCCAUGCAACGGGUGCAACGGUUCAAAGGCCCAAAGGUGGGGAGAUCCAACCGAGCCGCGAAAUCCUAGGGAGACUCUUGAGGAUCAACACGAGAGAUGGGUUUCCAAACCAAAGGAGGCCGAGAUUGACGGGAUCGCGUCAGCGCAUUUGAAUUUGACUUUGAAUUUGUACUUUGACGAGAUCUGACAGACUUAGAAAAAGAGAGAUCAUGCUUAUGAGUGUUUCCCAGGAAAGAGUCGGCAUAGUUCUUCGGAUAGUGAAGGCGUUUAAACACUGAUAAUCUAGUUGGGGGAGUGGAUUUGACUAUGUCAGCAUAGCUUUACAGCGCAGGCUGACUUUUAGGAAUAACAGGGGACCUCUCUGGUUUGCGAGAAACCGUGGUCCAUUCAGCAUUCUGUUCAUCUAUCCAGAGGUUGUAAUCUCUAACCCAGUUUGGGCCAUCAUUUCCCCAAAGAUAAAAGAAAAUGGCGAACAAACGGUAGGAAAACGUUCUCAGAUUCUUGAUCAUAAACCCCACCUUCUUGCAGGAAACGUGAAAGCUAAACAUCCAACCAGACAGAUGUUUGACAUGAACAUCUUUGCUACAACCCCCCAGGCAGGAUUGCAGUAAGAGACCGACUGAAUCCUCAUUGAGGCGGAGGGCUGAACGGCCAAAACUUGCGACCAACUUGAAGGAACGGGAAAGUUGGGAGGGAAUCGGACUCACCGAGCAGCCAAAGCGCAGCGAGAUCAGGUUGCCGAACUUGAGCCCCGGGUCGAAGGAGAUGUCCGAGAGCCCAACAAUGGCCGACUUCAGCAGGGGAGGACGCCAUGGGACAGGGAUUGGGGAGGGAGCUGGGUGGGGAGAGAGGGAGGGGGCGGAGUCAUUCUCUCUAGACCACGUGUAGUCUCGUGUGACUAUAUCAAGGAAUAUGAGAAACAUAGCAAUCACUCCCCUGUAAUAAUGUUCCUCUGCUAGCCCAAUACACGAGAGGGGGACUAUAUAAGAAUCAAUGGAGCUGUCACUACCAUGAACUACCCCGCGGUCUGGCAUAUAGGGUACAAUCGCAGAAAAUUACGGUAUAGGCACCACGCCUACACAAUACUUAUCAUUUACCCACUGUACACAUGGAUAAACGCUAAACGAUCCUAAACAUGUAUAUAAUUCCAAUCUAACUAAGCCAAGCAUAUAACUAUGAUAAACUAAGAACAAUAUAAUUGCAAAUAUAAACAAGUAGAGCAAAGUCAUAAUCAAUAUAUUGAAGUAGAACAAAGUCAUAUUCAUAAUAUUGAAGAACAAAGAUGAACAAUUGAAGAACAAUAGAGGAAUUACCAAGAAUCCUCUUGACAGAUCCGGAAAUCAAUCGAAGAUUGAAUCCUUCUAGUUCUAAUCCUAUGUAGCUAUGCUAAACUAGAGAUCUAUUGAUGUGGUGGCUCUAGGGCUUGAUCAGAGGUUUCUUGUCCCAAGUUGAAUAAUGAAUUAGGGUUCAGAGGUCCCCUCUUCCAGGGGCCAGGGGGUCUGCUUAUAUAGUCCUUCCAAGUGAAUAUGGGCCGUCGGAUCAAAUCGACAUUAACCGCACAGUUUUCCUUGAUCCUUUAGGUCGGUGGAGCAUGAUCCGCGAGAUUGGUUAUGAUUGGCCCUCAGGCCAGGGCGGGCGCCCAAGGGGGGAGGGCGAGCGCCCUGCCCCCGGGACCGAUCGGCCUCCUGUUCGUUCCCGUGGCUUCUGGACUCUUCUAGAUGUUGGAUAAUUGCGCGACACGUUAAUAUCUCUAUGUAAAUCCGACAUGUGGGCCUUUCUUCUAUAUUUCCUGAUAACCCCCUGCAGAAAUAGACAAACACCAAUACUCGUGGAAUUCUGUCAGAUAAAACCCUAAGUCUGGAUGUCGGUUGCAUUUGGAUCCUUUUCUUCGUUUAUUUGUUAAUUAUAUUUGAUACUUAAGGACCGUCAACAAACUCCCCCAAGCUUACCUCUUGCUCGUCCCUGAGCAAGGAUAAUCUCAAUGAUGGAUCAGAAGUUGCUGUAAUGCCUUUAAAAGUUGACGGUACACAUGCUUUCAAAUGAGGUCUCAUCUCUGAGUUAGAGUAAACCGUCAAGACUUAAAACUUACUUAUUUUACCUUUCACCAUGGGACUUGUAACCGUCACUUCUUUCUUGAAUAGUUAAAAGAUAGAACGGUCUAGUCAAGCGCCAUGUCUCUUAUUCUUGAUCAGCUAUAGCUCUGAAGUUUUUGCAGAUUUUCAAAUAAAACUCAGAGAUUUCUUAUAUGACUCUCUCAGAUCUCUCUUUUGUGGUAUUUCUGUAUCCUUACCAAGGCAGUUAUGGUAUAUGCCUUCUCUCAAAAUAUAUAGUAUUUGUUGUAUAAGGCAUAGUGACAAUGCCUUCUCUCUCAUCCUACUCUCAUAAGGCUUUUAUAUUUAGAGCUCAUAGGUGGGAGAUAAGUAUACAUACUUACAAGACAUUUAUUGCAUAGUCAAAUCAUGGAUCCAAAGAAACAAGUCAAUAAGUCAAAUCAAGAUGUGCAUGUGUGGCGAAUGAAUGGUGUAUGGUGAUGAUGGUGAUAACAAUGGUGAAAGUCUAAUUCUACUUUUGCUCUUUUGAGGGGAUGCAUACCUUUCUUGCUCUUAUGAAACUUUUUGAGGGGAAUGAGAUGCUCUUCUUUUUUCUUUUUCUUUUCUCUCAGGUGGGUAUCUUGUAUCCCUAAUUCUACUGUCGGACACUUGUCCAUUUUUACCUCUCGUCUCACUUUUUUUCGAGGUUCCAGGCACUUGCCCCUUUUUAUUUCUUCGUAUCCUUUCUCUUUUUUCUCUCAUUUUUAGAGCACUCAUCUACUGAAAUAAUUUAGCAAGUGGUAGUAACCAAGAUAACUUGAACAUUUAUUUCACAGGGGAAAACAGAAAUGUUUUUUGGCUAUUCUCUCCCAGAUUAGGAGUAGAAUAUUUUUGAGUGGCUCUGGAGAUGGUAAUGAGUGGAUAUAUGAGGAUGCGUACUUCUGGAGUAGAAGCAGCAUGUGUGAGUGAACGUGCAAGUGAAUCUUGAUUUAACCACAUGACAAGCUCCUAAGGGUCUACACAGCUUGACCACACUCAAUGUUCAUAAGCAGUAAAAAGUAAAUGUAUGGCUCAAAGUCCAGCAAGCAUGUAUAUAUGGCUGUGGUAGAAAUUUAAACUCUCAUCAUACAGGAACUCAUCAUGUGAUAUUUUAGAGAUUUUUAAAGAUAAAAUUCUCCAGAUUUCUAGCAUCUCUAGGAACAAAUAAACAACAGCUCAACCUUCCCAUAUCAAAUCCGUUAACAACUUAGACUUCAGAUCGAGUUCUCUUCCCACAAGUUCAGGUUUAGAGCUAGCUUUAAAUUAUAACAGUUAUAUCUAAACUUGAGAGAGAACUUCAAAUUUGAAAAUUAGGCAGAGCAACUAUUCAUCAUAUCCAUGCUAGAGUUUUAUUAUUAAGAUUCAGUUUAGCAUAGCCACUUUAUUUAUUUAUUAAGCAUAUUAAUCAAAAGAUAUAUAUAUAAGCACAAAAUCUUUAUUUGGUUUUUCAUGGUUAUGUAUAUUUUUAUUUUAAUAUAAUAUAAGUAUAUAUAUAUGGAUAGAAAUACUUAGCGGGAUAUAUGGGGGUGCUCUCCCUCAAGCUGAAUUUUGACAUAAUUUCUUCUGAUGUAGAUAGCAGGUCGCAGAGGUGUAUUUGAAAGUCGGCAACACCCUGACAGCGAUUAGAAUAUCCUCUGUCUCCUAGUCUUCUUGAUCCUUGAAUUCUGUGGAGCUCAAAUAGACAACAAAGCUUUGUGGAACUGAUUAGGUGUUAGCAUAAAUAUCUAGUUUAUCAUGUUGAGCCUCCUCAAUAAAUAUUACUCUCUAUUUUUAUAUUUUCAUUUAUAGAGCAGAAAAAAUCAUUUAUUUUAUGUUUAUGCCACCACAGUGAAUGUACUUAUGGGUUUUAUGCCACUCGUAUACUCACAUGGGGCUUACUGUUUUUUAACAUUUUUAUUUUCUUUUUAGGAUAGUACGAACAUGAUUAACUAAGCAAAUAAUUUGAAAUAAUUAAAAGGAAAAAGAUAACUACCAAGUUUACCUCUUGGCAAGGCAUUCGGUGUUUUUAAGUCCUCCGAACGGGACUCUCCAUUUUCUCAGUUGUCCUGGGAUUCGUUGGAUGGCGUAGUCGGUGCUUCCGGUGGCGCCUCCUCUUCUUGUAUAACUAUCUUCUCUCUCUACACCUGACUCGGUGCUACGGUCUCCAUUGGAUAAUUCUGUUCAAGUUGUAUGUCUUCAGACCUUACCACUUCUCCUUCGUAGUCUGCCCAUCCGUCCUUAAUGAUUUGCCUCCUCUGGUUGCGGUUGCGUAGUCUUCUUCUUGUCCUGACCUGCUUAGAGUCUUCAACUAUAUAGUUAGGGUCAGUAAAAUAGCGGCAUACCUUCUCAGAGAGGAAGUGCAUGUGGACUUCUCCGGUUCCAAUGUAGAUGAUUGCUUUAACGGUGCUGAGGAACGGUCUCCCAAGGAUGAUGGGUGUUGGGUAUUCUUAACAUCAUUACCAAAAGUAGACUUAAUUUUCCAAUUCUGAUAACGGUGCCAAAAAUGCCAAACCUAUCCCUCAUACCACUUAAGCCAAGUUGUCAUCCCCAGCAUGACAUGAGAGACGCGGUAUUGAAAUAUGCAAUUGCUCUUCUAAAUAAAUAAUGAAUGGGAUCUGCAAGCGCACAGAUUAAUACCAAUGUAGCAUUUUAACCGGGAAGUAUUCUAGAUAUCGUUAUUUAUAUUUUUACCACUGGGAAGGGAUUAACAAUCAUCAGUAUUGAUUACAGAAUGAAAUAUGAGAUUGAGUAUCUAUCACUGCAUGUAUAAUUGAGAACAUUUAUCUAACUCUUUCAGACAGGGAUAAGUGUCACAUAAAAGAUAUAUGAAGUAAUGAAUAGUGACAAAGAUAAUUAAUCUGAUCAGCAUAACUUAACCACAUAAUAAAUAGGAUAAGCACCUCAAUUAGAUACUCUAGAAAGUCAUUAGCAUGGUAUUAGAACAAACUACAAGAAUAUUUCCUAAGUUAUUCUCAACUAUAUAGUCUAGCAUUAUCAUAGUUAGUGCAAGCAUACUUAGCAAUCAUUGUGAGACAGGACUACGCCCAUGCAUAGUGAUAUUAGCAAGGUAAAUGAGAAACAUAGCAAUCACUCCCCUGUAAUAAUGUUGCUCUGCCAGCCCAAUACACGAGAGGGGGACAAUAUAAGAAUCAAUGAAGUUGUCACUAUCACGAACUACCCCACGAUCUGGCAUAUUGGGUACAAUCGUAGAUAAAUACGGUAUAAGCACCACACCUAAACAAUAUCUAUCAUUUACCCAUGGAUCCGAUGGAUAAACGCUAUACGAUCCUAAGCAUGUAUAUAGAUCUAAUCUAACUAAGCCAAGUAUAUAACUAUGAUAAACUAAGAACAAUAUAAUCUUGAAUAUAAACAAGUAGAGCAAAGUCAUAAGCAAUAUAUUGAAGUAGAACAAAGUCAUAUUCAUAAUAUUGAAGAACAAAGAUAAUUAGAAGAACAAUUAGAAGAACAAUUAGAGAAUUACCAAGAAUCCUCUUGACAGAUCCGAAAACCAAUCGAAGAUUGACUCCUUCUAGUUCUAAUCCUAUGUAGCUAUGCUAAUCUAGAUAUCUAAUUGAUGUGGUUGCUAUAAUCUUGAUCAGAGGCUUCUUCUCCCUUGAGGAAUAAUGAAUUAGGGUUGAGAGGCUCUCUCCUUCAGGGGCCAGGGGGUCUGGUUUUAUAGUCCCUUCAAGUGAAUAUGGGUCGUUGGAUCGAACCGACAUUGAUUAAACGGUUAUCCUUGAUCCUUUAGGUCGGUGGAGAUCUUUCCCGAAAGAGAGUCCUGAUUGGACUCCAACAGGGGGCGGGCGCCCAGGUCAACUGGGCGGGCGCCCAGUGCCUGGCCCCGUUCGGCCUCCGCUUCCUUCCCGUGGCUUCUGAAGUCUUCUAGAUGUAAGAUAAUUGCGCGGCACAUUGAUAUCUCUAUGUAAUCCCGACAUAUGGGCCUUUCUUCCGUAUUUCCUGAUAACCCCCUGCAGAAAUAGACAAACACCAAAACUCAUGGAAUUCUGUUAGAUAAAACCCUAAGUCUUUAUGUUGAUUUCAUUUGGAUCCUUUUCUUUGUUUAUUUGAUAAUUAAAUUUGAUACUUAAGGACCGUCAACAAUGGGCGGAUCGUACUCGUCUUCUCCCAUGUCAAUAACCUAAAAGUCUGUAUGGACAAAAUGAUUGUCUAUUUUGACAGGGACAUCAGUUACUAUACCUUCAACCUUUCAGAAUGUCUAAUCUGCCAUUUGGAGUUGAAUGUAUGUCGGUUUUAGGGGCAUGGUUCCGAACAAGAGCAGAUAGGUGACUACGGCCAUUAUGUUGACGCCCGAUCCGAUGUCGCAAAGUGUCUUGUAGAAGUUGUAUCCAUUAAUGGAGCAAUGAAUGCUUGGCAUACCUAGGUCGUCUUUCUUGGUCAGGAACGGUGACUUAAGUCGACGAUCUUGACCUCCUUGAACUGCAGUGACCAUCUUAACUAACUCGGUCCACACUUGCUUAUUACUGUUCCUCCUGUUGGUCCUCUUCCUUGGUUCAUGUCGGGGUUGCUCUGGGAUUUGUGUAGUCUUGUUCUUGAAUGAAAACGUCUCCUUCCUCCCUUUGAUGUAUCUUGGUAGCACUAGCGUAGAUGACAGCUCCCGAGGUCUUCAGGAAUGGCCUCCCUAAGAUGACGGGUGCCUUCUCAUCAUUACCGGUCUCUAUCACCACGAGUCUACUGGGGGGUACAAGGUAUCAACUCGGACGCAGAGGUUCUUCAAUAUUCCCUUUGUGAAACUUAACGUCCAAUCUGCAAACUGCAAACACAUGGUUGUUUCUAAUAAAGGAUAUGUAAAGAUUUUUUUAUAGAGUACCCUGUGCAUAAUGUUGACACUAGAGCCAAAGUCAUAGAGUGCUUCUAGGAAGUCCACCAUGCCGAUGGAGAUCGGGAUGACGGGGCAUCCUGGAUCGCCUCUCUUGACCGGCAGAAGGUCAGUAGUAACUUCAGUGACAGGGUUACUCCAGUAGUUACCUGCAUCAAACAUGUCUACAAGAUUUGCAGAUUCUAAUCCUUCCGGUUGUGAUGGUAUACCAGGGUUAGUAGCAGGAAUAGCAGUAGCUAUUUGAUUUAACUGAGAUUCAAUCAUUUUAUUAAAGCUAAUUUGAUUCUUGAUGGCAGUAGAGAAAUUAUCCAUUCUAUUAUUUAUAUUUUCUAACAUUUUAUCAUUAGAUGCCAAUUUCUUAGAUAGGUUAUCCAUUAGCUUUCUUUGAUUAGACACUAACUCUCUCAGAGGUGGAAAAUUAUUAUUAUUAUUAUUGUAAGAAUUGUUACCUUGAUAAUUACUUGAGUAGUUAUGCCUUUGUUGAUUCCAACCUUGAUUUUGUUGAGGACGGUUGUAGUAGUAGUAGUUGUAGUUGUUGUUGAUGUAGUUCAUGUCCUCAAGCAUCUCAGGGCAGUGAUUGCAUGAGUGUCCAGUAUCUCCACACUCCUCACAAGUCAUGUGAGAGUCGUAGAUGUGCAUAACUUCUUUCUUAUCUCUAGCUCUAUCAUCGAGCUUCUUCAUGAGCAGGUCUAGCUUUAAAGACAGCAUGUCUACCUCCUUGAGCUGAUGCAUACCUCCCCCUCUCUUGCGUAUCUAGGUCCUUUCUUCAUUCCAGCCUUGGUUGGACGCCAUCUUCUCCACAAGAGCUGUGGCUUGUGGUAUGGUGAGUGAUAGGAAUGCUCCUCCAGCUGCAGCAUCCAUGGUCUCUUGGGCACUAUUUUCGAGCCCAUGAUAAAACGUCUGCAUCAGCAGCCAGCUCUCCAUUCUAUGAUGGGGACAUUCUAGGAUGUAGUCUUGGAAGCGCUCCCAUGCUUCUAGAACGGAUUCAUCAUGUUGUUGCUGAAAACUUGUAAUUUUCCCACGGAGAGCAUUGGUCUUGCCCAUGGGAAAGAACUUAGCCACAAAGUUCGUGGAGCAGAGUGCCCACGUAGUAUUCUUCUCCUUUGUAGCGUAGAACCACUACUUCGCUCUCCCCAACAGUGAGAAUGGGAAGAGGCGAAGUAGUAUAGCAUCUCUGUGGACUCCUGAUAUGGUAAAUGUGCUGCAAAUCUCCAGGAAGUGUUGGAGAUGAGCACUAGCAUCUUCGUGUGCCUUCCCACAGAACUAGUUGGUUUGCACCAUGUUGAUAUGUCCAGGCUUGAGCUCAAAGUUGCCGUCGAUCUCUGCAGCAGGUCCAGUGCGGAUGUUGUCCGUAGUGGGAGCUGAGAACUCACGGAUCGAUUUGUUCGCCAUGACUUCGAACUCUGAAGACAAGUUCCGGGUGAAACUUCGGUGAUCUUCUUAAUUGUAUGAAGCUUCCUACUGAAGUGUUGAUGAUCUCUUCUUGAGCUUGGCUCUUGUUUUUCUGAUUAAUGCUUCGGGAUUGUCAACAAAAUUUCCUGGAAGAUAUCUUCUAUUAAUACAUUACCCUGCAUAAGAUAAAAUAGAAAUAUAACGGGGUAAAACUGUAUGAGAGAAUUGAUAAUCUCAAUAAUAUUAGUGAUGUGAAUGAUGACUCGAAAUUCCAUAUUCAUUCCUGAUUAGUAAUCAACCUUCCCGGCAACAGCGCCAAAAAUGCUUGUUGGGCACUCUUAACGUCACUACCAAAAGUAGACAUAGUUUUCUAAUUCUGAUAACGGCGCCAAAAAUGCCAAACCUAUCCCUCAUGCCACUUAAGCCAAGUUGUCAUCCCCAGCAUGACAUGAGAGACGCGGUAUUGAAAUAUACAAUUGCUCUUCUAAAUAAAUAAUAAAUGAGAUCUGCAAGCGCACAGAUUAAUAUCGAUGCAGCAUUUCAACCGGAAAGUAUUCCAGGUAUCGUUAUUUAUAUUUUUACCACUAGGAAGGGAUUGCUAAACAUCAAUGUUGAUUAUGGAAUGGAAUAUAAGAUUGAGUUUCUAUCAUUGCAUGUAUAAUUGAGAGCAUUUAUCUAUCUCUUUUAUACAGGGAUAAGUGUCACAUAAAAGAUAGAUAAAGUAUCAAUGGUGACAAAGAUAAUUAAUCUGAUCAGCAUAAAUAGCCACAUAUAAAUAUGAUAAGCACCUCAACAGAUAUUCUAGCAAGUCAUUAGCAUGGAAUUAGGACGAACUACAAGAAUAUUCCCUAAGUUAUUCUUAACUAUACAGUCUAGCAUAUCAUAGUUAGUGCAAUUAUACUUGGCAAUCAUUGCAAGAUAGGACUACGGCCAUGCAUAGUGAUAUUAUCAAGGAAUAUGAGAAACAUAGCAAUCACUUCCCUGUAAUAAUGUUGCUCUGCCAGCCCUAUACACGAGAGGGGGACUAUAUAAGAAUCAAUGGAGCCGUCACUACCACGAACUACCACGCGGUCUGGCAUAUAGGGUACAAUCGCAGAUAAAUAUGGUAUAGGCACCACGCCUACAUAAUACUUAUCAUUUACCCACUGUACACAUGGAUAAAUGCUAUACGAUCCUAAACAUGUAUAUAAUUCCAAUCUAACUAAGCCAAGCAUAUAACUAUGAUAAACUAAGAACAAUAUAAUUGCAAAUAUAAACAAGUAGAGCAAAGUCAUAAUCAAUAUAUUGAAGUAGAACAAAGUCAUAUUCAUAAUAUUGAAGAACAAAGAUGAACAAUUGAAGAACAAUAGAGGAAUUACCAAGAAUCCUCUUGACAGAUCCGGAAACCAAUCGAAGAUUGACUCCUUCUAGUUCUAAUCCUAUGUAGCUAUGUUAAACUAGAGAUCUAUUGAUGUGGUGGCUCUAGGGCUUGAUCAGAGGCUUCUUCUCCUAAGAUGAAUAAUGAAUUAGGGUUCAGAGGUCCCCUCUUCCAAGGGCCAGGGGUCUGCUUAUAUAGUCCUUCCAAGUGAAUAUGGGCCGUCGGAUCAAACCGAUAUUAAUCACACGGUUUUCCUUGAUCCUUUAGGUCGGUGGAGCAUGAUCCGCGAGAUUGGUUAUGAUUGGCCCUCAGGUAUAACACCCCAAAAUUUUAAUUUUGGUUGUUAUUAUAAAACAGUAAAUAAAAUGAAUGAUUUUUAAUAUAUGGAUAAAAUUUACCGAUAAUAGUUUAGAUUUUCAUAUAUUUUUAUCAAAGAAAAAUGGUGCUUUUCAAAUAUUGUGGAAAUAAUUAGGCAAGCUUUAGUUGAUGUGAUAUUUGCUUGUUGCUUGAUUUUUAUGUUUUUAUGUGUGCUAAGAUUUUAAAAACACGUUUAGACAUCGUCCGAUCUUUUCCAAGAAUUUUCUAGAUUUUUUUCGGGCUUUCUCCUAUUUUUCCUAGAACAAAAUCUAUUUUUUAUAUGCUCUAAAAUUCUUUUUCAUGGACCCCAAAAACUUUAUUUGGAUUCAUCAUCUCUCAAUCUAUCCCUACAAGUUUAACUUUAAUUUUUGGAGUUUUAAAACUAGUUUUUGGAGAUUUAAAAUGAUUUUAGCUUUUUCUGGGAUUAUUUUUGAACUGAAAAUGAUUUAUUUAAAAUCCCGAAAUUAAGAAAUUCCAAAACUUUUCCAAACCCUAGACCUAUAUAUACGUCGGCGUAGCUCUCAACGCGCUGAUUCCAGAAGUACAAUUAAAGAUAGCAAUGGGGUCCCGAUCCCCGAUUCCCCGCGGGGAAUUCCCCUAUUAGGGGACAGGGAUGAGGCCAAAAUAUUUCCCACGGGGAUGAAUUUGGUACAAGAAUGAUCCCCGUUGGGGAUGACGGAUCCGGGGAUGGUAUGCUGGUCUCCAUCCCCGAUCCCCGUAAACCCGCUCCGUCAAGCAGGCAUCAAGGCACCGCGCAACCGCAAUCAGGCAACCAGGCCCAUGUAAAGGCCCAAGUAUUGGCUCAGAGUAUAUAUACGCAACAUCUUCUAAACCUAAUUCCCCACUCCCCAAUCCUAUCCAUUUUCUCCACCGGCCGCCGCUCUCCCUGUGUGGCUGUGCGGUGCCCAACAAUCCUAUUCUGUCCAUUUUCUCCUGUCUGCAGUCCGUCUUCACUAGAUCUCUACUCUGGCCAACAAUACACAGUUCCAUGCUCUUGAGUCUUGACGAGAAGUCUGGCCGCCGUGCUCCUACCUCUCCGUGUCUGGUUGCCAGCAAUCCUGGAGGCUGGUCCGUAGGAAGUCUGUCUCUACCUCAUCAGAUGCUUGAUGCGUACUGGUGCUGGAGCAGCACUAGUGUGUUUUCUUUAGUUCUUUAUUAGUGUUUGUGUCCUAUGCUUGUGUAUGUAUCAUGAAAACUUGUGAUUUGUGAACAUAUGGCUAUGCUUUUUUUGUUGCGUAUGUGCUGGACACCUCAACAGCUAUAUGCAACUGAUAAACCUUGUUGCCUUGCUAUUGGAAUGGAUUGCUUAGACUUUUCUGUACCGUGAAUCUAUGAGUAAACUUUCGUGUGGUUUGGUUUCUCUGGGAAACUUUUUGUUACCGUGUUCGGGGAUGGGGAUCUCCACGGGGACUAAAUCCCCGGCGGGGAACGGGGAUGGGGAAGAAAUGUCCCCGUUGAUGUUCACGGGGGCGGUGACGGGGAAAAUUCUUCCCCGCGGGGACGGGGAUGGUGGCUUAUUACCCGAGGGGGAAUUCCCCGUUGCCAUAGCUAAGGACGAUCGCUUUCUCGAGCCGCCAUUCGUAGCCCCGUAGAUCCAUCGCCGAAGUUUUAGAUCUCAUUCCCGGCGAACUUUUCCGGCGAACGUUCGGCGAGCGUUUCCGGGCAUCUCCGGCAUCUCCUGCGAAAACCGACACCGCUGCGAGGUUCGUCUCGUCAUCCUCUACACCGGCACACUAUCCUUUUCUCGAAUCCAUGCUCGUUCAUCGUUUCCCUAACUUUAUCUCUUUUCCGAUGAGAAGCACCAUGGCUAAUCUUUCUUCAUCUUCUCCGGUCAUCCAGCAUCGCCUCGGCCUCCCAGUGCCCGAACCCAUGUCGCUACUGAUCCGCGGCCUUGUCGCGCUCAUCUCCCUGCGCCUGGCGUCUCUCCCAUCGCACCACGUACAGGUCGUAGGUGCUGCUCGGGCGGUGGCAUGUGUGCAUCGGCAGCCAAGGGCGCGGCCCCUGCUGGCCCCCACCACCGCGGCCCUGCAGGCCAGGCGCGCCGCAGCCGCUGCUAGCAGGUCGGCCGGCCGAGCCCCUCCCCUCCCGGCGCGAUGCAGCCUCCAUGGACAGAACGUGAACACGUGAUGGAGAAAAAAGACCAAGGUAGAAGAUGACGAUAAUUACAGUUUUGCCAUCAAACUUUAAAUCCUUGUUGUUUAUUUGUUUUAAUUCUGAUUCGAGUCGUUCCGGUUGCGUUAGUUUCGUAUCGCCACGCUCUACGCAGUAGUAUAAAUAUUUAUCAUGUAACUUAUUUCUGAAUUUAUUGAUUUAAAUUCAAUUAUUUAAUAUUUAUUUAAUAGCUUUCCAAUGAAAACUAAUCUAGGGUUAUAAUUUCAUAUUUGUUGUGUCGGGAUCGUACCGAUGUAAGCUAUGCAAUAGCAGCGCUCUUUAACAUGUUAUGUGUUUAUAAAUUUAAUCAUUGAUUAAUGAAUAGUCAAUGCUCUUCUAAAUUAAAAGCAACUUAGGAUUAUAAUUUCAACUUUUAUAAAUAAAUAAGUGCUAACGCCGUUAAUAUUAGCUUAAAUGUUUCCUAAUUAUAAUUUAUUUAGUUAAAUAUGAAGCAUGUAAUUAAUUUGGAUAAUAUUUAUCUAAUGUCAUGUUUAAUAAAAUAAAGUUAUGUUUAUAUAUUGGUCUUUCAUAAAUUAAUUAUAAUAUGAUUAAUACCAACACUAAUGUCUUUUUAAUUACAAGCAAUUUAGGUAUAUAAGUUUGGACUUUAAUAAAUAAUGCUAAUAUGAUUAGUGUCAACAUUAAUACCUUUCUAAUAUAACUCACUUAGUUCAACCUCGAGCCAUCUAUGCUUUUGUUUGCACUUAGUUCAACCUCGAGCCAUCUAUGCUUUUGUUUGUUUUUGUCGCAUGUUUUAUGUUUCCAAACCAUAAAUCUUUUAAGUGACUUCAAUAAUGUUAAAUGUUUAUAACUAUAAUAUGAUUAAGGUUUGUAAAGGUUCUUUCUAAAUAAAACAUAAUUUGAUUAAUGAUUGCACAUAUUUGUUUCUAAAUAAAAGUAACAUAUGAAAAUAUUGACCUUUUUAUAAUUACUUGUCAACUUAAAUGUGUAUUUAUUAAUUAUUAAUUUGCCUUGUUCAAAUAUGAUCAUAUAGAGUUGUUUCACAUGAAUUUGAUUAGUAUUUAUUCAAUGUCUUUUUGAAUUUGAAGUAGUUUAGGUUUAUCUCCGAUCCUUCAUAAAUCAUAUUAAUUACAUAAUAAUAUCAACAUAAAUGCCUUGUUAGUUAUGACUUGCUCGACGUAUAAAAAUAGUAAAUCAAUUAGUUGCUCUUGCAUGUUUUAUGUCUUCUAAUUUUAUAAAUACUUAAAUGAUUUUAAUACUAUAAAGUAUUUGUAAAUAAAAAAAUGAUUAAGGGUAACCCUGAAUUUUGUAAUUUAAUUCGAUUAAUUCAACAUUAGAAUAUUUCUCUGAAAUGACCAAUCUUAUUUCAUUAACUAAAAUGAAUUAAGAUUAUAGUCCUGUCUUCUCUGUUAUGUCGCACACAUCUCAUUGGACGUGUCCUCGCUAACGGUAGCUCUUUAUCGAUAGCUCCGCUUUUUGUUGUUCUUGCGCUUUUACGAUCGUAGUAUCGAGCUAUGUCAUUUAGUGCCCUCUUCUCAAAGUGUCUUCUUUGUUUGGUGUAUGUUCAUAGUAGUUAUGUCUGCUUGUUUGUUUGUCUCCUAGUGUGUUUGUUUGUGUUGCGGUUUGAUGUGGCACGCGAGUAACCGAAGAGUGUGGUUCGUCGAAGACCAGGAGCUGAGGACCGAUAGUUGCAGUAGAAGCUAAAGAUCAGAAGAUAGAAGCCAAAGAAUUCUGAGCAGUCAUAUACUGAAAGGCAAGUGCAGGCACCCUUUGAUCAUAUUGUACCUAUAAACUUUAAAUACAUUUACUUUCCAUUGCAUGUGUCUUAAUACUGCAAACCCUAAGGACAUGACUAGCCCUCUACUGUAUUCCUUAUACUCCUGGGUUUUAUACAUGGGUAGAAUAGUGAACAGUAGUUAUGAUUAGCUGCUCUACUCAUCUAAUCUAUAUAAUAAUAAAAGUAAUAAUCUUGCCUAAUGAAUUCUUCAACGAUGACUAAUGCUUCAAUGAUGGAUAAUGGUCACUUCGGUGACGGAGAUGAUGCGGUGCUUGCGAGCAUCGUGGUUUGUUGAGGAAAGAGGGAGCGGGUACUGUUGGUUGGCCCGGUUGCCGGGCGUACCCGUCUCUGCUCUCCGUAAGGACUUAGUCAUGGAGCGGCCCCCUGGGACAUACAGUGCAGCUCCAAGCUAUAUGGCUCUGGCUUGACUAAUUAGCAGGACCUCCACUAGUAGGGUGUUACUUUCCGGGUAGACAUGAGGAAGUAACUUGGGUAAUGAAUAUUAAGUUGUCGAUUGAUCGUUAUGCCAUGGCUAUGGGUAUGACUGCUGAGCGCUCCGGCCAAAACUUACGAGUGGCAUCCUAUUAGUUGGACCCUGUGAAAGGUCUCGUAGUGAGACCCUGCCUGCUCACCUUGGUAGUGUUUUGGGGAGUCGCGACCCCGGGCAAAUGGGAAUCACAACUUGGAGUGAACGUGCACACCUCUGCAGAGUGUAAAACUGAUAUAUCAGCCGUGCUCACGGUCACGAGCGGCCCAGACCCUCACUUGAUGAGCAAAUUGGAAUCACAUGGAACUUGGAGGCGAAACUUGGUUGAGGUUGCUACCUCAUGCUUUGGCGGAAUGGCUAUUCCGUAUUGGCAGGAUUGCUAUCCUGUGUUCUUAAUUGGGAUUGCUAUCCCAUGACCUUAAUGGGGUUGCUACCCCGAGUUACUAUCCGAGGUUGCUACCUCGGAGAUCUUAAUAAUAAUAAUAAUUAUAAUGAAGAGUAAUAAUAUUGUUAAUAUACUUUCAUCUAAUUAAGGGUCGGGAUGCUUCACUCAUAUUUAGUAAUAGGUUGUUUUAAUAAAAGAAUUGUAAUAAAAGUGUACCAACUUAAAAGCUCACCUGCAGUUAAACAAUGUCAGCUUUUCCUUUGAUUAAGCCGUGCAUGUCAUUAUACUUUCCGUCUGUACUUGUUGAGUUCGACAUGAACUCACCCUUGCUAUUUCCCCCACACCCCCAGUGUGUAGUAAAGUGCUGCUCAGAAGAAGGAUUAAGAUAUCGUGAAGUUUUCUCGAGGCUUAUCAGAAGUGCUUGGCGUACGGAGCCCCCAGUCAACCGUCCCUGAGAAGAAUGGAGCCUAAGAAGUUUAGCUAUUGUUUCUGCGUACUCUGAUGUUUGUAAGUGCUAUUAUAAAUAUGUUUUCCGCUAUAUAUAAUAUUGUUUCUGAUAUUUCUAUUGUUUGUUGUAUGUGUGGACUUCCUGGGCACACAUAUGACGACUCUGGUCUUAUUUUAAAAGCCAGGGUGUGAGAUCAGGCCAGGGCGGGCGCCCUGCCCCCAGGCCUGAUCGGCCUCCCGUUCGUUCUCGUGGCUUCUGGACUCUUCUAGAUGUUGGAUAAUUGCGCAGCACGUUAAUAUCUCUAUGUAAACCCGACAUGUGGGCCUUUCUUCCAUAUUUCCUGAUAACCCCCUGCAGAAAUAGACAAACACCAAAACUCGUAGAAUUCUUUCAGAUAAAACCCUAAGUCUGGAUGUCGGUUGCAUUUGGAUCCUUUUCUUUGUUUAUUUGUUGAUUAUAUUUGAUACUUAAGGACCGUCAACAGAUGCCGUGAAGAACAUGCCGGUAGGAGACAUCAAGCCAAAGGAAGAUGAUGAUGUGCAAAUUAUUGAGCCACCAUCCACCUCACAUGUGCCACAAGAUGAAGACAAGGAUGUGAGAGAUGCUCAUGAAGACACCCAAGUCACUCAUGAGCAAGCGGUGGCACAAGCACAAGAUGUUGAUGCUCCCCAAGCAACCCCUCAAGUGGCGCCAAGAAGAUCAUCACAUCUCCUCUAAGAUCACUCUCAAGAUCUCAUCAUCGGGAGUCCAUCACGUGGUGUAACUACACGCUCUAGACAUGCUUUAUUUAUUGAACAUCACGCUUUUGUGUCUCUUGAAGAUGAACCAAAGACUAUAGAGGAAGCUCUUUGUGAUGCGGAUUGGAUCAUAGCCAUGCAAGAGGAGUUGAACAACUUCUCUCGCAACCAAGUGUGGACACUUGAAGAGCGACACAAAGAUGCAAGAGGGAUUGGAACAAAGUGGGUCUUCUGGAACAAAAAGGAUGAUUAAGGCAAGGUGGUGCGCAACAAGGCAAGGCUUGUGGCAAAAGGCUUUUCACAAGUGGAAGGUCUUGACUUCGGUGAAACUUUUGCACCGGUGGCAAGACUUGAAGCAAUCCGUAUCCUACUUGCAUAUGCAUCUAGUCAUGAUAUCAAGUUGUUUCAAAUGGAUGUGAAAAGUUCUUUUUUAAAUUAUUAUAUUAAUGAGCUUUUCUAUGUUGAGCAACCCCCGGUUUUAAAGACCCUAGGUACCCGAAGCAUGUCAACCGGUUGUCCAAGGCUCUCUAUGGUCUCAAGCAAGCUCCUAGAGCUUGGUAUGAGAGGCUUAGGGACUUCCUCAUUGAGAAGGGAUUCAAGAUUGGGAAAGUUGACACAACACUCUUUGCCAAGAAAAUAAAUGGGGAAAUCUUCAUUUGCCAAGUUAUCUCGAUGAUAUUAUUUUUGGUUCAACUAAUGAAGAUUUUUGCAAGGAAUUUGGUGAUUUGAUGUCCAAGGAGUUUGAGAUGUCCAUGAUUUCAAGUCAAGCAAAUGAAGUAAGGGGUCUUCAUCUCUCAAGAGAAGUACACACAAGAUCUUCUCAAGAGGUUCAAGAUGAUGGAUUGCAAGCCAAUCAAGUCUCCCAUGGCAUCAAAUGGGCAUCUCGACUUGGAUGAGGGAGGUAACCCAAUUGAUAAGACUCUCUAUCGUUCCAUGAUAGGAAGUCUACUCUACCUCACCGCAUCUAGGCCCGAUAUCAUGUUUAGUGUGUGUAUGUGUGCUAGAUAUCAAGCUAUGCCUAUGGAAUCUCACUUGAUUGCCGUCAAGAGAAUUCUUAGGUAUCUAAAAUACACAUCGUGCCUAGGAUUGUGGUAUCCCAAAGGUGCAAGAUUCCAACUUGUAGGCUAUUCCGAUUUGGAUUAUGCCGGGUGCCGCAUUGAUAGAAAGAGCACAUCCAGAGGGUGCCACUUCCUAGGUAGAUCUCUUGUCUCUUGGAUGUCAAAGAAAUAAAAUAGUGUUGCUUUGUCAACGGCCGAGGCGGAAUACAUUGCCGCCGGUGCUUGUUGUGCACAAAUACUUUACAUGAAACAAACUUUGCUAGACUAUGAAGUAGUACUAGACAAAGUACCUUUGUUGUGUGACAAUGAAAGUGCCGUAAAACUUGCAAACAACCCGGUUUAACACACCCGCACAAAACACGUUUACAUCUGUCACCACUUCCUUAGGGAUCAUGUUGCUAAAGGUGAUAUAUCCCUAGAGAAUGUGGGAACGGAAAAUCAAUUGACGGAUAUCUUCACAAAACCUCUAGAUGAAGCUAGGUUUUGUAUGUUGAGAAAUGAACGUAAUGUGCUUGAUCUCUCUAACUUCACUAAAAAAUGAAGUUGUGUGUUCACUUUGUAAAUAGCUUUUGUUUUGCAUAUCAUGCAUACCCAAAAAUAAAAAAACAAAAAGAAUUGUGUGUAGGGCUUGUCUAACAUGGUUAAGAUAACCCCCUUGUGUGUGAAAAAGCUUAACCUUGCAUCAAACUUGACAAGCAUUAGUUUAUUUUCAAGUAUUGCAUUGCACCUCAUAUCAUAUGCAUGCUUGUUGGUUCUCCGUUUCUUUUUGGUUAUGGUUUGAGCAUCCGCUGUGUUUGUCCAUAGAUAGGGGGAGCAUUCAAAGCUCAUUAUGAUCUAAACCCAUAGCUUUAUGGCCACAUGAUGCUCCUUGGUGUUUUCACUUGACUAUUUUCAUAAAAACUACUAUGCCUAAGGCUAAAUAUUUGUAAAAAAUUGAGGGUUUGAGAGAGGUCACUCAUACCAGUUCCAAUUUGUGUUUAUUUGAAUCUUCUUGAAGUUGGAACUUGGUUGGGUAAAAGUCGGACAAAGUUCUAAGUAGAAAAAGAGGCCAGAGGUGCACCGAACGAUGCAUAGGACGCUCCUGCUGUGCGUCCAGUGCGGUGAGUCUGCUGGAAAGCACUCACCGGACCAGGAACAGUGUCCCUGUAGCACCCGGUGAGGUGCGUCCGGUGCUCAUCCAGGCGUGCCCUAGGGCACCGGACGCUAAGGGCAGCGUCCGUUGGCCAUCGUCUGGUGGUCAGGUCAUCUGCGGAGCUCUCUGUGUUUUAGUCCGAUGGUCACCGGACGCGUCCGGUGCCACAUAAAGAGCGUCCGGUGACCCCGCAACGAGCGGAUAUAAGGCUUUGGUCGGGCAUCUGUUUGGCUGAGUUCCUUUUCAUCCCUGCGAACCGUCAAGCCGCCCACGCCCGUGCCCUAAUCGCCCAGGCCGCCGCCUCCGACGAUCACGCGCGGCCUCUAGCGUUCUUCUUCUUCACCUUGCGGCCGAGUCUUCCCCGAAGGUUCCUCCAACCUCUCCUCGCGCUGGGGCAUUCAUCUCAUGCGAAGUUUUAGGGUUUGGGGUGAGCUUCCUUAUCUACGCACUUAAGGUGUUUGCCUUUAUGUGUCAAUGGAUUAGAACGAUGUUUUUGACCUUGAUUUGCUCCGUUUCAUCUGUGCAGCACCUUUAGGAGUUGGUUCGCAUUCUCUGGCGGUUUUUGAUCGAGAUCUUUUGUCCGAAACGUGUCUCAUCGUUGGAUUGUAAGUUGUUCGCGCCCGUUCCUUAUCCAAUCUUGCAAUCUAUAGGGUUUUCUCAUCUCUACCUUAUGUUUGCUUAUGUAUACCCUAUCUAUUCCAUCUCUUGCAGCGCGUUGGUCUCUUUUGAGAGUUUGGCAGUGUCAGUUGAACUCGGGGCCAAGCCCACGAGUACGGAUUGAGUCCAAGCCUCUUGAGUGUCAGUUGCUCAGUUGUUGGCAGUGGUUUACAGGUAGUUUCUUGCAAUGGCAUGUUGCAAGAAUGUUAGUGGUCCAACAGCUAGCAGUGGUGGCUCUCCAGGAGGUGAUGGUGGAGGUGAUCCUCCCCGUCGCCUUUCAGCUGCAGAGAAGGUCAAAGGCAAGAAGCUGGCCACCAAGAAGAGGAAGGCCAGUGAAAGAGAGGCCGAGGUGGCCGAGGUAGUGGCAGCAGUAGCUGAGGCAGCCGAGAGGGGUGGACGUUCCAGGUGCUCUGAGGAUUGGGACAGACCUCACGCCAGCUCAGAGGCGUGCAGUCUUAUAGGUUGAGCAGCGACACGGGACUCCACCUGGCAUCAUCAUGCUAGGGGGUCAGCGUGUCCAGAUUGACAUGACAGAGUCCGCACAGGAGGACUUAGAGACUGAGACUGAGGCAGAGGCCCAGGCAGAGGACCCGAUAGAGGCUCAGCAGCAGGAGCAGCCCCUCAGGAGGUCGACUCGCACACGUACUCAGGCUGUCCCUAGGACUGGUACACAGGGUUAGUCCACCUCCUCUGCUCGCUCCACUCCAGCAUGUGGUACUCUAGCUCCACGUCCAGCUCCAGUCAGGAUUCAUAAGGAUUACACCCAGGCCUCCGCUCGAGAGAUCCAGGAGCUGAGAUUUGCUCUUUUUCCUACUUGGUUUCCAGCUACCAGGGAUCAGAGGGCCAGUGCUAGAUUCUACACAGUGGUCCAGGAGGAUAUGUAUGAGGCAUUUAUCCGCUCGGAGACUCAGUUCAGGGAGCAUAGGGUGCUAGACCUUGAGGUGCUUGGGAACGUGGUCGGUGCGGAUAUCAGGCAGUAUUUUACUUAUCUGACCGGUCUCCCAGGCUUGCUUGCUUUACCAGGUACCUAUUGUGAGGAGUGGGUACGGGAGUUCUAUGCCUCAGUGAGGGUUACUCCAGACCAUAGCUACAUCCACUACGCACUGGCAGGCACAGACUAUAGAGUGACAACUCAGAGGGCCAGAGAGGUUCUUGGUUUGACAGCUUAUGCCACCCGUAUCCAUCAGCUAUGCUACGGGAACUUCGAGCCCCCUCGACGACCUCAUGGUGGUGCUCUACCACCGGUUGACUUCAUGGCUCCGUGUUUCCGUCAGCCGUUUGGAGAGGGAUCCAGCAGGACAGUGGGCGAUCUCACAUGCCUAGCUAGGAUCCUUGACUUCGUGUUGAGGAAGACUCUCUUUCCCAGGACAGGCUAUAGAGACGGCUUCACCAGGAUCCAGCAGUGGCUGGUGGCUCAUCUUAUUGCUCAGCGGCCCUUUAACUUGUGGGACUUGAUAGUGUCAGAGAUUGAGGACACUAUAGCAGAGAGCUUCAGGGGUCGUCGUCAGUUGCCGUACACACAUUGGAUCACUCUUCUUAUUCUUCGUGUUAGGCCUGAGCCCCUGCCAUCUCACCUUCAGAGAGAGCUGAGAGACUCUGACACAGUGUUCCCUCACUAUGACCCCCGACAGAUGCUGAGAGCGCACUACAACCUUUCAGCUCCACCUCCUCCUCCAGCACCAUGUGGCUAGGUGCCACCCCCUUCACCUAGGGCUACUCGCAGUUCAGGGGUAAUCCCAAAGACAGCGAAGGAGCAGGACAUCGCUAUUGGGGCAGUUGCAGACACUGAGGUCGAGGAGGAGUUCGACUUUCCUUUAGAUAGCUCAGACGAUGAUUAUUGUCUCCCAGUGCUAGAUCUUCCUCUAGGGCAGCACGACCAUGAGGCAGGAGGUUCUUCGAGUGCUACGGACCCAGCUCUGCUUGCUAUCUUAGAGGGGAUUAGAGCCGAUCAGCGGAGGGCAACUGAGGAGCAGCCUAGGAGAGACAGGGAUCAGGCUGCCAUCAAUGCAGCCAUGCAGGCUAGGCAAGACGAGUUCUAGAGACAGCUUCUGGCUUUCCAGGCACAGCAGACUGCGAUGAUGGCCGCUCUUAUGGCCACUUCCUGGAUUCAGUUGCCACGGAUUCACCUACUCUAGGAUUUCAGAGUCAGUCUCAGUUGCCGCUUCAGCUUCCUGCUUAGAGUUAGCCAUUCUCGACUCCUCAGCACCAGGUUUCUCAGGGUGCUAUCUCUUCUGGCUUUGAGCAGGUGCCUCAGUUUACCCCUCUGCGCUCAGGAUUCACUCCCCAGUCAGCUACAGCAUCACAGCUUGUGUUGAAUUCAUCGACAGGGCAGCACAUCAGCUUUUCCUACAGUGCUUUGACUCGUGACCCUACGCCUUCACCUCUGCAGGUUCCUGCAGCUUUUACAGUCCCAGUUACCACUAGCGAGCGCCUAUCAUCGUGAGUGGCUUCGUCUGAGCAGCUUGCACCUUCUUCCACAGUACUAGAGACGUCAGCCACAGCGACAGAGUCCGUGCCAGCUUCGUCAGCACAACUAGUGACAGCUUCAGAGCCCACAUAGUAGACCCGAACCGCUUCUCCCGCUCCAGCAGUUUCACAGGGUCACUCUACCUCCUCCGAGUCUACAGCCGAUGGAUCAGACGAUGUAGCUCAGUUUUAGGCCGUGCCGAGGGACUCCACUGCUCCACCUCCACCUCCUUCGUCGUAGGUUUUUCGCACUUGAUGCCAAAGGGGAGAGAUUUGAGAGUAUGAGAGUUAGGGGGAGCUAGACCUAGCUAGUGUGGGCUUUUGAUACUUUUGUGUGCUACUUCAUGCAUCAUGUUUACUUUUAUGCAUUUAUGUGAGUUACUCUUUUGCUUUGUGAGAUACGUUUGGUUGUGAGACAUGACAUUAUGUCUCGUUGUGAUAUCUUUAUGUCAUGUGUUUGGCUUAUAUUCCCUUGCUUCCGCGUUUUUACUCCGAUGUUUUAUGAGCCAUAUGUUAUUAUCUCCUGUUGUAUACAUCUCACAUAUUUGGAUGCAGGAUGGUAGACUUGGUUGAUAUAAGCAUGCCUAAUUCCUUUGUGUUCUUAUUGUCUCAUGCUUAUAGAAACCAAGUCAUUUGAAAACCUCAUUUUCUUUCAUACUCGAGGUUAUUGUCAUCAAUCACCAAAAAGGGGGAGACUGAAAGAGCAUCUAGGCCCCUAAUGAUUUCGGUGAUUAAUGACAAUGUUGAUUACUGUGACUAACGUGUGUUUUGCAGAGGCAAAGUCAUUAGUGAGGUCAUGGUAAUAGGUACUCGAUGAACAGGGACGUACAUGCCUACUUAAUAGUGGAAAUCAUUUCAGUUUUCAAAGGAUGGAUGGACAUCGUCAAGACUAGACUAGGUCUAAGUGCCAUAUGGUGAAGAAGGGCACUUAGAGUAGUUUAGGACUUUGUUUUCCUUUAACUGUACUAUUAAGAGGGGCUUUGAUCUAGUAGCUUGACUUAGGCAAGGCUUUAGGUUUAGGUGUGGUGCACACUUGGUAAACCUAGCACUAGGCAGCUCAGAGAUAGUCCUUAGAUCGAGAGGAACAAACUUCGUUUUGGAACGGUCGCGUUUCGACGAAGUUUGGGUGCCUAAGUAGGCACUGGACGCUGCACCGGACGCUCUGUGAGUGCGUCCGGUGAGGUCGUUUAGUCGCUAGAGUGCUUGGUGCCUAGGGUUAGGCACCGGACGCUAGCACCAGACUUACCGGGGUAGCAUCCGGUCCUAAACUCAGGGAGGUUUUAAACUUCCCCCGAGCACCGGACGCUAGCACCGGACUCGCCGAGUAGCGUCCGGUCCUAAACUCAGGGAGGUUGUUAAACUUCCACCGAGCACCGGACGCUGGCACCAGACGCUGGGUAGUAGCGUCCGGUGACCUGUCAGAGACAGUACACUUAGCCGUUGAAGUGUCACCGGACGCUCGGUGCAGAGCGUCUAGUGCAACAUCAACAGCGUCCGGUGACCCGUUUCACUGUAAAACGGUUAGCCAACCCUUGGACUUCGUGGGGUGUAUUUAUACUCCUCCACCUCGUCCAUGGGAGGUCUCUUGCCCAUUUGAACAGCUGAGAAACUCUUUGUGGAGCAAGAGAGAAGCAAGAGCCUAGAGAGGAUUGAGAUUUGAGAGAUUUCUUGUGAGAAUCCUUCUCUAGUUGAAUUCCAAGAGUCAAGUGUGCAUCUACCACUCUCUAGUGCCUUGUUUGGUUCAAGUGAGAGUUCUUUGCUUGUUACUCUUGGUGAUCGCCAUCACCUAGACGGUUCGGUGGUGAUUGGAGGCACGAAGACCACCCGGAGUUCUUGUGGGUGGCUCGUGUCAAGCUUGUGAGCGGUUUUGGGCGAUUCACCGCGACGGAGUGUCGAAGAAUCAGCCUGUAGAGAGCACUUGGUACUUGCACGGACCAAGGGGGAGCAAGACCCUUGCGCGGGUGCUCCAACGAGUGCUAGUGGAGAGUGGCGACUCUCUGAUACCUCGGCAAAACAUCGCUGAGCAUUUUCUUCCACUACUCCUUUACUUUCUAGCGUUUACUUCGUGUUUUUACAUUCCUAGAAUUGCCAUGCUAGAAUAGGAUUGGAACUAGGUUGCAAAACUUUUGAUCCGGUAGCUCUCUAGUCACACUAGGCACAAGGGGUUGAAUUGGAGAUUAUAGGUUGCUUAAAUUUUUAGAGAAGCCCAAUUCACCCCAAUCUUGGGCAUCUUGAUCCUUUCAGACAUUAAGGAGCAUCAACAAUGACUCUAUUUGUUUGGGACCUCUAUAAAUAGAGGUUGGUCGGCUUAGGCUCACUCUCUUAGAUAUUUUUACUAAGAAUACAAUCUUGUGAGCCUAGCCAUUCCCCUCUCAUUGAUUCAUCAUUUGGUGAAAUUGGAGAGCAUCCAAGUGCACUGCAUUGAGUUAUUGCAUCUAGAGGCACUUUGUGAUUGUGUUUUGCUAUGGAUUUCACUUGUUAGUCUUGGUGUUUACCAACACCUAGUUGGUCUGGAGUAGCGAGGAUCAUUAAGCGAAGGGUGGUGUUUGUCUUUGACUACGAUCGGUGGAUUUUUGAGAGGUUCUUAUGUCUUUCCCAUAGAAGAUCACGAAAGACAACUCUAGUGGAUUGCUCGUAGCUUGUGGAUCCUCAUCGUGUGUUGGUUGUGCGGCACCUGAUUGUGGGUUAGGCGUGUGAAGCCUAUUAGCACGUGAACCUCCAAGUCGGUGAAUCACUACAAUGAGGACCAACUUGUAGACAAGCAGUUGAACUUCAGAGAAAAUUCAUUAUGUCAUCUUGUCUGCAAGGUUUUCAUUGAUAUAUUGAUAGGUUGUUACUUCCCACGGUGGUAUAUCUUCACCACCACUUUCUUGCAUUACCUUUUGUAUUUACCUUGUGUAGAGCUUGUGCUAGCCUAGCUAGUUGAGUAGCCUAGUUUAUUUAGUUAUAAUUAGUUUCUAGCUAUGUCAUCUAGUGUAGUAAGUAGAGACAUAGUGAUUGAUUGUCAUAGUAAUUGUAGUGACUAGAGUUAUGGAUAGCUUGCUUGCCUUUUGAUUAGAGCUAGAGCAAAACACUAUUUCAAUAUUUAGUGUACUAACCACUUGCUCUAGUGUUUUUGUAGAAAACUUUUAUAGGCUAUUCACCCCCUCUAGCCAUUUAGGACCUUUCAAUUACUUGAGGCUAGUUGGAGAUCUCUUUGUUGAUUGUAUUCUUGUGGCACCCAAGAUGAGGGCUUCAUAGGCUUGUUAGCAUGUGAAACGAUCACCUAGGGACUAACCUCAAUAAGGACAUAGGUUGCUGACAAGCAACGAAACCUUGAGGAUACAUCUUGUGUCAUCUCUUUGACCCAAUUGGCUUGAAAACUUUACACACUUGUGCAAUACUUCCAUACUAUUGCUUGUGUAGUUGUUACUUGUAGCAGUAGCUUUCUAGUUUUAGUUGUAGCUCUAGUUGGUAGAAGUAGCUAGUUUAGUUGCUUCGCUAGUUUAGCUCAACUAAACUAGUUGCUAUCCUCUUGUGUGCUUGAAGUGCUUUAGCAUGGUAGAUCACCUUACUACUAGACAUGUUUAGAAUGCUUGCAUUGGUGUGAAUUAGGUUAGGCAAAGUAGUCGCUAUUAGGGUUAUUUAUUGUUCUAAUCUCUAUCAUCUAGUGUUGUGAUUUUUAUAGAGAAUUUUUAAUAGGCUAUUCACUCCCCUCUAGCCAUCAUAUGUCUCAAUGUCAUAGUUCAUGCCUUUCAAAUGAAUAGAUGAUGGUUACUCCUGUUUCAAUUAUAGCUUGUUGUUCAAUACCGGUUCCUCACUCAUAGGAUAUGUAGACCAUCUAUGUAAGAAUCUAUAAAUGGUUGUAAAACUCUCUUGUUUAGCCGCAUGAAUUAGUAGAAAGCUUAAUGGUGAACAAAGAGAUGGAGAAGAGGAGUCCACUCACCUUCUGGGCUUUAAGAGGCUGCUGAUAGAUCAAGCAGCACAGAUUCAGUAGAGUGGUAGCUCGAUCUGUCAACAACCUCUAAAUUUUCACAUACUCUACGUGAUCAUAUAUUUGAUCUUGUGGUUUUUUUGACUACUUAUAACAAUAUUAAACGUGAGAAAAUUCUCAUCACAAAUUCAAUGCUUUAUCAAAUCACCUUCUGCUAAAGUACUAACCUACUAGUACAUUGGCAAGGAAGGUUCGUGAUAUUUGAAUACCCUAGUACAUGUUAUUAGGAACUAUGCAAUGUCGCUUGUAAUAGACCAUAGUGCCAAACAUUCAUUUAUCAAACAUCUCCUACCAAGACAUGUGUGUCUCUGUGACCAUUUCAAAUAUCGGAUAGAAUCACAAAGACCCUACACGUAGGAUACCGAUGAUUAGUGCAGUUGUGCAUCAGCAUCAUCGUAGAUGAACAAAGCACAAAUGAUAUACCACGACCGAGUGUUUUGGAGCAACACAACACAUAAUUUGGAGGCCGGCCUAUUCUUCCCUAGCUCUUGCGUCCGCUAUCCGAUUUGGAGUGCACGUGAUGCCCAUGUCUGUGUCCCCACACGGUCCUCCCUCUCUUCCCAUGGGUGGUGGUGGUGAUGGGUCCGGCGACACUAGUGCCGACGAGGUAGGCACAGGCUCGGCUCUAGAGGGAGGGCAGUUAGUGUGACCGUUGGGGGCCCAAGACCAUAUACAUCAUUAGUAUAUAUAAUUUUAUAUUUGACAUAAACUAACACAUAAGCUCUUGAAGGCCCAUCAACUCAUGUCGUAGACUUCUUCUAGUCUUGCUAUUGUACCUAACCUAGAACCAGACCAUUCGAUGUCAGGCUGCAGAGUUGAGAGACGAGAGUGACGAGAAGGCAAUGAGGAUUCGUUUUCUACCAGCAAUGACACUGACGCUUCCUAUUCUCUCCCAAUCUUCCAUAAAGGCAUUGACAUACGCAUGGACACGAUGUUGAUAGCUGAUGCUAGUUGCUGACUCACCAGCUCACCUACACAACGCUGCAAUGAAUAUGACCGGCAACAACGGUAGACAGUGGAUCGGAUCACAGGUUUUAACAAGGCACUCAAGCAUUAUAUUUUUAUAUGAGGUAAUUAUAAUGUUAUUGUUCUUUUAGUUUUUUGUUACACUAUUGUUGUGUUUCAUGAACUAAAAAUGUACUACAAAGUAAUUUUUAUUAUUCAUACUAUAUACUUUAAUCUUUAUAUUUAAAACUACUUUAAUGGGUCCUUAUCUUUUUGCUUGCUUAAGGGCCAUUUAAAUUGUAGAGCCGGCCUUGGGUAGACGUGUAACACCCAGCCCAAGGCUUAAUAGAAUUAAUAGGAGACUCAUUCCAACAAGUUGCAACUUCUUUUCUGGAAGCCCAUCUCCCAAAAAGUCUAAAGUUAAGCGUGCUUGGCUUAGAGAAAUUUAGGGAUGGGUGAUCCACUGGGAAGUUCUUCCCAGUUGCGCACGAGUGAGGACAAAAUGUGCAAAAAAGACUAUACCGGGAAGUUCUUCCUGGGUGCGCAUGAGUGAGGACAAAAUAUGCAUAAAAGACUAGUGUUGGUUUGUAAGGGCUAACUAUGUCCUAGAAAAGCUGCCAAAUAUAAGCGGGCCUGGCCUUGUGGAGGCGAGACGUUAUAGAAUGGUAUCAGAGCUGACUCUUGUGGUUUCACGAGCACGUGUAUCGCAGUUGCACAGGCAUAGUGUGCAUGGCUGGUGUGGACCUAGAGUGGUCACACAGUAUGGCACAUGCGCUGGCACUAGAUGCACGGACGUGGCCAAGAGGGGACGUUCCUGGCUUGGGGUUGAUCGACGAGGACGUCGAUCUCUUAAGGGGGUGAGGAUGUAACACCCGGCCCAGGGCUUAAUAGGAUUAAUAGGAGACUCAUACCAGCAAGUUGCAACUUCUUUUUCGGAAACCCAUCUCCUAAGAACUCUAAAGUUAAGCGUGCUUGGCUUAGAGAAAUUUAGGGAUGGGUGACUAUUGAUGGUUGUUAACCAUCAAAAUUAUAUGUCAACUAAGGAGAAGAAAGGGGAUAAAAACUAAACAUCACCAUAGACUUAGGGUUUUUAUUGACAAUUUCCACGAGUUUUGGUAAAUGUCUGUUUCUGUAGGGGGUUAUCGGAUAACAAAAUGAGGUCCACAUGUCGGAUUUACAUAGAGAGAAGACCUGAACGUGAACUCUAGAAUACUCUAGAAGACUCGGGAAGGCGUGCCCUGAAACCUAGGACCCACCUGCCAUAGGGCAGGGGCGGGUGCCUAGGGUAGGGUGGGGCAGCCACCCGGUGACCUGGACCAAUCAUGUGCAGUCUUGCGUAUCCUGCCUUCACUAACUUUGAGGAUUAAUCUUAAGCGCACGUUUAAGUCGGUUUGAUCCAAGGGUUAUGGUGCUUCUUAGGGGCUAUAAAUACAAGCAUACCCCCUGAGGAGAGCUCAAAAUUGAGAGAGAAAAACAUAAUUAUAUUUUUAUUCUCAUCUGAGAGUGAGAGGGAGCCAUUAGAGCCAUGGAUUAGAGAUAGAUUAGCCACUCCCAAUCUUCAACUUCUACAUAGGUUAGAUUAGAUAGAGGAAGAGUCCGGCGCGUGUGCUCGGAAUUUCUAGAUCUUUGUUAUGAGAGAUUGGUAUUAUCUUUUAUCUCUCUUUUGACUUUAUUCUAAUAUCAUUAUGUUUCUGUUUAUUAUGUUCUCAGUUUAUUCUAGUUCUACAUUUGAUAUGGUUAUGAUUGAUAAUGAGUUUAUGUAUAUGUUUGCAAAGCGCUUAGCUUUCUUCGCAGGAGAGUCAAGUGAUAGAUGUCAUGUAAGCAUGGUGCUUAGAUGUCAUUUAUCUGGAAUUACACCCUAUUGGUCGGGUAGCGUGGUAGAUCAUGGAAGUGAUAGUUUCGUUGAGUCUUUUGUAUUCCAUCCCCCGUUGGUAUGAUAGGUAGAACCACAGUUAUGUAGGAAGUCUAGCUCUGUAUUGGCUUUAUAUAGCAAUGUUCCUUAUACAUAAAUGAAGAUUCUUUUGUGCUAUAUAUGAUAGUGUAGCAUUAGAGUAGAUGAAUGACUUGAUAAAUUAGAACUAAAUUGGAUUUUCUCUCUUGAACUAAUUAGACGUCUGCCUAAUAUUAAGUUGAGUAGUCUAAAUCUAGUCUCUAUAUUCCUUGGGCUUCUAUAUUUCAUAUAUCAUAUAUCUAUGGUUUACCCUCCUACCAAGUAUGUGACUAUGUAACCCAAUUACUCAUAAGUAGUCAUGUUUUGCAAGUUGAUCUCAUUGUUUAAGUCCUUAGUUCUUUCCCUUGAGCUAAAUAUAAAUAACGAUACCUGUAAUACUUCCCGGUGAAGUGCUACAAUGGUAUUUAAUUUGUACGCUUACGGAUCCUAUAUUUAUUUUAUUAGUAGACAGUUUUCAUACCACACUUUUGGCGCCAUGCUAGGGAUGACAAUUUAUCUUAAGUGGUGUUAGAAGUGUCAAUAGUAACCGACCGGGAAGUUCUUCCUGGGUGCGCACAAGUGAGGACAAAAUGUUUAGAAAAGACAAGUGUUGGUCUAUGAGAGCUGACUAUGUCCUGAAAACCUGCUAGAUGUAAGAAGGCCCGGUCUCAUGGAGGCAGGAUGUUACAAGAUAGGCUCCUCCUCCUCCCCCUAGAUCUGUGCCCAUUGAAGACGAAAACGACGGUGAUGGUGGCUAGGAUUCCGACAAACCUCCCACCCUCUUUCUUCUCCAACUCUGUGGCUAUAGAAGGGGCCGGCCAACGGGAGGCACACAGGCUAGGUGUUGACACCUAUUAACUCACACAAUUUGUUUGCAUAUGUUGUGUUUUCUAGGGAUUAUUUCAGAAAGAGCUGAAAUGAGGGAUUUAAGUGCUAAUCGACCACAAAACAGGAGGAUGACACCAGAGGGAUCAGGAAUACUCGAGAAGACACCCGACGCAAUAGGGGGGCUAGCAGCCGCCAGGUGGGGCCUACUAGCCCCACUCUAGCGUUAGUCGGUGCCCCCCUAUUAGGGUUUUGGUCCCCUCUUCUAGAACCUUCCUCUACCGCCUCCAAGGAGCCAUCUUGGCCGCUUGUUAAGUUAGUUUUAUCCAACAGCGUGUAUCCAUCCCACCAGGCUAUAAAUAUAAGGCUAGACCCCUAGAGGAGGCCAAAUCAAGAGAUGAAGAGUUAGAGCAUUAGAUAGAGAUCCACUAGAUCUAGGCUAGCAAUCAAGAUAGAGAUUAGAGAGAUAGAGUAGAGGAGUAGUGAUUUGGAGGAGUCUCGGCCUGUCAGAGCUUCCUUAGGAGUUGUAUUCGUCUGGAUUCGGCUCCCUCGCUCGGAGCUACGUUCUGAGGUACUUUUGUAUUUACCAUUCUGAUUCAAGUAAGCAACUUGUUUUUAUUUGUUCUUUGGUUUGCAACUCAUACUAUAUUGAGUAUUACGAUUUGGGUAGCUCCUAGGUCGGAGUAGUGAUUCAUAGCAUAGACGUGGUGUCUAGGCUAUGGUUGCUUAUGAAUGUCCCCUGAUCAGCCAGACUGUGGUAGCUCGCGUAGGUGACUUUAUAGCUACGUUGAUUCCUCUUUAGUCCACUUCCCAAUGAUAGGAUUGAUAGGCUUAUAGGUGCCUGAUAGGAGAUUACUCUGUCUCUUCUCCUAUUUGGGUUACUUGCCUAAUAAGACGAUAUUAUACAAAGUUUACCGGUUAUUAGAACCAGAAUACAUUAGCUUUUUCCUCAUUCUCAAUAGUUUUAUAGAUUGAUUGUACACCCCUUAGAUUAAAAAGUUAUAGACUAAGUCAUAAAUCACCUACUCUUCCUUUGGGUUCGAUAUUAAAACCGAGUUGAUCUUGGUGAAGUGCUGAUCAGUAUAUAUGUGUGCGCUUGCGGAUAAUCUAAUUAUAAUCAUUAUUAGGGUGCAGUUAAUUUAUACCAACAAGCAUUUCUGGCACUGUUGUCGAGGAACGGUUUGCUGAUUUUUUAUAUUAGUCUAUCUUAGUCUAUAGUUAUCCUUCUAUUUAUAAAAAAAUAAUAUAUAUAUAUAUAUAAUAAUAAUAAAUAUAAUGGACAUUGACUCUCAACUUUUAUAUCAAUAUGGAUCACCAUCGGGAUCGUACAUCCAGCUAAAGGAAUCUUCUAAACCUAUCACAUCAUCUGGCUAUGAGCUACGCCCGAGACUAAUCAAAUUAGUUCAAGAACAUAUCUUUUCUGGUAAUUCUAGCGAAAACCCCUAUUCCCACUUAGCUGAUUUUGAGGAGACAUAUUCAUGUCAGAGUAUUAAGGGCAUGGCCGAUGAAACUUUAAGAUGGAAACUCUUUCCAUUUCAUUAACGGGUUGAGCUAAGAAAUGGUAUAAUCGCUAUUGACGGUCCUUAAAUAUCAAAUUUAAUUAUCAAAUGAACAAAGAAAAGGAUCCAAAUGAAAUCAACAUCCAGACUUAGGGUUUUAUCUGACAGAAUUCCAUGAGUUUUGGUGUUUGUCUAUUUCUACAGGGGGUUAUCAGGAAAUACGGAAGAAAGGCCCACACGUCGGGAUUACAUAGAGAUAUUAACGUGCCGCGCAAUUAUCUUACAUCUAGAAGACUCUAGAAGCCACGGGAAGGAAGCGGAGGCCGAACGGAGCCUGGCCCUAGGCGCCCGCCCAGGAGACCAGGGCGCCCGCCCCCUCCUGGAGUCCAAACAGGACUCUCUUUCGGGAUCAAUCUCCACCGACCUAAAGGAUCAAGGAUAACCGUUCAAUCAAUGUCGGUUUGAUCCAACGGCCCAUAUUCACUUGAAGGGACUAUAAAACCAGACCCCCUGGCCCUUGGAGGAGAGAGCCUCUCAACCCUAAUUCAUUAUUCUCAAGGGAGAAGAAGCCUCUGAUCAAGCCUAGAGCCACCACAUCAAUUAGACAUCUAGAUUAGCAUAGCUACAUAGGAUUAGAACUAGGAGUCAAUCUUCGAUUGGUUUCCAGAUCUAUCAAGAGGAUUCUUGGUAAUUCUCUAAUUGUUCUUCUAAUUGUUCAUCUUGUUCUUCAAUAUUAUGAAUAUGACUUUGUUCUACUUCAAUAUAUUGCUUAUGACUUUGCUCUACUUGUUUAUAUUCAAGAUUAUAUUGUUCUUAGUUUAUCAUAGUUAUGUACUUGGCUUAGUUAGAUUGGAUCAAUAUACAUGCUUAGGAUCGUAUAGCGUUUAUCCAUCGGAUCCAUGGGUAAAUGAUAGAUAUUGUGUAGGCGUGGUGCUUAUACCGUAUUUAUCUGCGAUUGUACCCAAUAUGCUAGAUCGCGGGGUAGUUCGUGAUAGUGACAGCUUCAUUGAUUCUUAUAUAGUCCCCCUCUCGUGUAUUGGGCUGGCAGAGCAACAUUAUUACAGGGGAGUGAUUACGAUGUUUCUCAUAUUCCUUGCUAAUAUCACUAUGCAUGGGCGUAGUCUUGUCUCGCAAUGAUUGCUAAGUAUGCUUGCACUAACUAUGAUAAUGCUAGACUGUAUAGUUGAGAAUAACUUAGGAAAUAUUAUUGUAGUUCAUUCUAAUACCAUGCUAAUGACUUUCUAGAAUAUCUAAUUGAGGUGCUUAUCAUAUUUAUAUGUGGCUAAGUUAUGCUGAUCACAUUAAUUAUCUUUGUCACUAUUCAUUACUUCAUAUAUCUUUUUUUAUGUGACCCCCUUAUCCCUGUAUGGAAGAGUUAGAUAAAUGUUCUCAACUAUACAUGCAAUGAUAGAUACUCAAUCUCAUAUUCCAUUCUAUAAUCAACAUUGAUGGUUACUAAUCCCUUCCCAGUGGUAAAAAUAUAAAUAACGAUACCUGGAAUACUUCCCAGUUAAAAUGCUACAUCGGUAUUAAUCUGUGCGCUUGCAGAUCUCAUUCAUUAUUUAUUUAGAUGAGCAAUUGCAUAUUUCAAUAUCGCGUCUCUCAUGUCAUGCUGGGGAUGACAACUUGGCUUAAGUGGUAUGAGGGAUAGGUUUGGCAUUUUUGGCACCGUUACUAGAAUUAGAAACUGUCUACUUUUGGUAGUGAUGUUAAGAAUACCCAAGAAGCAUUUUUGGCGCCGUUGUUGGGGUAGGUUGAUUACCAAUCAAGAAUGGAUAUAGAAUUUUGAUUUAUCAUUCGCAUCACUAAUAUGAUUGAGCUUAUCAAUUCUCUCAUACAAUUUUACCCCGAUAUUUUCCUAUUUUAUCUUAUGCAGGGUAAUGUAUGAAUAGAAGACAUCUUCCAAGAAAUUUUGUUGACAAUCCCGAAGCAUUAUUUAGAAAAACAAGAGCCAAGCUCAAGAAGAGAUCAUCAACACUUCAGCAAGAAACUUCAUCCAAUCAAGAAGAUCACCGGAACUUGUCUUCAGAGUUCGAAGCCAUGGCAAACAAAUCAAUCUGUGAGUUCUCAGCUCCCACUACGGACAACAUCCGUACUGGACCUGCUGCAGAUAUCGAUGGCAACUUUGAGCUCAAGCCUGGACUUAUCAACAUGGUGCAAUCUAACCAGUUCUGUGGGAAGGCACAUGAAGAUGCUAGUGCUCAUCUCCAACACUUCCUGGAGAUUUGCAGCACAUUUACCAUAUCAAGAGUCCCCAGAGAUGCGAUACUACUUCGCCUCUUCCCAUUCUCAUUGUUAGGGAGAGCGAAGCAGUGGUUCUACGCUACAAAGGAGAAGAAUACUACGUGGGCACUCUGCUCCACGAACUUUCUAGCUAAGUUCUUUCCCAUGGGCAAGACCAAUGCUCUCCGUGGGAAAAUUAUAAGUUUUCAGCAACAACAUGAUGAAUCUGUUCCAGAAGCAUGGGAGCGCUUCCAAGACUAUAUCCUAGAAUGUCCCCAUCAUGGAAUGGAGAGUUGGCUACUGAUGCUGACGUUUUAUCAUGGGCUCGGCAAUAGUGCCCGAGAAACCAUGGAUGCUGUAGGUGGAGGAGCAUUCUUAUCACUCACCAUACCACAAGCCACAGCUCUUGUGGAGAAGAUGGCGUCCAACCAAAGCUGGAAUGAAGAAAGGACCCAGACACGCAAGAAAGGUGGAGGUAUGCAUCAGCUCAAGGAGGUAGACAUGCUAUCUGCAAAGCUAGACCUACUCAUGAAGAAGUUCGAUGAUAGAGCUGGAGAUAAGAAAGAAGUUAUGCACAUCUACGACUCUCACAUGACUUGUGAGGAGUGUGGAGACACUGGACACUGAGGCAAUCACUGUCCUGAGAUGCUUGAGGAUGUGAACUACAUCAACAAUAACAACAACUACUACUACAACCGUCCUCAACAAAAUCAAGGUUGGAAUCAACAGAGGCCUAACUACUUAGGUAAUUAUCAAGGUAACAGUUCUUACAACAAUAAUAAUAAUUUUCCACCUCUGAGAGAGUUAGUGUCUAAUCAAGGAAAGCUAAUGGAUAACCUAUCUAAGAAAUUUGCAUCUAAUGAUAAAAUGCUAGAAAAUAUAAAUAACAGAAUGGAUAAUUUCUCUACUGCCAUCAAGAAUCAAAUUAGCUUUAAUAAAAUGAUUGAAUCUCAGUUAAAUCAAAUAGCUGUUGCUGUUCCUGCUACUAACCCCGGUAUACCAUCACAACUAGAAGGAUUAGAAUCUGCAAAUCUUGUAGACAUGUUUGAUGCAGGUAACUGGAGUAACCCCGUCAGUGAAUUUACUACUGACCUUCUGCCGGUCAAGAGAGGUGAUCCAGGACGCCCCGUCAUCCCGAUCUCCAUCGGCAUGGUGGACUUCUUCCCAGAAGCACUCUGUGACUUUGGCUCUAGCGUCAAUAUUAUACCCAGGGUACUCUAUAAAAAAUUAUUUACAUAUCCUUUAUUAGAAAGAACCAUGUGUUUGCAGUUUGCAGAUCAGACGAUAAGUUUUUCAAAAGGAAUAUUGAAGAACCUUUGUGUCCGAGUUGGUACCUUAUACGCCCCAGCAGACUUCGUAGUGGUAGAGACCGAUAAUGAUGAGAGGGCACCCAUUAUCUUAGGGAGGCCAUUCUUAAAUAUCUCGGGAGCUGUCAUCUACGUCAGUGCUGCCAAGAUCAGUUUCUACAUCAAAGGGAGAAAGGAGACGUUUUCCUUCAAGAACAAGACUACACAAAUCCCAGAUCAAUCUCGACAUGAACCAAGGAAGAGGACUAACAGGAGGAACAGGAACAAGCAAGUAUGGACCGAGUCAGCUAAGAUGGUCACUGCAGUUCAUGGAGGUCAAGAUCACCAACUUAAGUCACCGUUUCUGACCAAGAAGGACGACCCAGGAAUGCCAAGCAUCUAUUGCUCCAUAAAUGGAUACAACUUCUACAAGACGACGUGCGACACUGGAUCGGGCGUCAACAUAAUGGCCGCAAUCACCUAUCGGCUCUUGUUCGGAAUCAUGCCUCUAAAGCCAACAUAUAUUCAGCUCCAGAUGGCAGAUCAGACAUUUCGAGAGGUUAAAGGAAUAGUAACUGAUGUCCCUAUCAAAAUAGACAAUCAUUUUUUCUACACAGACUUUCAGGUUAUUGACCUGGGAGAAGAUGAGUAUGAUCCACCCAUCAUCCUUGAAAGACCGUUCCUCAGCACCGUUAAAGCAAUCAUCUAUAUUGGAACCAGAGAAGUCCAUAUGCACUUCCCCUCAGAGAAAGUACGCCGCUAUUUUACUGACCCUAACUAUAUUGUUGAAGACUCUAAGCAGGUCAGAAAACGACGCAACCGCAACCAGAGGAGGCAAAUCAUCAAGGACGGUUGGGCAGACUAUGAAGGAGAAGUAAUAAGGUCAAAAGACAUACAGUUUAAACAAAAUUAUCUAGAGGAGACCGUAGCACCGAGUCAGGUGUGGAGAGAGAAGAUAACUAUACAUGAAGAAGAGGCGCCGCCGGAAGCACCGACUACGCCACCCAACGAAUCCCAGGACAACUAGAAAACGGAGAGUCCCGUUCGGAGGACUUAAAAACACCGAACGCCUUGCCAAGAGGUAAACUUGGUAGUUAUCUCUUUCCCUUUCAAAUAUUUAAAUAGUUUACUUAGUUAAUUACGUUCAUACUAUCCUAAAAAGAAAAUAAAAAUGUGAAAAACAGUAAGCCCCAUGUGGGUAUACGAGUGGCAUAAAACCCAUAAGUACAUUCACCGUGGUGCCAUAAAAAUAAAAUAAAUAUUUUUUUCUGCUCUAUAAAAUGAAAAUAUAAAAAUAAAGAGUAACAUUUAUUAAGGAGUCUCAACAUGAUAAAGGCUAGAUAUUUAUGCUAACACUUAAUCAGUUCUACAAAGCUUUGUUGUCUAUUUGAGCUCCAUAGAAUUUAAGAAUUAAGAAGACUAGCAGACGGAGGACAUUCUAAUCGCUGUCAGGGUACUGCCGACUUUCAAAUACACCUCUGCCACUUGCUAGCUACAUCAAGGGAAAUUACGUCAAAAUUCAGCUUGGGGGAGAGCACCCCCAUUUAUCCCGAUAAGUAUUUCUAUCUAUCUAUAUACCUAUACUAUAUUAAAAUAUAAAUAUACAUAACUAUGGAAAACCAAAUAAAGAUUUUAUGCUUAUAUAUAUAUCUUUUUCUUAGUGUGUUUAAUAAAUAAAUAAAGUGGCUAUGCUAAUCUGAAUCUUAAUAAUAAAACUCUAGCAUGGAUAUGAUGAAUAGUUGCUCCGCCUAAUUUUCAAAAUUGAAGUUCUCUCUCAAGUUUAGACAUAACUGUUAUAAUUUAAAGCUUGCUCUAAACCUAAACUUGUGGGAAGAAAACUUGAUCUGAAGUCUAAGUUGUUAACGGAUAUGAUAUGGGAAGGUUGAGCUGUUGUUUAUCUGUUCCUAGAGAUGCUAGAAUUCUGGAGAAUUUUAUCUUUUAAAAUCUUUAAAAUAUCACAUGAUGAGUUCCUGUAUGAUGAGAGUUUAAUUUCCUACCACAGCCAUAUAUACAUGCUUGCUAGACUUUGAGCCACACAUUUAUUUUUUUUACUGCUUAUGAGCAUUGAGUGUGGUCAAGCUGUGUAGACCCUUAGGAGCUUGUCAUGUGGUUAAAUCAAGAUUCACUUGCACGUUCACUCAUACAUGCUGCUUCUAUUCUGGAAGUACCAUCCAUAUAUAUCCACCCAUUUCCAUCUCCAGAAUCACCCAAAAAUUAUUCUACUCCUAAUCCGGGAGAGAAUAGCCAAAAAUCUUUCUGUUUUUCCCCUGUGAAACAAAUGCUCAAGUUAUCUUGUUACUACCACUUGCUAUAUUAUCUCAAGAGAUGAGUGCUCUAAAAAAAGAGAGAAAAAAGAGAUACGAGGAAAUAAAAAGGGGCAAGUGUCCGGAACCUCGAAAGAAAAGAAAAAGUGAGACGAGAGGUAAAAAUGGACAAGUGUCCGAUAGUAGAAUUAGGGGUACAAGAUACCCACCUGAGAGAAAAGAAAAAAAUAUAUAGAGCAUCUCAUUCUCCUCAAAAAGUUUCAAAAAAGCAAGAAAGGUAUUUAUCCCCUCAAAGAGCAAAAGUAGAAUUAGACUUUCACCAUUGUUAUCACCAUUGUCAUCACCAUACGCCAUUCAUUCGCCACACAUGCACAUCUUGAUUUGACUUGUUGAUUUGUUUCUUUGGAUCCAUGGUUUGACUAUACAAUAAAUGUCUUGUAAGUAUGUAUACUUUAUCUCCCACCUAUGAGCUCCAGAUAUUAAAGCCUUAUUAGAGUAGGGUGAGAGAGAGAAGGCAAUGUUACUAUGACGUAUACCACAAAUACCACAUAUCUUGAGAGAAGACAUAUACCAUCACUGCCUUGGUAAGGAUCCAAAAAUACCACAAAAGAGAGAUCUAAGAGAGUCAUACAAGGAAUCUCUGAGUUUUAUUUGAAAAUCUGCAAAAACUCCAAAGCUAUAGCUGAUCAAGAAAUAAGAGACAUGGCACUUGAUUAGACCGUUCUAUCUUUUAACUACUCAAGACAGAAGUGACGGUUACAAGUCCCAUGGUGAAAGGUAAAAUGAAUAAGUUUUAAGUCUUGACAAUUUAAAAGCAUGUGUACCGUCAAUUUUUAAAAGGUAUUGUAGGAACUUCUGAUUCAUUGCUGAGAUUAUCCUUGCUCAGGGAUGAGCAAGAGGUAAGCUUGGGGGAGUUUGUUGACGGUCCUUACAUAUCAAAUUUAAUUAUCAAAUGAACAAAGAAAAGGAUCCAAAUGAAAUCAACAUCCAGACUUAGGUUUUAUCUGACAGAAUUCCACGAGUUUUGGUGUUUGUCUAUUUCUGCAGGGGUUAUCAGGAAAUACGGAAGAAAGGACCACACGUCGGGAUUACAUAGAGAUAUUAACGUGCCGCGCAAUUAUCUUACAUCUAGAAGACUCCAGAAGCCACGGGAAGGAAGCUGAGGCCGAACGGAGCCUGGCCCUGGGCGCCCGCCCAGGAGACUAGGGCGCCCGCCCCCUCCUGGAGUCCAAACAGGACUCUCUUUCGGGAUCAAUCUCCACCGACCUAAAGGAUCAAGGAUAACCGUUCAAUCAAUGUCGGUUUGAUCCAACGGCCCAUAUUCACUUGAAGGGACUAUAAAACCAGACCCCUAGCCCUUGGAGGAGAGAGCCUCUCAACCCUAAUUCAUUAUUCUCAAGGGAGAAGAAGCCUCUGAUCAAGCCUAGAGCCACCAUAUCAAUUAGACAUCUAGAUUAGCAUAGCUACAUAGGAUUAGAACUAGAAAGAGUCAAUCUUCGGUUGGUUUCCGGAUCUGUCAAGAGAUUCUUGGUAAUUCUCUAAUUGUUCAUCUUGGUAAUUCUCUAAUUGUUCAUCUUGUUCUUCAAUAUUAUGAAUAUGACUUUGUUCUACUUCAAUAUAUUGCUUAUGACUUUGCUCUACUUGUUUAUAUUCAAGAAUAUAUUGUUCUUAGUUUAUCAUAGUUAUGUACUUGGCUUAGUUAGAUUGGAUCUAUAUACAUGCUUAGGAUCGUAUAGCGUUUAUCCAUCGGAUCCAUGGGUAAAUGAUAGAUAUUGUGUAGGCGUGGUGCUUAUACCGUAUUUAUCUGCGAUUGUACCCAAUAUGCCAGAUCGCGGGGUAGUUCGUGAUAGUGACAGCUUCAUUGAUUCUUAUAUAGUCCCCCUCUCGUGUAUUGGGCUGGCAGAGCAACAUUAUUACAGGGGAGUGAUUUCGAUGUUUCUCAUAUUCCUUGCUAAUAUCACUAUGCAUGGGCGUAGUCUUGUCUCGCAAUGAUUGCUAAGUAUGCUUGCACUAACUAUGAUAAUGCUAGACUGUAUAGUUGAGAAUAACUUAGGAAAUAUUCUUGUAGUUCGUUCUAAUACCAUGCUAAUGACUUUCUAGAAUAUCUAAUUGAGGUGCUUAUCAUAUUUAUAUGUGGCUAAGUUAUGCUGAUUAGAUUAAUUAUCUUUGUCACUAUUCAUUACUUCAUAUAAAAUCUUUUAUGUGACACUUAUCCCUGUAUGGAAGAGUUAGAUAAAUGUUCUCAAUUAUACAUGCAAUGAUAGAUACUCAAUCUCAUAUUCCAUUCUAUAAUCAACAUUGAUGGUUACUAAUCCCUUCCCAGUGGUAAAAAUAUAAAUAACGGUACCUGGAAUACUUCCCGGUUAAAAUGCUACAUCGGUAUCAAUCUGUGCGCUUGCAGAUCUCAUUCGUUAUUUAUUUAGAUGAGCAAUUGCAUAUUUCAAUACCGCGUCUCUCAUGUCAUGCUGGGAUGACAACUUGGCUUAAGUGGUAUGAGGGAUAGGUUUGGCAUUUUUGGCACCGUUACUAGAACUAGAAACUGUCUACUUUUGGUAGUGAUGUUAAGAAUACCCAACAAUCUCCAUGUUGGGAAUAGUCAAGGAGACUAGGAUAUAUUACGAAAAGACUUUUGUCUUAAAUUCUUCCUAGUAGAAAAGGUCAUGUGUCACACCCAUAUUUCAAGAACAAAAUAGGGCCUUGUUUAGUUCACCCCAAAAAUCAAAAAGUUUUCAAGAUUCCCUGUCACAUCGAAUCUUUGGGCACAUGCAUGAAGCAUUAAAUAUACACAAAAAUAAAAACUAAUUGCACAGUUUAACUGUAAAUCGUGAGACGAAUCUUUUGAUCCUAGUUAGUCUAUGAUUGGACAAUAUUUACCACAAACAAACAAAAGUGCUACAGUAGCGAAAUCCAAAAUCUUUUCACAUCUAAACAAGGCUUAGGAUGCAUAAAAGACUCAUGUGCGUCCUAGAAACAGUCGCACACAUAAGUAGAUAAAUCUCUCAAGAGUAUAAUUGUAGUGUUUAUUACAUAGCGGAACAAUAAUGAUCAUAUAGUCUUAUACAAUAAUGAUAAAUAUGGAUAAAUAACUCUCUCGAAGGAAGCAUCACACAGGGACAAACGUUGAUUGGUUGACUUCAAACCUAGUACUCAUAUCGAUCAUCCUCAAUCCAAUCAUCAUCAUUUGCAUAACUUGAGGUGUUGGGAAAUUACAAGAGUGAGCACAUAUCGUACUCAACAAGUAUAACCAGGGGUUGAUGAGGCUCAAAAAGCUGACACUGGUUUAAUUGCAUUUAGCUUUUAUAUGUGGAUAUCAUGUUUAUAAUUAAGUAGCAAAUGUCAUGGUAGCAUAAAUAAUCCCAUAAUCACAUGAUCAAAUAUAAGCAUAAUUAACUCAUAGCAUAAACGAUAAACAAAUGAACAUAAUAACUUAAUAAGCGUCAUCAUCUUUAAUAUAAGAAUCCCCAAGGCCGCUCUUAACCGUGAGCACGGCUAGUAUACCAAUUUUAAACACUCUGCAGAGGUUGUACAUCUUUACCCAUGAGUCAUGAUUUACCCAAUCGCCCGAGGUAGCUAAUCUCUUAACCCCCUUCCUAGGGAGGUCGGCAGGGAUCACUAUGAAGCCUUUCAAAAGUUCGUCUAACAAGUUAGGGCCGCAAGGUUUCCCGGGUGAGCAGAUAUAGAGCCCCCAUUCCAAAUGGCACAAUGACGCGUAGCCUAUACACAUAAGGAUAGAGGCUCGCACUAUACCCGUGUCGGUAAGCCUCUCUAGUACCCUUACGGGUAACCUCUAAUAAGCUAGAAAAGGUCUUCAUAUUGAGCUAAAGCCAGAGCCAUUAUAGCCCUCAUGGUUGCACUGUUAUCCCAAUGAUCACCUACAGACAAGAUCUCAUAUGGUUGUUAGUCAUCUUUUAACGUUCCUUGCAUAGCUAUUAAUCAUCUUACGAGAUCAUGGAUUACAUCAAGCACUAGCAUAACUACCCCAAAUGCAUAUCAAAUAGGUAACAAGGAAUCCAGGGUAACAAUCAUCUAUGAUUUUGCUAAGGUCGACAAGGUGGACACAUGCAUAUGAUAUAUAUAUAUAUAUAUAAUUAUAAGUGUGUAGGUAACAAGGAUAGUCCCAAAUUAUACUUGCCUUGAUCAAAGCUCUCCUAAGACUGCUAUUGGUCAUCGAAGACUUGGUCUUGCUCACCAAUGUAUGGCUCACCAUCUAUUCCCAAUCAUCAAUCAACAACACACAUUCCAACAGAGACAAUCAUACACAAAGCAAACAAGCAAUAAUUAGAACAUUACAACAAUAGUGAUAAAACAAAUAUAAAAGUUUAUAAAAAUAUUCUACGCAGCGCUAAGAUCACAAAUGUAAAGAUCACGAAAAUCGGAUUUAAACGGAGAAGUUAUGAAUUUUCUAAGAUUUCCUAUAGAAGAAUAAUUAAUUAAAUACUACUACGAAAUUUAAAAGUUUCAAACCAGUGAAAUAGUACCACUAACAUGUAGAGCUUGUAAAAACGAAUCUAACUGAAUUUGAAUGGACCAAAUCGGAGUUAAAAUGAGCAUUUUAUGAGCAAAACAAUUUCAAUGGCAAACUUGUAAUUAUCAGAAAGCGUAUUUUAACAAAACCGACGAAGAAUACGCUUUUCGAGUUGGAAAGCAUAAUUUUCCUAGGACGCCAUCGACCGCGGGUUGAAUACAGAAAAUACCGGGGUCUCUUUAGCAAAAUCAUGGACGAAGGGGUAAGUUCUUUUCUGAGUCGUUGGAUCACGAUUGAGUGGCUCGGAUUAAAUCUGAGGGAGGGCACCGGCUGGUCGGCCAUCUUCUAGGGCUCCGGCGCGGCGGCGCCAUGGAGAAGCCUCGCCGGAGCUCGAGAACUCCCGCUGCCAUCCACCAAAAGCAAAACUGAGUACACUAAAACGCAGAGGGGCUUCACGCGAACUCACCCAUGGGUUUUGCUUGGACCAGAAAGGGCUGGGGAAGGCUCACGACGGCAGCGGCUCGAUUUCAAUCUCGGCGAGAUCCGCCUAGCAUCAAGACGCAACAAAACAAGCCUCGGUCACUAGUAGAUGGAAAAGUUGGUCGUAGGGGGGUUGCCAAGGGCUAAAUAGGCUCGGUGAAGCCAAAUGCCACAGAAAUCAGGAUUGAAAAGGGGUCUGGUAGGUUCGUUGGCGACUCCAGCUCGCUCACGGCGUGAGAAAGAAGAAAAGGGGCGCUGUCAGGUGGGACCAGGGUUUCAGCGAGACAGAGAAAGAAAGGAAAACACCGACUGCGGGUCCCAGUUGCCAGCGGGAAAGGGGGAAAAGGAGGGGGGGUGGGCUGCUCGCUCGUCGGGGCUUCGGCUUUUGGGCCGGUUGCGAACUGGGCCGGGGAGCCGAGGGGGAAAAAACUCGACCUCAGGACCACGCGAAGGAAGGUGGGGGUGGUGCAGGGCUUAGCUGGGCCACCGGGCGGAAAAUAGAGGAGAAGCUUCUUCCUAUUUCCUUUUCCUUUCUCUUUUUAUUUCAAAGUCAUUUUCAAAUAGAAUUUUGAGUACAACUAAAUUCAAACCAAAAGAAAUCAACAUAGAAUAAUAUAUGCUCCAGCAUGAGUGCAAAACAUGUUACUAAACUUAUAAUGAAUUUUAAUUUCAACAAAAUUUAUUUAUUUGCUAUAUUAAAUGCCCACAAAAAUACUUAAAUAAAUCAAAUUAAAUCCUACUAAUUGAAAAUCAGAUUUUGGGUGUUACAUCAUGAAUCUUUGGUUUGAAAUUAUAGGAUUCAAACAAUUAGGCAAUGAAUCGCUAGGCAAGGCUUAGGAUCGUUUUGAUGGCUUUGUAAAUUCUGGACCUAAUCUUGCUUUACCAGAACCCAUGCUUUUACAACAUUUCUUUUUAGGCCUUAAUGAUAGAAAUCAAGAAUACCUUAAUUUGGCCUUGGGAGGAGAAUUUAUGUAUAUUACUGUUGAUCAUGCUGAAACUAUUCUUACUAAUAUUUUAAAUGAUCUUCCUGAAGAAAAAGAAGAGUUGUUAGAAGAAGAAUCUUUGUUAGCUGAAAAUAAACUUUUACCUGAUUCAUCUCAAUCUAUAGUUGAACUAGCUAAUGAGAAGGAGAUAACUCCAACUUCUGAAUGGAUGUUUGAUUUUGAGGAUGAUUUCUUUGAUGAUUAUGGCAAUACUACAUUUUAUCGUAAGAUUAUUCAACCCCAGCAAUCUAGGGAUUUUAAUCUUAAUUUCUCAUAUCCUGAUGAUUUAAAAUUCCUUAGAGAAAUUAUAAGGGAACUAAUUUUUAUUUUGGGUGAUGAUUGGUUAAUAGAAUCUGAGUAAUCCCCUGAAGUAAUUCGCUUUAAUUCACCCUCAGUUGCUAUGAAGUUGCAAGUAGAUUCAUAUCCUUUUGAAGCUUUAUACAACCCAGUUGUAGGAGUCAACAUUAUGUCAUAUGCUUUUGCUAAAGAAUUUUUGAGAGACAUACCAUUAAUUCCUACAAAUAAAUUAUUAAAGAAUCGUUCAGGACACAUUAUUCCUAGCUUAGGAGUUUUGAGUGCUCUUCCUAUUAUUUUUUAAUGAUUUCCACAUUUUGCUAAAUUUCUAUAUAUUUGAUGUUUGGGAUUUCGAUGUAAUGAUUGGAGUACCCAUAAUAUAACUUCUUUAAGAAGGUCAUAAUGGUAAAUUAAACAUUAAAUUUGGGAAAGGAUUUAGUUUUUCGAUACCUAUAACUCAUGCAGUAAAAGUUAAGGCAGAAUCUCUUCCUGAAUUAGAUCCAAUAGAAGAGGUUAAGACAUUUGAAUUCAAUAAUUUUAUUCAACCUAUUUAGAAGAUAAUACCCAAUUCUUCAUCAAUGAAGAGGAAGACGAUCCUAUUGAUCCUAAACCUCUUGAUGAAUUACUAGAGCCACUUAAACCUCCUAUUGAGCUUAAACCACUACCUUCUGGGCUUAAAUAUGUUUUUCUAAAUAAUGAUAAAAAAUAUCCUAUGAUUAUAAGUUAUAAACUCUUAGAGGAUGAGGCUUAUAAACUAAUAACUGUUUUAGAAAAACACCUUGCUGCUUUUGGUUAUUCACUCCAAGACCUAAAAGGGAUUAGCCCUGUCCUUUGCACUCAUCGCAUACCAACCAAUCCAGAAAUUACACCUUCAAGAGAGCCUCAGCGUAGACUCCAAAAUACGAUGAGAGAAGUAGUAAAGAAAGAGGUCUUAAAGCUUUUGCAUGUGGGGAUUAUAUAUCCUAUACCGCAUAGUGAGUGGGUAAGUCCUGUGCAAGUUGUACCUAAAAAGGGAGGAAUGACGGUUGUCCAAAAUGAUAAAAAUGAAUUAAUACCCCAAAGAACUGUCACUGAAUGGCGAAUAUGCAUAGAUUAUAGAAAACUCAACAAGGCAACAAAGAAAGAUCAUUUUCCUCUACCUUUUAUUGAUGAGAUGCUAGAGUGUUUAGCCAAUCAUUCUUUAUUUUGUUUCCUUGAUGGUUAUUCAGGAUAUCACCAAAUCUCUAUCCACCCUGAUGAUCGAAGCAAAACCACAUUUACAUGUCCCUAUGCAACUUAUGCUUAUUGUAGAAUAUAUUUUGGAUUAUGUAAUGCACUCACUUCUUUUCAAAGAUGCAUGAUGUCUAUAUUUUUUGAUAUGAUAGUAGAAAUCAUAGAAGUUUUUACGAAUGAUUUUUCAGUUUAUGGAAAAACUUUUGAUGAUUGUUUAGAAAAUUUAGAUAAGGUUUUGCAAAGAUGUGAAAAAAAACACUUAGUCCUCAAUUGGGAGAAAUGUCAUUUUAUGGUAAGAGAAGGAAUAGUGUUAGGACACCUAGUGUCAGAAAGAGGUAUAGAGGUAGAUAAAGCUAAAAUUGAAGUGAUCAAACAGCUACCUCCACCUGUUAAUACAAAAGGAAUCCGAAGCUUUCUUGGUCAUUAUGGUUUUUAUCUUAGAUUUAUAAGAAAUUUCUCACAAACUGCUAGGCCAGUGACUAGAUUAUUAGCUAAGGAUGUACCUUUUAAAUUUGAUGAUGAAUGCUUAGAAUCAUCUAAUAUUCUUAAAGAAGCACUUACAUUAGCACCAAUCAUUCAACCCCCUGAUUGGUCUUUACCUUUUGAAAUUAUGUGUGAUGCUAGUGAUUAUGCUGUAGGCACAGACUUAGGAUAAACAAAAGAUAAAAUGCAUCAUGCAAUUGCUUAUGCUAGCAAAACAAUGACACAAGCACAAUUAAAUUAUGCAACCACUGAAAAAGAACUUUUCGCUGUUGUUUUUGCUAUUGAUAAAUUUAGGUCUUACUUAGUUGGAGCUAAAAUAAUUAUUUAUUGUUGCUCUUAAAUAUUUGCUCACUAAGCAAGAUGCUAAAACAUGAUUAAUAAGAUGGAUUUUAUUACUUCAAGAAUUUGAUUUGGAAAUUAAAGAUAGAAAAGGAAUAGAAAAUCCUGUUGCUGAUCAUUUGUCUAGGAUGUAUUUUAAAGAACCUCAUGAGUUACCUAUUAAUGACUCAUUAAGAGAUGACAUGUUGUUUAAUGUGACCAAGACAAAUCCUUGGUACGCGAAUAUGUCAACUUUAUGGUUGCAUGAUACGUACCACCAGGAGAAAAUAAGAAGAAGCUCAUUUAUGAAAGUCGUCUCCACAUAUGGGAUCCACCCUACCUCUUUUAGGUAUGCUCAGAUGGAUUGCUUAGAAGAUGUGUACCAGUGGAGGAGGGCAUGCAAAUCAUUCAAAAAUGUCAUUCAUCACCAUAUGGGGUCAUUAUGGGGUAUUCCAUACUCAUGCAAAAAUUUGGCAGAGUGGUUUCUUCUGGCCAACCAUGGACGAAGACACCAAAGAUUUCAUCCAAAGAUGUGGGUCGUGUCAAAGGCACAGAAAUAUCAAUACUAGAGAUGCUAUGCCACUCACCAACAAUCUUCAGAUAGAGCUCUUUGAUGUCUAGAGAAUUGAUUACAUGGGACCAUUUGUGAAAUCGAAGAAUUAUGAGUACAUUUUAGUGGCAGUUGACUAUGUAUCCUAGUGGGUAGAAGCCAGGCCAUGCAAGAAGGCUGAUUCAAGACACUCAAAGAGGAUGUUUGAAGAGGUUAUAUUUCUGAGGUUUGGAACACCUAGGAUGGUUACAAGUGAUGGAGGAACACAUUUCACUCAUAAGAAGUUUCACUCAUAUGUACAAGCUCAUGGAAUAUGGCAUAACAUUGCUACUCCAUAUCAUCCUCACACAAGUGGCCAAGCAGAAACAUCAAAUAAACAAAUCAAAAAUAUUCUUCAAAAAAUAGUAAAUGAGAUGGGAACAUUAUGGAAGGAUCGGUUACCAGAUGCACUAUGGGCAUACCGGAUAGCUUAUAAAACACCUUUGGGUAUGUCACCAUAUCAACUGGUAUAUGGUAAGACCUACCACUUACCGGUUGAACUAGAACAUAAAGCUCACUGGGCUAUCAAAAUAUGGAAUAUGGAUUUAGAAACUGUUGGAGAGAAAAGAAAAAUGCAAUUAUCAGAACUAGAAGCAUGGAGAGAAAAGGCGUAUCACAAUUUGAAGAUCUACAAAGAAUGAAUAAAGAGAUGGCAUGACACGACGAUCAAGAAGAAGAAAUUUGCACCAGGAGAUAAGGUUUUACUUUUUAAUUCUAGGUCCAAAUUAUUCAGGCUUGGAAAAUUGAGGAGCAAAUGAGAAGGACCCUUCAUCGUCGUGAAUUCAUCACCACAUGGAGCAGUAACUCUACAAUCAAGCGAAGGUAUGCUAUUCAAGGUAAAUAGACACCAACUUAAACUUUAUUUAGAACUAUUUGAUUCAGGAGUAGUUGAUGAUAUAGAAUUUAACAAAUUACCAACAUAUUAAGCUCUAUUUAUUUUGGUACAAAAAUUUAUCCGAAAACACGUCUAACAGAAAAUAGGAAGAGUCUAAAGGCACCAUGCAGAAGGGCACCCGAGGUGGGCCCCUGGAGGGGCCGACCGGCGCCUAUGUGGGGCCGGUUGGCGCCCCCUGCCGCCUCUCAUCCCAACUCUCAUUCCCUGUCCUUCUACACCCUUCCUAUGAAUAUUCGCACAAUAUCCAAUCGCGUUCGGAUAUUCUUUCGUACGGAUCCCGUAGAGCCUAGGAUUUGUCCUCAUCCUAUUUCUUGAAAACCCAUAUAAAUAUGUACCUAGACCCUCCUCGAUAGUAUCCCAUAACCAGCCACCUCUUUCCUCAGAGAAGCUCUCCAAUCUAGAUCUAUUAGCAAUGGCAGACAAGGUAGUCGUCUCCAACGGCGCAGACUUCAACAACAUCCCCAGUGAUGACUCGAAGGCCCUCGUCCUCGCGCAGCCAAAGCCUCUCGCCGUUGUGCCGCCAAAGCAAGUCGCUACAGUGCCCCGAUGUACAAGAUCCAUCUGCUCUUUCUCCUCCUCCUACAAGAUUGCUACUUGAAGGAGGUGCUAAGGGGAAGCAAAUUGCUAUCCCGAAGGGUACUCCGCUUCUUCCACCUAAGGCCAAUGAACGGCUCUUGUCGGUCCAAACCAACAAGAAGGGGAAGCUGAUAUGUGCCAAGUACACAACUACUCAUCCUGUUAUCCAAGGGGUUCAUGCAAGCCCUAACGAAGUAUGCUACGUUGAGCAUAUCGCACCAAAGUCCAAACCCAAUAGGAAGAGAGCAGCACCAGCAUUAGCACUGGAAAAAGUGUCCAAGAAGCCAGCUCCUACCCUACGCACCCUCAAUGAGAAGCUUGAAGGUCUCUCUGACAUUGUCAAGGGGAUGGAGAACUCCAACAAUCUAAGGGACAAGCUCAUAGAAGGCAUGGACAAGCAGUUGGGGAUUAGCCUCAAGUUGAUCCGCAGCCUCAGGCAUGAUGAAGACAAGCUUGAAGCGGAGGUUGCAGCCCUCCAAGAAGAAAUUCAGGGCCUCAACAAUAAAGAGCAACCAUAGUUGCCCAGUUACCUAUUAAUAAGACACAAUUCCGCUAGGUUUGGUUAGUUAGUUAGUUAGGUCAGUUGAGUCAUAAAAUUUUCUUAGGACAAAGCCUAUUGAGCUAGGGUAGUCGUUUGCUCCGUGGUUAAAGCGUCUAUUAAAUUAUAUCACCUCCAUGAAUAAAUAAAGUGCCUUAUCUUUUAUCUACUCUAUUCUCUAUUUUUUGUAUGUGUUUGUCUCCACAUAUUGCGCAGGAAAGUAUACAUGAAAACAAGUGUGGGGGAGGCACAUCGCAAUCAGGAAACGAAACUUCGAUCGCAAAAAUAGCAUAAUUCUGAACACAAUCAAACCAAGACCGUGCACAGCAAAGCGGGGCCCACAUUGCCCAAUGGUGUGGCCGGCCGACGCCAAGGUGGGGCCGGCCGACGCCCUGCUUGCUCGUCUCUGCUCUCGCUUCUGUCACGGUCAGGUUUGAGUUAUUUACGUUAUAAUUGCAUAUAUUUCAUCUUUGAAUUGUUAUCCGAAUAGUAAAUCUUUAUAUUAAAUAUUUUUAAGAAAUAAUAAACACCAUUUAAUCUAUGACUUGAAAAUAAAUUAUAUAACACUUUUUUAGAGUCAUGAUGAUUGUGAAAUUUAUAGUACUUCAUGUUUGCUUAAGUUAUUGUGGAAAGCAAGAUAGCAAAAUAAUGAGUACUCAAUUCCUGAUAAUUUGUCUUUGGAGAUUUUAUUUUAAAAAGGUAAAAAAAACAAUUAGCUUCACCUCUCUUUGUAGUGGAAUCAAAUAAUAAAAAUAACCAUUCUAGUUGAAAGGAUCAAGAUGUCCAAGAGGGGGGGUGAAUUGGGCAUCUCUAAAAAUUUAAGCAACCUAUAAGCUCCAAUUCAACCCCUUGUGCCUAGUGUGAUCUAGAGAGCUACCGGAUAAAAGUUUUGCAAUCUAGUUCCAAUCCUAUUCUACCAUGGGAAUUAUAGGAAUGUAAAUACUCAAAGUAAAUGCUAGAAAGUAAAGGAGUAGAGCAAGAGGAACGUGGUGAUGUUUUGCCGAGGUAUCCGAGAGUUGCCACUCCCCACUAGUCCUUAUUGGAGCACCCGCGCAAGGGUCUUGCUCCCCCUUGGUCCGUGCAAGGACCAAGUGCUCUCUACGGGCUGAUUCUUCGACACUCCGUCGCGGUGAAUCGCCCAAAACCGCUCACAAGCUUGACAUGAGCCACCCACAAGAACUCUGAGCGGUCUUCAUGCCUCCAAUCACCACUGAACCGUCUAGGUGAUGGCGAUCGCCAAGAGUAACAAGCAAAAAACUCUCACUUGACCCAAACAAGGCUAUAGAGAGUGGUGGAUGGACACUUGAACUCUUGGAACUCAACUAGAGAAGGAUUCACUCAAGAAAUCACUCAAUUCUCAAUCCUCUCUAGGCUCUUGCUUCUCUCUUGCACCACAAGGUGUUUCUCUACUGAUCAAAUGGGCAAGAGAGCUCCUAUGGACGAGGUGGAGGAGUAUAAAUAAUCCCCAUCAAGUCCAAGGGCCGGCCAACCGUUUUCCACUAAAAACGGGAGCACCGGACGCACAUAAUGUUGCACCGGACGCACUGCACAGAGCGUCCGGUGACACAUUAACGGCUAACUCUACCUUCUCAGAUAGUGCACUAGAUGCACCCUCAGUGGGUCAGAUGCCAUCGUCCAGUGAGAGGGAAAACUUACACCCUCCCUGGGUAUGGGACCGAACGCUCCCCGACGAGUCCGGUGCUAGCGUCCGGUGCCCUGGUCAACUACAGACCUCCCUGGGUAUGAGACCGGAUGCUCCCCGGUGAGUUCGGUGCGAGCGUUCAGUGCCUAACCCUAGGCACCCAGUCACUCUGACUAAAGUCAGCCCCACCAGAAGCGCUCACAGAGCGUCCGAUGUAGCGUCCGGUGCCUCUUUAGGCACCCAAACUUCGUCGGAACUCGAUCUUUCCAAAACAAAGUUUGUUUCUCUCGAUCUAAGGACUUUCUCAGAGCUGCCUAGUGCUAGAUUUACCAAGUGUGCACCACACCUAAACCUAAAGCCUUGCCUAGGUCAAGGUACCCGUUCAAUGCCCCCAUAAUAGUACGGUCAAAGGAAAAACAAAGUUCUAAACUACUCUAAGUGCCCUUCUUCACCAUAUUGCACUUAGACCUAGUCUAGUCCCGACGAUGUCCAACCAUCCUUUGAAAACCAAAACGAUUUUCACCAUUAAGUAGGCAUGAACGAUCUAGUCCAUCGAUCACCAUUACCAUGACCUAACAUAAAUGACUUUGCCUCUGCAAAACACACGUUAGUCAUGGUAAUCAACAUUGCCAUUAAUCACCAAAACUCAUUAGAGGUCUAGAUACUUUUUACUACUGUUAAUUAUUAUGGCUUUGGUCGAGAGAUUUAUCAUAUUUCCAGUAUCAUAAAUAAAAACAUAAUACACACUCUUGAAGCAUUAUUAUGAAGGAGGCAUGAGCUAUUCAUAAAGAAAUCCGAGGAAAUAAAAAGGGACAAGUGUCCAAAUCCUCAAAAAGAUAGAUCACGGGGAAAUAAAAAGGAACAAGUAUCCGGAACCUCGAUUCGAAAAAAGAGAGAGAGAGCUCAUGGUCCCUGCAACAUAAUAUGCCAAGGAGUGCACGAUUUGUCUGAUCUAGGAAUAUGAUAUUUCCCUCCCUAGUUAUGAAUAUCAAAUUAAUAUCACAACCGUUGAUGCCACUACAAUUACUAGGUCGAAGCUAUGUUUUAUUUGCAAACUCCACUUACUCUCUGGUAGACAAAAUUUAAGGAAGAGAGUAAUCUAUUUUAAGCUAUCCUACUCUACAAUCACUAUAGAAUUCAUGAUAAACACUUUAAAUUUCCACAAUGCGUGAUGCCUAGACUAGUUUUAUAUAAUUUAAUUUCCAUGUUAUGCAUUAAAUGUUUAUUCUUUAUGAUAGAACCAAUCUUUUUCUCGGGAUGAGUAAAAGCCUAAGUGUGGGGGUAAUUGUUGACACCUAUUAACUCACAAAAUUUGUUAGCAUUUAUUUCUCCACCACAUAUGAAUAUCUACUAGAAUAGGCUUAUCACUGACAAUUUCUACGAGUUUUGCAUAUUCUGUGUUUUUAGGGAUUAUUUCAGAAAGAGCUGAAAAGAGGGAUUUAAGUGCUAAUCGACCACGAAACUUAUCCACAACGGAAGGAUGACACCAAAGGAAUUAGGAAUACUCUAGAAGACACUCGACGCAACAGGGGGGCUAGCAGCCGCUAGGUGGGGCCGGCCGACCCCACCCUAGCGCCGGUCGGCGCCCCCCUAUUAGGGUUUUGGCCCCCCUUCCGGAACCUUCCUCCACCGCCUCCGAGGAGCCAUCUUGGCCGCUUGUUAAAUUGGUUUGAUCCAACGACGCGUAUCCAUCCCACUAGGCUAUAAAUAGAAGGCUAGACCCCCCUGGAGGAGGCCAGAUCAAGAGAUGAAGAGUCACAGCAUUAGAUAGAGAUCCACUAGAUCUAGGCUAGCAAUCAAGAUAGAGAUUAGAGAAAUAGAGUAGAGGAGUAGAGAUUCGGAGGAGUCUCGGCCUGUCGGAGCUUCCUCAGGAGCUGUAUUCGUCUGGAUUCGGCUCCCUUGCCUGGAGCUACGUUCUGAGGUACUUUUGUAUUUACCAUUCAAGUAUGUAACUUGUUUUUAUUUGUUCUUUGGUUUACAACUCAUACUAUAAUGAGUACUACGAUUUGGGUAGCUCUUAGGUCGGAGUAGUGAUUCGUAGCAUAGACGUGGUAUCUGAGCUAUAGUAGCUUGUGAAUGUCCCCUGAUCAACCGGACAGUGGUAACUUUAUAGCUACGUUGAUUUCUCUAUAGUCCACUUCCCGUUGAUAGGAUCGAUAGGCUUAUAAGUGCCUGAUAGGAGAUUACUCUGUUUCUUCUCCUAUUCGGGUUACUUGCCCGAUAAGACGAUAUUAUACAAAGUUUAGCGGUUAUUAGAACAAGAGUACAUUAGCCCUCAUUCUCAAUAGUUUUCUAGAUUGAUUGUACCCCCUUAGAUUAAGAAGUUAUAGACUAAGUCACAAAUCACCUAUUGUUCCUUUGGGUUCGAUAUUAAAAUCGAAUUGAUCUUGGUGAAGUGCUGAUCAAUAUAUAUAUCUGCGCUUGCGGAUAAUCUGAUUAUACUUAUUAUUAGGGUGUAGUUAAUUUAUACCAACACUGGGCGAUGAGGAUGGUGGCCGGGCAGUUUAGGGCCCCUGGCGUUGGUAGCGAUGGCCGACCCAGGUUAGGGGUGGAGGAGUCUCGUUGGAGUUAGAGAAAAUGGCGGGGAUCGAGCUCGCCGAAGUUAGAAAAGAAAGCAGUGACUAGGGGGGAGGACGGAGAAGGGGAAGAAGGCGGGCACCCUAGGUGUGCUAGAGCCCUAGCGUGCCAGUGCUCCAGUAAACCCUGGCAUGCCGAUCUAAAUAAAGAGAAACUCUCCCAAGUCCGAGUUAAAGAUUCACACUCAAAGCCUAGUCCCACCCUAAAUUUGACUCGUGCAUGUUCACUCUAAAACGGUAUGGAUAUUGUUCGACCGUAUUUAAGUUUGAAUUCGUUUAGAGGAUUUCAGAUCUAUCUGUAUUCGAGUCCGAAUAUUUAACAUCUGAUAACAUAUCCAUAUUCGAAUACUUAAAGCGUAUAUUUAUGAUGUCAAUAUCCGUUAUCUGAUAUAAUUAAUAUUAUAUACAUUUAAAUACUAGUCUGACUAGUAAUAUAAAAAUAAAUAUGAUAUUAACCCAUAUCCAAUUCGUUCUCAUCCGUACCGCGACGAAAGGAAAGCCCCAACUCGAAAUCCCGCACCCACAGGCCAGAGAGGGGGAGAGAGAGAGAGUUACUUCCAAAAAAUUUUGCAAAAUAGGAAUAGUAGCAUUUUCGUUUGUAUUUGACAAAUAUUGUCCAAUUAUGGACUAACUAGGCUCAAAAGAUUCAUCUCGUCAAUUUCGAUCAAACUGUGCAAUUAGUUUUUAUUUUUAUCUAUAUUUAAUACUCCAUGCAUACGUCUAAGAUUCGAUGUGACGGAGAAUCUGAAAAAUUUUGUAAAAUUUUUGGAAACUAAACAAGGUCUUAGGAACUUAGGCCCUGUUUAGUUCCCUACCCAAAAUUUUUUCAUCCAUCCCAUCGAAUCUUUGAACACAUGCAUGGAACAUUAAAUGUAGAUAAAAAAAUAAACUAAUUACACAGUUUAGUUAAGAAUCGCGAGACGAAUCUUUUAAGCCUAGUUACUCCAUGAUUAGCCUUAAGUGCUACAGUAACCCACAUAUGCUAAUGACAGAUUAAUUAUGUUUAAUAAAUUUGUCUUGCAGUUUCCUGGCGAGCUAUGUAAUUUGUUUUUUUAUUAGUUUCUAAAAACCUCUCCCGACAUUCUUCCGACAUAUCCGAUGUGACAUCAAAAAAUUUUCGUUCCCAAUAAACAGGCCCUUAGACAAAGAAAGAACACCAACGCCGCCACCCAGCCGAGGCAAGGCCUGAGAGCAGUCACCCUGGCCUCGCACCGCCCGCACACGCCAGCAGCAGCAAAAGAGACGCUCGGCCACGAGCAACUGCUCCUCCGUCAGCAGCCGGGAGCCCAGCCCAGCAGCGCUUUGUCCCUUCCACCGACUGUUCCUCCUCGCUUCCUCGUCUCGCGCGAGCACCAGCAGCAAGGUGAGCUGAGCUUCCUCCACUCCCCGAACCCAACAGUAUAUCUGCCCUCCACCCACCCCACUUGUCUCGCACCGCGAUUGCCCAGGCCCCAUGCGCGCGCGCGUUGCGGGGCGGCAUUGUCCCCACCCCCCAAAUGGUGCUCGUCUCGCGCUGCUCCUACGGGCGGUCCGCUGCAUCCGUCGGCCGUCGCCGCCGUCCGCCUCGCCGGGGAGUUUGGAAUUUGGCGCGAAACCCUAGCCCCCUGCCAGAAUUCGGGGUGGCGCGGGUCGGAUCAGGGGAGCCCGGGUGCGCCCCGAGCAGGGGAAUCAGUUUUGAAUUGCGCACUGUUGCCGUGCCCAAGUUUGCUACGCGUUUGGGAACUAUUUUUUUUCCGCUCCCGCAUCCGGCUGAAUUUCGUGUUGGGAAAUGGAGCGAGCUCGUUCUGUUGGUGAUCGGGCCAAAACCCUAGCUUGGCUCGUCGUGCUUUCACCGGAAUUUAGAAUCAGGGGAGCUCCGUGCUCGGGGGCGCGUUGCCUUUCUUUACUUAUGAUUUUUGUUUCGAACCCUGCUGCUGUGGCUCACUAUGGUCUUGCCUCUGACUCUGGGAUCCCUGCACACUUUUACUUUGUAGGUUCUCAUUAGAUUCUCGAUUUUGUCACUGGCUGUUGGGUUUUGCUGCGCCGGAAGAGCUCAGAAGACUUCCCUUGGGUUUAUGCAUAAAAAGGUGGUUAGGGUUGCAGAACUGGAUUGAAUAAGCUUCCUAUGGUCUUUAUUGUGCUAGAACCUUCUAGCUUACUGCUUCGUCAGCUAACAAGAUCCAACUUUGGUGACAUGAGUAUUUCUCCUCGACCUGCUACUCUGCACGGUCUGCACCUUUAGAUGUUGCAUCAGCCAUCAGGGCAGCCUCUGCACAUAUUAGCUCACUGGGACACUGAUGGAAGCAAAUACUAUGAAAUUUCAUCCGGCAUUAAAAGCCUAUUGCUAAACCUCCAGCAGUAUUGGUGCAGAACUCCGUAAUGACAACCUCUAAUUCAUGCAUUACUUAUCUUCUUGUGUACCUUCAUUUGCUCUUUGUGGAUUUAAUGUUGUUGUUUGUUAGACUUUUUUGCUUCAAAGUGAGGUUCUAAAGUUUCAUUUUCAUGUCAAGCCUAAUCUUUCGAUUGAUUAGCAAGGUUAUGGGACCUAAUCCAGUUUUAAAACUGUUCCGUUGGUUCUUAAUUAAUUGAACCUGGACCAAACAGCAUUUUUUUGCUCUUGUUUUUUUAUUUGUCUUACACAUUUCUAACAUAUUUUGUUAUUAAUUGCAGUUAGUUCUCCUGUUGGUUGAUUUGUGUACUGGGACAUAUUGGAUUAGAGGAGCCAGAAAACUUGAAAAUUUACUUUGAACUUAUAUUCAUGUCCUGAUUGUAUGGAAUCCCAUUUCUAAGAGAUGCCAUUAUCGACACCACCACCGCCAAAAAAUUUUCUCCCACUACCAUCACCAGUGGCUGGGCAGAGGACUCGUAUUAACCUUGGGGAAAUCAAACUAAAACUAGUUAAGAGGAUUGGUUCAGAGCGAGCAAAGAAGUACUUUGAGCACCUGCAGAGGUUUUUGUCUUUGAAGCUGAGCAAGACUCUAUUUGACAAGUUCUGCCUCACAAUACUCGGCCAUGAUAACAUUCAGCUUCAUAACCACCUCAUUUGCUCUAUUCUCCACAAUGCCUGCCAAGCCAGUAGCCCACCGACAGUCAGUACACCUAAAUCAAUUGGAGUUGCCAAGAAUUCAAAUCAUGUUUUAAGUCCUACAGUCCCUGUCUCUGACAUUAGUGAUGUUCUGCAUCAUCAUGUGAAGGACCACUAUCCACAAAGCAGAAAUGCACAUGUUCUCCAGGAGAAUGGUGCUGUGCAUUUGACCAAACUGAAGAGAUUUCCGCAGCCUCAACAAAGUGAACUUGUGGAACAACUGUCCAAACGAUCACGUGUGGAGAAUGCAUAUUCAAAUUUAUCUGAUUCCACAAAUAGCAACUGUACUGGUAUCUCUGGUAGAGAACAUGUGGAAGCGGUUGCAGAGCAUGCUCGAUGUCCCAUAACUGCCCCACUAGGGGCUGCCUUCUGUUCUUGUCAUAUUGGUCAUUUUGGUGGGAAUUUGAAAACUUUGACACUUCCCUCUAGUUCUAGCAGUGAUAACUCUGUUUGUUGUUAUGACCUUGGUCAGCUGUGUGAUACUUCAUCACUGAGACAGCGUAUGGGAAGAAUAGCAGAAACAGAAGGGUUAGAUGGUGUGUCAUUAGAAUGUGCUAAUUCAUUGAAUAAUGGAGUUGAUUUUUUCUUGAAACAACUUAUUGGAUCUUGUAUGGAGCUAAUAUCAGCAAGAUCUCAGCAUGAUCGAAUAAAUCAUAUGGCACUAAAACAACAGUUGGGUCAAAAGCUAUUAAUUGGUGUGCAGCUGCAAAAUCAGGUCCAUGGUCGAAGUGCCACUACAUGUCCGCAAAUGCACUCAGUUUCAUUGCAAGACUUCAAGGCUCUAUCAGAGACAAAUCCUCAGCUGCUUGGAGUCAAUGCAUCACUGGUACUUGAAAAAAUGAAUUCAUGACUAAUCAGUUAGGAUGCAAAUGGAUUAAUCUUUCUACAGAGUUUGAUUUUUGCCUAUCAGGCAAGAGGAUUGAAAGCUCAAAAUCCUAUCUUUGUCACAUGCACCAUCAGUCAAUGGUAUGUGGAUGUUUGCACGACUUAGAAAAUGCAUCCAGCUGAGGUCGUAGCACCAAAUGUGACAAUGAUGAAGUGUGAGCCUUGCCCAGCGUACUUCUCCACAAAUUCCAUGUGAACAUCCAAGUCCUGACUUACUUCUGCGCAUAUAUGCAGCUGAGGUGUUUCUUCCUAUUUCAUCUCUGUUGCCUUGCGAAGUCCAAGCCUGCCUCCAUACACUUACUGCAGCUGAGGUGUUACUUCUGUUUCAUCUCUGCUACUCAAAGGAUGUUUUGACAUUCUUAGUCUCAUAUGUAGCAGACACCAAAUCUUCUCAGCAUGGUGUGUCUCCUAUGGUGCAUGGUGUAUAUUUUCAUAAUUUAUUGAUAGGCAACUGAAGAUCCUGUUCUGGUGAACUCCAUGGCUCACUAUUAAGACUGCUCCAUCAAAAUAAGUGAAGAUCUCAUAACUUCUAGAGAAUGUUGAUCAUAGAAAGACAUCCAUUUUGUGCUUCUGUGCACCAGUGAGGAGUCAAGACUGUACACGAUGCAAGGUGCAAAGCAGAUUCAGUACAGGGCUUCCAGGACAAAAAGAUGUUGAUCGGUAAGCCUAUGGCACUAGUGUGGUAUAAAUUGUUACAUUUGUACUAUUGACUUUCGAGAAUGUAGAUACUAAAAUUUUUUUGAUGUUUGUUAUGUUUUGCCUGUCAACCCCUCACAACUGGUAAAAGUUACAAAAUAUAGUUUGACAAGCCAUACUCUGAAUAUUUGUUCUAACUGUUCCGUUAUUGUAUUUAACAUAAACUGUUUAAAUACACAGUCUCCUUUCUGUUAGGUUAUGCAAGUACAAAACAUUUAAUCCAUAUCUUGACUGUUUAUAUUCAUCUACAAUGGGUUCUAUUUUCAGGUUUUUUACCUUUAGUUUGUGUUGUUGCCUGUUAUGUGUAUAAGCAGAAUUUAGAACUCAGUUUCAUUUCGCUCUCAUGAGAUGUAGGGAAAUUGAAUUCAUGCAUGCAUAUAUCUAUAUUGGAGAUUUCUAUAUUGGAGAUUGCCUUGUCCUGCAGUCUGUCUUCAAGCUCCAUAUUUCCUAGAUAUCCAUGUUGCAUCUUUUUGAACUUCAAAUUAAUCAGUAAUAUGGAAGUAGAAUAAUUUUAAUAUCAUGGCCUUCACUUGCUAAACUUAGGCAAACAUAUUGGAAAUGUAGCGAAUGCAAAUUCAUAUCUAGGUGAUCAUGCAAAGUUAUAAUGUGGCCAAUUGGAGUGUGUUUAGAUGGACUAGAUUUAACUGGAGUGGGUAACCACAUUGAUCUGUGACUAGGGGCUCAUGUUGGGUUUCAACUCUAGCCUACCCCAACUUGCUUGGGACUAAAAGGCUUUGUUGUUGUUGUUGUUGGGGAACCACAUUGAUCUGCGUCCAUAGGGGUGAUUGUGCAUGCAUUGUUCUAUGUAAUAAAAAAAAGAGCGAUUUCUGUGGCUGAUGCUGAUUAGAAAGAAAUUGGACUGUUAAUUAACAUAUACACAUUUUUUAUGACCAUGAUAUUCAGAGAGUAUAGAAAGAAAUUAAACAUAUGAAGCUCAUAUGAAUCGAAGUCAAGAUUAUAUUAAUCAAUAGUGAACUAGAUUGAAAUGGAUCAAGCACAAAGAUUUUGUGUGGCCAAUGGAUUUCGCUGGAUAGCAUGUUCAACUCUGAACUGGUAUAGGCACACUGAAGUCAUUCACUUAUUUUGGGGCUAAGUGCAGAAAAUGAAAUUUGAAAAUUUUGGAAUUGAGAGAUGCAAAAUAUUUUGGUUGGGCAAACCUUUAAUCCAUAGGGAUGCUUAUGGGUAUAGUGUCUGAAGAUGAAAAUGUGCUAGUAGUUGGGUGCCUUUGGUUAGAGAAUUUGGGUUCAUGUGAGACCCUCCCAAAACAAUCUUUUUACUUUUCAUCACAGAAGCAAAUUGGUAUGUGCUAGGCUGCGUAAGGCGUAUGAGUGAAAGAUGGGAGGACGAGGCUUGAACUGUCGGCGGCGAGUGGAUGGCGCCGUGGCCGGCGGCUGGCUGCUACGAACGGGAAUGGCAAGAACUAGACGGAGAUAGGGCUGGGUGCCCAAGGGAGACAGAAAGUCUCAAUCCCAGGCUGUCCUUUUCAUUCGCCGUGGUUCAGUAUUUAUACUGGUUUCUUACAGACUUGAUCCUAAACACAAGGAGGUCCUGACCACGCUAACUCCACAAACAAAGCUGCUAAGAAUAGAGAAACGCUAAUUCAAGGCACAGACAUGCAUCCAUACACUAAUAGAAUUAUUCAAACAGCCUUGCAUGCUGCUACUAAUUUUGGCGAUCAUUCUCAGCCAGUGGCAAGGCUCCGGGCUUGUCGAGCAUAGCUCAGCCAGUAGCCCUGGUCCUUCGCUGGUACUGUUGACCCACCAUAACAUCUCUUCCCGCCUCGACAAACAGCUCGUCCUCGAGCUGCACAUCCGGGUAGAGAGUCUUGAAGUCGUCCAGGGGCUCCCAGGUGGCGUCGUCGUCUGGAAGGCCUUGCCACUUGACGAGGAUGCGCCAUGCGCCGCGACGAAGCUGGGCGUGUAUGACCUGCUCAGGGGCUGGCAGUAGUCGCCCGUCCUGAACCGGUGGCAGCACGACUGGUGCUGAUGGUGGUGAGCCAGCGUAGUUGUAAGGCUUUAACAGCCCCACGUGGAAGACGUCAUGCAGGCGCGCGUUCGCGGGGAGUCGGAGACGAUAAGCCACUGGCCCGAUGCGCUCGACGAUCUGGAACGGCCCGGCGUAGCGUGGGCGCAGCUUGCCCUUGGACGGCGAAGCGAGCGCAUGGGUGGGUCGAUGGAGAAGUCGGAGCAGCACCCAUGCGCCCACGUCGAACUCCACCUCGCGAUGGUGCUCAUCGUAGUGGCGCUUGGCGUACUGCUGGGCCUGAAGAAGACGCUCGCGAACCUCCUCGAGGAACGCGUCGCAGUCCCGCAGCAUGGCGUCCACCGCCUCCGUCUGGGCCGUCCCGGUGUGGUGUGGCAGGAGGGGUGGCGGGGGUCGGCCAUACACAAUCUUGAACGGCGACGCCCGGAGCGCCGUGUGGUACGAGGUGUUGUAGCAGUACUCCGCCCAGGAGAGCCAGUCGACCCACGAACGAGGCCGAUCACCUGUUGCACAACGCAAGUACAUUGCGAUGAUCUUGUUGACGACCUCGGACUGGCCAUCCGUCUGAGGGUGGAAGGCCGUACUGAGCCGCUGCUUGACACCUGCACAUUUAAAGAGGUCGCGCCAGAGAGUGCUGGUGAAGACAGGGUCGCGAUCGCUGACGAUGGAGCUGGGGAAGCCGUGCAGGCGCACGAUCCCGAAGGCACGGGCGACGGAGGCGGCGGUGUAGGGGUGGCUAAGCGCGAUGAAGUGGGCGUACUUCGAGAAGCGGUCCACCACCGUCAGGACCACAGACUUGUCGUGCACCUUCGGAAGCCCCUCGAUGAAGUCCAUGGAGAUAUCCGCCCACACCUGCGACGGAACGUCCAAGGGUUGAAGUAGGCCGGCUGGCUGUGUCGUCGGCGUCUUGUUCCGCUGGCACACGUCGCAGGAGCGAACGAAGUCGUGCACCAGCUGGCGGUCUCCGGGGAUAUAGAAGUCUGUGCGGAGGCGCACAAGGGUUUUUUGAACCCCCUCGUGCCCCGCCGAGUGAGCCAAGGCCACCACCUGGUGGCGCAAGUCGUCGGUGGCAGGCACGUAGAUGCGCUUGCCGUGGAGGAGGAAACCGUCGUCGGCUGCCCACGGCUCGCCUAGAGAAGCAGCCUCCAGCUGCUGCAACAGGUCGCACGCGACCGGGUCGGCAGCGGUGGCGCGGCGAAUGUCGGCGUAGAGGUCGAAGGACGGCCCGGGGAGGGCAUAGAGCGCCGCGGUCUCCUCAUCGCGGCGGGACAAUGCGUCGGCCGCCGAGUUGAGCCGCCCAGGGCGGUAUUCGACGGUGAAGUCGAACCCGAACAGCUUGCUGAGCCACUGGUGCUGGGGCACGGUGGACAGCCGCUGGUCCAGGAGGAACUUCAGGCUGUAGUGGUCGGUGCGGACGAGGAACCGGCGCCCCCACAAGUACGGGCGCCAGUGUCGGACUGCUUGAACCAGCCCAAUGAGGUCGCGCUCGUAGGCCGCCAGCUUCACAUGGCGGGCGACGAAGGGUCGACUGAAGAAGGACAGGGGUCCCCCGCCCUGGUGUAGGACGGCGCCGAACCCUGUGCCGGAAGCGUCGCAGUCGACCAUGAACUGGCGCCUGAAGUCUGGCAUCUGUAGAACCGGCGCCGACGAUAGCGCUCGCUUGAGGGCAGCGAAGGCCUCGUCUGCCUCCGCUGUCCAGACGAAUGCCUCCUUCCGCAGGAGACGUGUGAGGGGGACCGCGAUGGAGCCGAAGUCGCGGAUAAACUUCCUGUAGUAGCCGGCGAGGCCCAGGAAGCCACGCACCCCGCGUGGAGAGCGCGGCGGCGGCCAUGAGGCGACAGCGGCCACCUUGUCGUUGUCCAUGGCGACCCCGUCGGCGGAGAUGACGUGGCCGAGGUAGGCGACGGAGAGAGCCCCGAAGGAGCACUUCGACCUCUUCAAAAAGAGGCCGUGGGCUCGUAGGGCGGUGAAGACAAGGCCGACAUGUUGUAGGUGUUCGGACCACGACGUGCUGUAGAUCAAAAUGUCGUCGAAGAAAACUAGCACAAACCUGCGGAGGAAGGGGCGGAGCACGUCGUUCAUCAGUGCCUGAAAUGUCGCAGGGGCGUUGGAGAGCCCAAACGGCAUCACCAGGAACUCGAAGUGGCCGUGGUGUGUGCGGAACGCCGUCUUCUUGAUGUCCGCUGGGUGCAUGCGCACCUGGUGGUACCUCGAGCGGAGGUCGAGCUUGGUGAAGUACUUGGCCCCGUGGAGCUCGUCAACCACCGGGAUCGGGAAUUUGUCCUUGGACGUCCGGUCGUUGAGCGCGCUAUAGUCGAUGCAGAAGCGCCACGACCCAUCCGCCUUCUUGACGAGGAGCACGGGCGUUGAGAACAGCGAAGUGCUAGGGCGGAUGAUGCCCUGCUCCAGCAUGGCGGCGCACUGCCGCUCGAGCUCAUCCUUCUGCAACUGAGGGUACCGGUACGGCCGUACUGCCACCGGCGCUGUCCCGGGCAGCAGGUGUAUGCGGUGGUCGUAGGGGCGGGCUGGUGGAAGGCCGCGUGGUGUGUCGAAGACGGUGUCGUGCUGAAGUAGGAGCUCGUCCAGCAGCGGGUGGUGCGGGUCCGAAGCGAUCGUGGCCAACGACCGCUGCUCGGAGGGCGCACCCGGGGCGCCCACACACUGCCACGUGAUGUGGCGUCCCUCGUGCAAGAAGGACACAGUGAGCCCCUCGAAGUCCCAGGUGAGGGGCCCUAGCGUGCCGAGGAAGUCGACGCCGAGGAUGAAGUCGAAGCAGCCGAGCGCGAGCCCGACACAGGUGAUGGAGAAGGGCACCCCGCUGAUGUCGACGGGCACGUCUCGGGCGAUCCCCUCACACGGCACGCGCUCGCCGUUGGCCACCGUGACGCGGAACUAGUCACCCCCCUUAGGAGUGAGACCAAGGCGCCGCAUGGCCGCACCCUGGAGGAAGGUGUGGGUGGAGCCGGUGUCCAGGAGGGCGAGGAGGCGCUCGCCCUUGAUCGUCACGGGCAGGAGCAUGGUGUGGUACGUCCUGAUUCCUGCAAGAGCGUGUACAGAAACGACAAGGGUGUGAGCGUGAGCGUCCACUGCGGCGGCGGGCUCCUCGGGCAGGACUGCAUCUAUGGCCUCCGCGUCGCCGUCGUGGAAGUCGUCCACCUCCAGGAAGAACAGGCGGGGGCACACGUGCCCACGCACGUACUGCUCGUCGCAGUUGUAGCAGAGGCCCUGGCGACGGCGUUCCUGCAUCUCCGCCGGUGUCAAGCGACGGAAGGUGCGGGUGGGUGUAGCGGAUCCGGUCGGGUUCAGCGUCGUAGGAGCGGGCGCAACGGUCGUACUGCCUCCCCCAGCAGCGGGGCGAGCCGAAGGAGACAGCCGUUGGGGAGGGCGGGUGCCACGCUGUGCAGGUGCGGCGAAGGCUGCGGCCUUGCGCUCGAACAUGCGCGCCAGGUACAUGGCCGUCUGGAGGUCGCCGGGGUCGUGCAUUUCCACGUCCGCGCGGAUGUGGUCAGGUAAUCUACCCACGAAGAGUUCCGCCUUCUGGCGGGUGGAGAUGUCCCGUGCGUGAGCAAGGACCGCCUGAAAACGACCCGUGAACUCCUCCACUGUGGAGUGGAAGGGCAACCGGCCCAGCUCUGCCAGGCGGGAGCCGCGAAUUGGCGGUCCGAAGCGAAGGCGACACAGUUCCUUGAACCGAUCCCAUGGCGGCUGGCCCUCGUCCUGCUCGAGGGCAUAAUACCAUGUCUGGGCGUCGCCCGUGAGGUGGUAGGACGCCAUCCAGGUGCGCUGCGAUGCCGGCGUGAGUUGGCCCCGGAAGAAUUGCUCACAAUGCGUGAGCCAAUUUAGCGGAUCGACGGAGCCGUCGUACGUUGUGAACUCGAUCCUGUGGAACUUGGGCGGCCCAUUGUGUUGCGCUGCUGCAGGGGCGCCCCCCUCGUAGCCGGUCUCGGGGUAGGAUGGUGCUGAGGGCGCCAGGUUGCCGCCCGGGAUGAGGAGGCCGUUGGUGCCGCUGUAGAGGGUACCCGACAUCGUCGGCGCGCCAUGCUCGGGCACGUGCGACCGAGGAGGCACCGAUGUGUAGACCGGCCCGGAGUAGCUCAGCGCCCAUGGCGGGAUCUGGGACGGCGACGGCGGAAAGCGGAGCUGGGUGAUCGGGACGGACGACGAAGGUGGCAGCGGUGACGUCGAGGGCGUUGCCUGGUGGGUCAUCCCGUAGGUGUAGGAGGCCGCCGCUGAGGGCUGGAUCGCGCCCGACGGGUUGAUCUGCGGCAGGAGCGGUUGUUGCAGCGGUGGGUUGUUGAAGAGCUGGAGCACGGAGUUCAUCGUCAGCCGCAGCUCGGCCAUGCCGUGGCUGAGGUCGACGAUGGCGGCCGUCGUCUGCUCCGGGGUGAAGACCGCGCGCGGCCCCCCUUGCACGUCCUGUGCCAGUGGCUGCGAGGAGGUCGGCACCAGGGCCGAUGUAGACGCGGGCAGCUAGGGCAGGACGGAGGAGGCGGGCGGUGCCGUUGUGGAGGAGGGCGGAACGGCGGUGGAGGCUGGAGGGAUCGACAUGGCUCUGGAUACCAGGUUGGUAUGUGCUAGGCUGCGUAAGGCGUAUGAGUGAAAGAUGGGAGGACGAGGCUUGAACUGUCGGCGGCGAGUGGAUGGCGCCGUGGCCGGCGGCUGGCUGCUACGAACGGGAAUGGCAAGAACUAGACGGAGAUAGGGCUGGGUGCCCAAGGGAGACAGAAAGUCUCAAUCCCAGGCUGUCCUUUUCAUUCGCCGUGGUUCAGUAUUUAUACUGGUUUCUUACAGACUUGAUCCUAAACACAAGGAGGUCCUGACCACGCUAACUCCACAAACAAAGCUGCUAAGAAUAGAGAAACGCAUACACUAAUAGAAUUAUUCAAACAGCCUUGCAUGCUGCUACUAAUUUUGGCGAUCAUUCUCAGCCAGUGGCAAGGCUCCGGGCUUGUCGAGCAUAGCUCAGCCAGUAGCCCUGGUCCUUCGCUGGUACUGUUGACCCACCAUAACACAAAUGUACACUAGAGCUUGGACAAGUUACAGGUCCAAACUUGUAGAAGCGUUAUCUUUUUAUUUUUGGUUCUUGAACAUGUAAGAGAGCUGUGUAUCACUUCAUUAAAAAGAGAAACAGGAGUGAUAGGAGAAGUGUCAUCAAUAUUCAUCAGCAAUUUUUAGUCACUUGAACAAUAACAGUCACAUUAAUGAAAUGAAACAUAUGAACUAUCCACCUACACAGUUGAGUACAUAUUUUCAUGAACCAGAGCAGUCUUUUACUCUGCAAUAUGAAAAGAAGGUUUGUUACUAUGGCUCCGUCAGUGCCUCACAUCUGUGCUCACUCUCAGCCAGACAUGGCAGUCUCAAAUCUGCCCACCAAGGCCAUUACCUUGUUCUUCCUUUCCUGGAUAGGCUUGCUCCUGCCCUCCUCUGUGGCUUCAUUGCUCCUCCCUUCAUCCUUCCUCCACUUGUGUGCCAAUUCCACGGUCUUUGUUGGCUGCAUUAUCUUCUCCUCCUUAGUUUUAGCCUUUUCUUGUGCUAUCAGCUCAUGUUCAAUAACAGCAUCCCUUAACUCAGUUCCACUAGCAGCUUCUUUUAAUGCAGUUUCACAGUCAACUUGCUUUAUCUUGGCUCCAUCAUUAGCUUCCUUUGAUUCACUUUCACUGGCAGCUUCGUUUAGUUUGGUCUGAUCAACAGUUUCAUUUAGCUCAGUUGCACAGACAUCUUUCUUCAACCCAGUUUCAUCAACAGCUUCCUCCGAUUCAAAUUCAUCAACUGCUUCUUUCGGGAUGUUUAUAUCACUGUUUCCAACAUAAGUCCUGUCACCUGUGCUCAGGUCUUCAUUGUCCUUUCCAUCAUGUUUCUCCUCCGAAAUGCCCCCUGUGUUCUCUUGAUUCUUGUAUUCCUCCGGACUAGAGGAUGUCUUGCUAUUGAGAUCCACAGAUUUCAGAUCAACAGGGUCAGGGAGCCGUUCAUGCAAGUGCUCCUCUAUGGAAGAGGUGCUUAUGCUCUCCGUCUCAUCAAAUUCCAUCAACAGCUCAACAUCUUGUUCCUCGAUUUUUGGUCUCUCUUUUUGUCUCGCCGGCACACUUGUUGUCCUCUGGAUAGAGACAUAAUUCUCGGCUCCCAUUCUUUUCUUUGUUCUAGCGCCAGGAGCACGAGUGGAAGAUGCAGCUUGAGUUUUUCCAGCUCCAAGAGGCCCUGCGGUUGUUUUCUGAGAUUUCGGCUUUACGGAAGAUGCUGCUGCCUUCUCAAAACCAGGCCUUGUAGACAGAUUAUUACUCUUCUGCAUGGUGGAUGGUGAUUUUGCUGACCUGGUCAUAUCCUUGGAUGAGGUGUUUGGAGCUGCAAGGGCUGGAGGCCAAACAGAUGUGGCACCAGGCUUUUCUGCUUUUCUUCUCAUUGUGUUUGUUUGCCUUGCACCAGCCAUGGAGGAAGCAGAGUGCAGUGUCUUUCCGUGACUUGAAGAGGCUGAGCUAGAUGUGGACCGGGAUGAGGUCGAGCGAGCGUUGAAUGAUGAUGCGGGUCGACAGGUGUUGGAUGAGAUUGAAGCGGGAGAUGGGGAUAAUCUGCGAUCAGGAGAGGUUGGGACGGAUCUUGCACGCCGUAGCCCUUGGUCAGACUCACUGGGUUUGAGCCCUGGGGACAUGUUCUGAAUGCCCCGGUUGACUCUAGCAUUCUGCUGAGGGUCCCUUCUUGAUGUUGCCAUUGCCUAUGAGCUAUUCUGCCAACAAAAAAAAUGCACAAAUGAAUGAUCCUCUUAGUUCUCUCUGCCUCCGGGUUAUAAACUGCAACCAUUUUUAUGCCAUCAUGAGAAAAAAGUACUAGGUUGGCAUUGUAUAGUAUACAAUAAUUGGGCUUCACUAGCAAUUCAACACGUUAUGAAUGAUUGUGGAAUGAUUGUGCCUUUUUAUGUGCAGUUCCAUCUAAGAGAAGGCAAAUAAUUGUGGAAUAUUGACUGCAAAGCGCGCAAACUGAGGAUUAAUAGGAAGUAAAUGGCAUCGUUCAAGGUAAAAUUAUGCUAAUAAUCAUUUGAAACAGCAUAAUACAUUUUAGAAGGGCACUCAUUACUUAGCUGCUUAUUUUAUUUGUUUUCCCAGCAUCACACAUCAUGCAUGCCUAUUCACACCUACCAACUGUGGUUUUCAGAUGCAACAGCCGAGAGAACAUUGCAACCACACAGAUCCAAACUAUGCUGCCAUUCUGCCAAGAAAGAGGGCAUACCUCGGCUGACCUCCGAGCUGUUCACACGGAGUCCAAAGGCCGAUCAAUCUCUGCAAUCCAUGGUCACCAAUGGAAUAGAGAAGGAGAAUGCUUGCAUUGAUGUGCCCCACUUUUUAGGGCCUGCCUUCUUCACCCCGAGAAUCUAGGCGGUUGCUGUGUUGAAAUAGUCCGAGGAAGGCCACUGGCUGAAAAGACUUGUGAAUGUUUGGCCCUUGUGCUUCCGUUGGUUGUAUUCGGUGGGCAGUCCAUAAAUAGUGAGCAGAAACGUCCCUGGCCUCCGUUGAGCCGCUAUUCUAGAUGUCCGGGCAACGGAUCCGCCGUUUUGGCUUUUCAAGCCUAUAUAAACGGAGGGCAGCCAGGCACGGUUACAUGCGUGCCUGUCUAUGAACUGCUUUGUUGCUGGCACGCGUGUACCCUACUGCACAUUGUGCAUGUUUGACAAGAGAUUGUAUUCUGUAUACCGUGGGACUCUGUCACGAUCACAAGUCACAUGACAUGAGUUUAGCAAGGCAGUGUAUACUUGUGGUCCUGGUGUUGAGAAAACAUCAGACCAGACCUCUAUUCUGAGCAUAUCGCGAAACGUUCCCAGGACAUAUAUGGUGUCAAAUAUGCAAAUGUGACUUGAUUAAGGGCAAUUAAAAGUUUCGACGGAAUCGCAGCUCUGCUCUGACCCCUGUUUCGUAGACAAAUGAGUGUCUUUUUAUAAUUUUAUUAGAUUUAUUAUAAAAAGAGUAGUUUUAUGAAUGCAGCCAUAAACUUAAAAAGUACUGUCCAUACCUUAAAAGAGGACACGUCUUAUUUUUAAAGGGGUCAACCAAUUUAAGUUCAAUUAUAUUUAUGGCUACACACCCUUUGCAAUAUCCAGAUGAACCUACUGCAACAAUUAGUUUUAACUACUGAAACACCUAAAACAUGAAGAUGUUCACAUAGUUGAAAAGUUCUAAUAUGGCUAGAGGGAGAGGGUGAAUAGCCUAUUUAAAGAUUUCUAUAAACUCAUUAGAGCACAGAGUUAGUAUAAUAAAUGACGUAAUGCAAAUUUGCUCUAGUUCUACAAGAGAUGCAAGCCAUCUAUCCAAGCAAGUCUAGUUAGUAUAAUCUCUAUUUUCAAUCAAUGACUAAGUCACUACUUACACUAGUAAGCUACGCAAAGUUUCUAUACAAAAAGGUAAGCUACACUGGUUUGCGGUAAUGUAAAAUAGUGAGAUAUAAUCUUUAUACCGUCAUAUAGAGGGGAUGAACCAAUCACAAUGAUAUGAAUUCCAAUCACUGGGAGAAAUCUAAUGAGGCAAUCAUAAUGGAGACAUAAGAUUUUUCUCUCGAGCUUCACGUACUUGCCAGCACGUUAGUCCCCGUUGUGUCGACCAACACUUGGUGGUUCGAUGGCUAAGAGGUGUUGCACAAACCUCGUCUACACAAUUGGAUACUGCAAGAAACUACACACAAAGUGAGGUAGCUCAAUGACAUGAGCAAUCCAUAGAAUUGCCUUUGGCACUUUGCCGGGGAAGGCACAAGAACCCCUCACAAUCACUGGUAGAUGGCCACGAACAAUCACCAACUCGUGACAAUACUCCUCCACUGCUUCAAGCUGUCUAGGUGGCGACAACCACCAAGAAUAACAGGAACUCCAUAGCCACAAUGAUCUCCAAGUGCAACUAGAUGUAAUCACUCAAGCAAAUACACAUAAAAUCACUCCCAAUUACCGAUCCAAAAGGUAGGGUGCACAUACGAGUAACUAGAGUCUAAGCACCACGUUUAAACUACGAAUACUACUUUAAUCCAAGAGCGACAAGAAUUGAAGUACUCAAAAGAGUUGUAAACUGAAAGAACAAUAAUAACAAUAAAAAUUUACUUGAAUUAGAAGUUGAUUACUGAAGAAAUCUUAGAAGCAGGCUCCAAUAGAACUUGACCCCACAGGUAUAAGCCAGACAAGAGACACUAACAGGCCAGAGCUUCCUCCAAACUCAUCCCCAACACUCUACAUUUCUAUAUGUAAAUAAGACUAGUCUUCAUCUUUGGAGGACUACAAGACUAAUCUUCUCCUGAAUAUUUGGCUCUUGAUCCUAUGGGGGUAUGAACCCCUAUACCUUUACGGUUGUAUUUGGGUAGUUUCAUGCUAAGGAAGUUGGCCCACUAGAAGAUGACGUAUGGCUUGAUUACUCUAUUGAAAGUCUCGUCCUAGGAUGGGCAGUAGACUUGGAGAUCAAGCAGGAUCCUAGUCUAUUAGAAUAGGAAUCGAUAUCUGGCUAUCUAUGGCAACUGUAACCGAUUAGGAUUAGUUUCUAGAUUUAUAACCCUGCUUCUCGGACUAUAUAAGGGUGAGCAGGGACCCCUUUCAGAACAUAUUAAAUCUUAUAUCAUCAAUAGAAUCAGACACAUGAUGUAUGUACUACGCCCUCACGGUGGCCGAACCUGGAUAAGAUCCUUAUCUUUGUCUUGCGUCACCAUCUAGUUUGUAGCUUGCGCAUCUGUCUGCCAACAAUCUACUACCUUGGACAUACCCCUAGGUAGACUGACGACCAUAUUUCAUCGACAGUGGCGCGCUAGGUAGGGUGUGUGUACAACUUCCUUGGUGAACCAGAUGGUCAUCAUCCCCAACUUCACGACCGUGGCGGACAGCAUCACGUUCAUCGUCGGCUAGAUCACCUGGACCAUCGGUUUCAAUAGCUUCGCCGCCACUACCAUGGAGGAGACACAGAUCCAAUCUAUGUCGAUCACUUCUUCACCAACACUGGCAAUGGCUCCAUCCACGUUGGCUACAGCUCUAACCACUCCAGCAACGUCUACGACCAUACUAAUGACGCAUUGUCUGCAUCCCCGCUACAAAGGGAAGCAGGUCGACAACGCCGAUCUGCUCGGAGCUAUUGAUCAAGUCGGCCUCAAGCUCUCUAAAACCCUAGCUCCAGUGGAUUCAAUUUAGAAUUAGUCUUCCGAGCAGACAACUGCCAGCCGUGAUGGAUCUACCCGACCAGCUCAGACUACUCAACCUAAGCAGUUGAACACAGUCUAAUAGUCACCACCACUCCUGGAGGAUGGAUCGUUCGCUCUAAACUGGUUCUUACGACUGACCACAAUCCUCUAGAGUAUCAAGCUCAGGUAACCAACCUUGUGGUUUUUUCAUAUGGACUAGAAAAUUCAGCCUCUAAGUUCAUGCCCUACACCCAGCAUCUCUUCGUGGGUUCCGAGCAAACGGAUCGGGUGUCAAAUUUGCAUAUUUUGAACAUGCCCCGACCGCAUCACUUCAUCAACAUGGUCACCAUCAAAGACCCCUCGCAAGUCCCGCACCGGGUCUAGCACUUCAAUUACACGGUCUAGCACCGGGUCCAUUGUUGAUAUUUGUUAACGCCAUCAGGAAAUGAUCCGCAAGAGCACGGAUAUCGGUGAGCACUUCACCCGGGAGGUUAUCCAAAGUAUCGUAUUUAUAUUUUUACUACUGGGAGAAAGCGUGCAUCUGACUAACCAAAUCUAUUGCUACUACCCUUUAGGAUACAAACAAUGUGAUUUGAUGUGAGCGAUGUAUAGAGAAGACUACAACCGCACUCUCGUUCUAACCUUGGUAAGGAUGAUCUACUGUUCUAUUGGGGAGGCUUACAAAAUCUUGACACCACAAAGGAUGUUCGACCCGCACCUAUAAACCCUACCGAUCCUGCUAACGGGAUUGUGGGCUACAAAGGUAGCUACGGAAAUGUCACGUUCCUCGCUACUACCACGGUCCAGCUAGACAGGGGAUAUCUAUGAGUACCCUAGCCCAAACACCACGUUGAAGCUAGCAAUGAUUACUCUAAACUCUACCGAAGAGAUUAAAGUAAACUCAUAAACCAAAGAACAGUAAGAACAAAGAACUUACUAGAAUUUAGAAGUCGAAAUACUGAAGAAUCCUAGGAGCAAGCCUCGGGUUAGGAGACUUGAUUACUUGAUCCCGAAGGUACAACCUCGGAGUAGACACCGACAGGCCGGGCUUCCUCAGAUCUACACCUCCACUCUAUCUCUCUCAAUCUAGAAGAACUAAUUCUAAUCUCACAUUGGAUGCUAAGCCCUAUGAGGUUGGAACCCUAGAGGGACCUCUCUCUCCGAAUCCUCUCUGGAAAGGGGGCCUGCUUAUAUAUCCCUCCUCCAGGGGCCAGGGGGCCUGCUUAUAUAGCCCCUCCAAAUGAACGUGGGCCGUCGAAUCAAACCGACCUUAAUCGCACGGUUUUCCUUAAUCCUUUAGGUCGGUGGAGCAUAAUCCGCGAGACGGGACCUGAUUGGUCCCUGUAGCAAGGCGGGCGCCCAAGGGGGGAGGGCGGGCGCCCUGCCCCCGGGCCCGCUCGGCCUCCCGUUCGUUCCCGUGGCUACUGGAGUCUUCUAGAUGAUAGAAAAUUACGCAGCACGUUAAUAUCUCUAUGUAAACCCGACAUGUGGGCCUUUUCUCCAUAUUUCCUGAUAACCCCCUGCAGAAAUAGACAAACACCAAAACUCGUGGAAUUCUGUCAGAUGAAACCCUAAGUCUGGGUGUUGGUUGCAUUUGGAUCCUUUUCUUUAUUUAUUUGAUGAUUAAAUUUGGUACUUAAGGACCGUCAACAACUCCCCCAAGCUUACCUCUUGCUCGUCCCUGAACAAGGAUGGACUGAAGAGUUUAUGCAGUGGUUUCAUGCCUUAAAAGUACACAUGCGUUCAAGCAAGAUCUCAUCUCUGAGUUAGAGUAAACUGUUAAGACUUAAAACUUACUCAUUUUACCUUUCACCAUGGGGCUUGCAACCGUCACUUGUGUCUUGAGCAGUAAAAAGAUAGAACGGUCAAGUCAAGCGCCAUGUCUCUUAUUCUAGAUCAGCUAUAGCUCUGGAGUUUUUGCAGAUUUUCAAAUAAAACUCAGAGAUUCCUUGUAUGACUCUCUCAAAUCUCUCUUUUGUGGUAUUUCUGGAUCCUUACCAAGGCAGUAAUGGUAUAUGCUUUCUCUCAAAGUAUGUGGUAUUUUUGGUAUGAGGCAUAGUGAUAUUGCCUUCUCUCUCAUCCUAUUCUAAUAAGGUUUUGAUAUCUGGAGCUCAUAGGUGGGAGACAGAUAAUACAUACUUACAAGACAUUUAUUGCAUAGUCAAACCAUGGAUCAAGAGAAACAAGUCAAUAAGUCAAAUCAAGAUGUGCAUGUAUGGCGAAUGAAUGGUGUAUGGUGAUAACAAUUGUGAAAGUCUAAUUCUACUUCUUCUCUUUUAAGGGGAUACAUACCUUUCUUGCACUUUGAAGCUUUUUGAGGAGAAUGAGAUUCUCUAUAUUUUCUUUUUCUUUUCUCUCAGGUGGGUAUCUUAUACCCCUAAUUCUACUGUCGGACACUUGUCCAUUUUUACCUCUCGUCUCACUUUUUCUUUUCUUCGAGGUUCCGGGCACUUGCCCCUUUUUAUUUACUCAUAUUUUCUUUUUCUUUUUUUUCAGAGCACUCACCCUCCUAGAAUAAUGUAGCAAGUGGUAGUAACCAAAAUAUCUCGAGCAUUUAUUUCACAGGGAAUAAUAGGGAUAGGAAAAAGUUUUUGGCUAUUCUCUCCCGGAUAGGAGUAGAAUUAUUUUAGGUGAAUCUGGAGAUGGAAUUGAGUGGAUGUAUGUGGAUGCGUACUUCCAGAGUAGAAGUAGCAUGUAUGAGUGAACGUGGAAGUGGAUCUUGAUUUUAACUGCAUGACAAGCUUCUAAGGGUCUACACAGCUUGACCACACUCAAUGCUCAUAAGCAGUAAAAAGUAAAUGUGUGGCUCAAAGUCUAGCAAGCAUGUAUAUAUGGCUGUGGUAGGAAUUUAAACUCUCAUCAUACAGGAACUCAUCAUGCAAUAUUUUAAAAAUUUUCAAAGAUAAUAUUCUCCAGAAUUCUAGCAUUUCUAGAAACAGAUAAACAACAGCUCAACCUUCCCAUAUCAUAUCUGUUAACCACUUAGAUUUUAGAUCAAGUACUCUUCCCACAAGUUAAGGUUUAGAGCAAAUCUUAGUUCAUAAAAGUCAUGCCUAAACUUGAGAGAGAUUUCAAUUUUGAGAACUAGGUACAUGGGAGAGCAACUAUUUAUCAUAUCCAUGUAAGAGUUUUUUGUUUAAGUUCAGUUUGGCCUAGACACUUUAUUUAUUUAUUUAGCAAACUAAGCAAAGAUAUAUAUAAGCACAAAAUUUUUAUUUAGGUUUUCAUGAUUAUGCAUCUUUUUUAUUAUUUGAGUAAAGUAUAAACGCGAGUAAAAACACUUAGCUGGAUAAAUGGGGGUGCUCUCCCCCAAGCUGGAUUUUGACAUAAUUUCUUCUGAUAUAGCUAGCAGGUGACGGAGGUGUAUUUGAAUGUCGGGAGCACCCUGACAGCGAUUACUAUGUCCUCCGCCGGCUAGUCUUAUUUAAUCCUUGAAUUCUGUGGAGCUCAAAUAGACAACAAAGCUUUGUGGAACUGGUUAAGUGUUAGCAUAAAAUCUCUUAGCCUUUAUCAUAUUGAGAUUCCUCCUAAUAAAUUUUAUUUAUUUAGCAGGAUCAUGCACUUAUUAUUUUUAUAUUUUUAUUGUAAGAUGAAAACAUAUUUAUUUUAUGCCACCAUAGUCAAUAUACCUAUUGGUUUUAAACCACAAGUCUACUCACAUGGGGCUUUAGAUUUUAUGAUGCAGUGCAACGAACAAAUAUUUUCACCAGAAAUGCUUGUUGAUAUUUGUUAACGCCAUCAGGAAAUGAUCCACAAGCGCAUGGAUAUCGGUGAGCACUUCACCCGGGAGGUUAUCCAGAGUAUCGUAUUUAUAUUUUUACCACUGGGAGAAAGCGUGCAUCUGACUAACUAAAUCUAUUGCUACUACCCUUUAGGCUACAAACAAUGUGAUUUGAUGUGAGCGAUGUAUAGAGAAGACUACAACCACACUCUCAUUCUAACCUUGGUAAUGAUGAUCUACUGUUCUAUUGGGGAGGCUUACGGAAUCUAGACACCACAAAGGAUGUUCGACCCGCACCUAUAGACCCUACCGAUCCUGCUAACGGGAUUGUGGGCUACAAAGGUAGCUAUGGAAAUGUCACGUUCCUUGCUACUACCAUGGUCC
rnacentral:lncRNA from 1 species